UAAUAAGUGAACAGAUAGACGGAAGAGCAGACAGCCAUUUCAUGAUGUAAACGUUCAGCAGUUGGGAGUCGUACCUGGUCAAGCUACUGUACCCGCCGCUAAUGUGGGGUUCCUAAUUGUACAGAUUUCCUAAAUCUAUGUCUGAUUUUAUUUUAUUUUCUUUUUAUUUUGAAACAAGGCAAAAGACUUCCAUUUUUAUUGAUUAAUAAGAGGAAUUUGCAAGAAAACAACCGCAAAAGUAGCACAAGAUACUCAAGUGCUUAGCCCCCGCGCAAGAGCAACUCUAGCAGAUCAUGUAAAAUGUUGUACAGCAAAUUUUGUUCAAGGGAUCCUGUAAAACGAAUUUGCGGUACCGUGGAAGGCAUGGCAGAAUAGAUCUGCUAAACCAUACUGCAUAGUUUUUUUGUGAACACAACUAUACUGCAUAUUUGAAAUUUAAAGUUCGUGCCACGAUAGUUCAUCACCGGAGUUCAUACAUUCAAACAUACAAACUUAAACACAUAGUAGAUAAAAUCUAAUCUAAACUAGUUUAGGGCUUUAUGUUGAGGUAGAACUCGGCCGCCGAUCGGUAGAGAACGUACGUGAGCUCGUACACCACCUUCGUCGCCACGAGCCGCUCGGUGGUACUGUCUUCACCAGCCGACAUGGCAUUGUCCGUGGCGGCGAGCUCAAUCUCCGCCCCGCGGAGCCCCUUGGUGGUGGGCCAAAGCGUCCCCGCGGAGCCCCUUGGUGGUGGGCCAAAGCGUGUCCCCGACCUCGUGGAAGUUGCUCCACGCUCUCCGGACGCCACUACGGGGAGGGCGUUGCACUCUUUGGCCUGCUUUGAGCGCCACGACUCGACGGCGGGCCAGCUGGAGUUGUCGGCCUUAGCGUCGUGUUGGGCACGCUUGUGCGGUGGUGACCCGCCAUGGGCCCCGCGCCCCCACGCCAGCAACCUCCAUCGGCCAUUGAUUUGCUCCGAACGGGUGCGUGCACGCGUGGAUCGGUCGCCGGAGUAGGGGGGAUUGCGUUGGAGGCGGGCGUGGGAAAUGCCAGAUAGGAACCCUAAAUCGCCGGGAAUUCGGCAAAUAUAGCGGUGGAGUCGGGAAUAUACAGACCGCUUGUACAUUUUUUAGGGCCCAGGCCUUCUUUAACCGGAUCUGCUCGGGCCGAAAAAAUAGCAGAUCUUGUAACACGUCCAAAAUUAUAAGGGCCCGCGAGGUUUUACAGGAUUUGCUCUAACAAUGACCGCCACCGCGCUGCUUUGUUUUGGAAGAGGUGCACAUUCCUUUCCUUCAAAAUUGCUCAUCCAACAAAGCCAAGCAACGCAAGAUAGUUUUUUUUUUCCUGAGGGAGCAAGAUAACUUUUCUUGGUCGUGCAUUGUGCAUUGUUCAGGAGGACCUCUUCCCACAAAGAUUUCACCAUUUCAGUGUGAUGCCAAAGUAUCGUACUAACUUGAAGACCUAGCCAAGAGAUCAUACAUAACUUUCCUUGGUUGUGCAUUAAAAAAAAUCAUACCGUUCCAAAUUCGAACUAAAAACCGACACUGGAAGAGUAGGUGAGCUGUCGUUUCUUGCACUUGGAUGCAAAGGGGGCAUCAGUCGCAGUUUGGUCACCCUCUCCGUUGGAGCCUAUCCGCCGUCCAAAUUUUAUUAUGGAUGACUAACCAAGCGACCAAGCGUAGAACAUACAUUUGGAAGGUGCCUAAACCUUUCAAAUCGUGGUGACCAAUUGGACCUUGUAGGUCGAUGAAGCAGUGUAGUUCCACAUGAUGGUAUCUUGGAUGCCUAGUUGGGUCAUGACAUUGGCAAACUUCUCCCAUAGGAUGGUGAACUGAUUAAUGUGCUCAAGUGUUAGACCUCUUUGAGCGGCAGUCUUCUCAACCCAGUCAUAAUCUCUCAAAGACUUAUCCGCAGUGGCACUUUUUCUUGCGGUAUAGCUCAAUUUUGUGGUGCAAUGUUUUCAGGCCUUAGCCCUUCCAACCAAGAUGAUUCCUGAAUUUCUGCGUUUAUUCCAAUAUCAAGCAUAACUGAUGCAGAGCAUCCUAUGGACAUCAUCAUGUCAAGAGCUUCAUUUUCAAGAGACACAUGCAAUAUCUACUUCAUAUAUAUAAAGGUGAAUCUUCUUCUUUACACUUGUCUUCUUGCCCCCCUUCAAGGAUGUUGUUUCUUCAUUACCAGAUCCUCCAUAAUCUGACAAGAUUUCACCUGAAGGUGCAGAAAACUGUCAGAUCCCUCCGUAGGGGUCCUAGCGUAGCUGAAAGUCUCAAAGCGGAGGUCGCACAAAGGGUUUAUCCAUGUUUGGGCCUUCAGAGAGUAAUACCCUCCACCCUGCUCAUGUUUGUUAUUCAUGAUGGAGGGAUAACUCGUGUGAUGAGGGAUGACUACCGAGAGUUGUUUCUACGGGAGUAGAUGGAAAUGAGGGCUCCCUAGCCUCCCCUCAUAUACUCAAGGAGGCUAGGGUUUUACAUAAAGGCGAAAUCAAUCUAGGGUUGCCGUCGUAUCAACUUGGAAGUAAAGUUGGCCGCAUGGUGGUUAUCCUUUCCUUGGGGCUACCUCUUCUCGCUGGGCCUUGUGGGCUCUCCAGUAGGCCUGCUGCCGGGAUCCCUUCAGUGAGCCACCCUGGUGCGCCACACCGUCAAUAGCCCUUGAGCAUGGCAGAGGUUGCAGGAGUGGGUCUUCAGACCUCCGGUGGUCUUCACUACCGAUGGUGCUUUAGCCCUCGUGCUUCUUUAGAGAGCUCAUCUCCCGGGCCUCCAUGAGUGGCAACCCGUGCUAGGAGAUGAUAGAGGCAAAGGUGUCCCGUCUUUCGAUGAGAUGAUGAAUUUCGCUUUGGUGGAAGUCAACUUUGACGAUCCGACUACGAACGUGUGAGGACGUCGCGCCUUAGCAAUCGCUAAACCAACUCCGAGAGGUUAUUAACCACGCCGGAGCACGAUCAACUUGACCACGAGGGUCUGUUUCCUGCGAGCAAACGAAGAACAAGCAAGAAAAUGAGAUUGCAAUCUGGAUAUUGCGAAUAUAAGAUGAAAGCUUUAUUGAUCAAGGUGGGGUUCUGUGACGCCUUUGUCUGGUCGUUGAACACAAACGAAGUACGUGAAGUUGCAGCUAUGGCAAACUUUAAUCUAAACAAAACCCAAAGUCUAAACGGUGCCCUAAGGGCUGUAUAUAUGGAGGAAGAGGGGGGAAUUUCGUGACCCUUGGUGGAGGGGUCCGAAAUCAACCCUAUCUCUUGUUUCCCCGCACAUACGGACUCUAAAAAUAACCUAUACUUAUGUAUUUCGAAAUUACAUGGGCCUAGCCCAAUAAUAAGGUGACGCAGCACCUAGAAUAGCCUCUAGACGAAAUUUAUGAAGUGGCAUCUUGUAUAUUUCGUCCAAGGCUUCAUGCACCCAUUAUGGUGGCUUCAAAGUCCUGAAAUCAUCACUUGUAACUCCGUUCUUGUUCCCCUUGCGCAUGCCAUCAUCUCCAUGCUUGCUCUUGCUCCAAUGUUCAUCCUUCUCCAAGCUAGGCCCUUCAUUUGUAAGCAAAACAAAUGUAUCCAAUUUAGGCAGCAUCAUAUUCUCAUGAACAUUAGAAUCAUUACCAAGAAACGAAAGUACCUGGUAAUUUAGUUGGCGUGCGCGAGCUCUAGUAAUUGGUCCAAUAUGUAUAGCAGCAGGGGCUGUGGGUGUAACAAUGGUAUUGAUGUCCUCAUCAUCCUCCCCUUCUUGAAAUGAAGUCGUCCUCGACGGAAGUUCAUCUUCCUCACCCAAAUAAGGCUUCAAAUCUGCAAUGUUAAAAGUGGGACUAACCCCAAAAUCUGCAGGCAGCUCAAAUUUGUAUGCAUUAUCAUUUAUUUUCUCUAGCACCUUAAAGGGACCAUCAGCACGUGGCAUUAGCUUUGAUUUGCGCAAAUCAGCAAAUCUAUCUUUACGCAAAUGUAACCAAACAAGAUCUCCAGUUGCAAAUACAACAUGUUUUCUACCCUUAUCUCCAGCAAGUUUAUAUUUAGCAUUCAUACGCUCAAUGUUUUCCUUAGUUAACUCAUGCAUUUUUAAAAUCAAUUCAACACGUUGUUUAGCAUCAAAAUUAACCUUCUCCGAAGAUGGAAGAGGCAACAAAUCAAUAGGUGCACGAGGUAGGAAACCAUACACAACUUCAAAAGGGCACAUCUUAGUAGUAGAAUGCAAUGAACGAUUAUAAGCAAAUUCAAUAUGAGGCAAGCAUUCCUCCCACAUUUUCUUAUUAUUCUUCAAAACAGCCCUAAGCAUAGUAGACAAUGUUCUAUUGACUACUUCAGUUUGUCCAUCAGUUUGGGGGUGACAAGUAGUACUAAAAAGCAGUUUAGUCCCUAACUUAGCCCAUAAACAUCUCCAAAAAUGGCUAAGAAAUUUAGUAUCACGAUCUGAAACAAUAGUAUUUGGGACACCAUGCAAGCGAAUAAUUUCACAAAAGAACAAAUCAGCAACAUUAACAGCAUCAUCGCUUUUAUGACAUGGUAUAAAGUGUGCCAUUUUCGAGAAUCUAUCCACGACAACAAAUAUGCUAUCCCUCCCCUUCUUUGUUCUAGGUAAAUCUAAAACAAAGUCCAUAGAUAUAUCCUCCCAAGGAACACUAGGUACAGGCAAAGGCAUAUAUAAACCAUGAGGAUUGAGUCGUGACUUAGCUUUUUGACAUGUAGUGCAGCGAGCAAUAAAAUGCUCAACAUCCCGUCUCAUCUUUGGCCAAAAGAAAUGUGUAGCAAGUACGUCCUCCAUCUUAUUCACGCCAAAGUGUCCCAUUAGUCCUCCUCCAUGCACCUCCUGCAACAACAAAAGACGAACGGAGCUAGCUGGAAUGCAUAGCUUGUUAGCACGGAACACAAAUCCAUCAUUAACGACAAACUUGUUCCAUGUUCUUCCUUCUUUACAAUUCUGCAAUACAUCUUUAAAAUUAGCAUCAUGCACAUAUUGAUCUUUGAUGGUCUCCAAACCAAAUAUUUUGAAGUCAAGUUGUGAAAGCAUAGUAUAGCGACGAGACAAUGCAUCAGCAAUAACAUUUUCUUUACCCUUCUUGUGUUUAAUGACAUAAGGGAAAGUCUCAAUGAAUUCAACCCAUUUAGCAUGUCUACAAUUCAGUUUAGCUUGACUUUUAAUAUGUUUCAAAGAUUCAUGAUGAGAAUGUAUAACAAAUUCUUUGGGCCAUAAAUAAUGUUGCCAUGUUUCUAAAGUCCGAACAAGAGCAUAUAAUUCUUUAUCAUAAGUAGAAUAAUUUAGACUAGGCCCACUCAAUUUUUCAGAAAAGUAUGCAACAGGUUUGCCAUCUUGUAAUAACACACCUCCUAGUCCAAUUCCACUAGCAUCACAUUCAAGCUCAAAAGUCCUAUUAAAAUCAGGAAGUUGGAGUAAAGGAGGCUGUGUCAACUUAUCUUUCAAUACCGUGAAGGCUUCUUGUGCGGUACCCCAAACAAAAGGCACAUCCUUCUUUGUAAGCUCAUUGAGAGGUGCAAUAAUGGUGCUGAAAUCUCUCACAAAACGCCUAUAGAAUCCAGCGAGGCCAAGAAAACUCCUCACUUGUGUGACCGUUUUGGGCUGCGGCCAACUCUCAAUAGCUUCAAUCUUGGCUUUAUCAACUUCAAUUCCCUGUGGAGUAACAACAUAACCAAGAAAAGGCACUCGAUCGGUGCAAAAGGUGCACUUCCCAAGGUUACCAAACAAACGUGCAUCACGUAGAGCAAUAAAAACAACACGUAAAUGUUCCAAAUGUUCCUCCAAAGAUCUGCUAUAAAUCAAUAUGUCAUCAAAGUAAACUACCACAAAUCGUCCAAUGAAAGCACGUAAAACUUCGUUCAUUAAUCUCAUGAAAGUACUAGGUGCAUUAGUUAACCCAAAAGGCAUGACUAACCACUCAUAUAAUCCAAACUUAGUUUUAAAUGCUGUUUUCCAUUCAUCCCCCAAUUUCAUACGAAUUUGAUGGUAUCCACUACGCAAAUCAACCUUGGAGAAUAUUAUAGAGCCACUCAAUUCAUCAAGCAUAUCAUCUAGCCUAGGAAUAGGAUGACGAUAACGAAUAGUAAUAUUAUUAAUGCCUCUACAAUCAACACACAUACGUGAUGUACCAUCCUUUUUCGGCACUAGAAUAAUAGGAAUAGCACAAGGACUAAGGGAUUCGCGUAUAUAACCUUUGUCGAGCAGCUCUUGUACUUGACGCAUAAUCUCCUUCGUCUCCUCUGGAUUGGUACGGUAUGGCGCACGGUUUGGCAGUGAAGCACCGGGAAUUAAGUCAAUCUGAUGCUCAAUCCCUCGAAUAGGCGGUAAUCCCGGUGGCACGUCUUGUGGAAAGACGUCAGUGAACUCCUGCAAAAUGUUAGUGACAGCAGGAGGCAAAGAGGAAGGCACGUCCUCGAAUGAAAAUAAUGCCUCUUUGCACACAAAAGCAUAACAAACAGAUUUGCUGAAAUCUAGCUCAUCAAUAUCAGAUUUGGUGGCAAAUAAACAUGCACUUUUCAAUUUUAUUUCAGAAGCAACACUAGAUGGUUUAUUAUUAGGCUUCAUUUGUUGCUCAAAUUCUUUUGCCACAAUCUGAUUUUCGCUCUUAUUCUUCUCCUGUUUUGCUUUAUUAGCUCUAUUAAUAUCAUCUUUCAAAAUAGAAUCAGGAGUCAUAGGAAGCAAAGUAAUAUUUUUAUCCUUAUGAACAAGAGUAUACUGAUUGUUUCUACCAUGGUGUACAGAAUUUUUAUCAAAUUGCCAUGGUCUACCAAGUAAUAAGGAACAUGCUUGCAUAGGUACCACAUCACAAUCAACAUAAUCAACAUAUGUAGAGAUACUAAAAUGCACACGAACAGUACGUGUUACCUUAACCUUGCCGCUGUUGUUGAACCAUUGGAUGUAGUAAGGAUGUGGAUGUGGUCUUGUGGUGAGAGAAAGCUUCUCCACCAUCUCCAUGCUAGCCAAGUUGUUGCAGCUCCCUCCGUCUAUGAUGACGCGCACAGAACAUUCCUUCACAACUCCCUUGGUAUGGAACAAAUUGUGCCUCUGAUUUUGCUCAGCUUGUGUGACCUGCACACUCAAAACACGUUGAGCAACUAAACAUUCAUACCUGUCAGCGUCUUCAGGAGCCAUGUAUUGCGUCUCAUGAUCAGAAUCAUCUCCACCAUGUUCUUCACGUGUAAUAAGAGCCAGCGUCUCCUCAUCAUAGUCACUAGCGGACUUAUACCCACCAUCCUCAGUAGCAAUCAUCACACGCUGAGAUUUGCAUUCUCUCGCAUAAUGACCUCUUCCCUUACAACGACGACAAAUAAUAUCACUUGUGUGCCCAGUUGAUGCCAUGGAAGAAGAAGAGCUCUGUGUAGGCCCGACAGGUGCGCUCUUGGCAGAUAGUGGUGGUUGUGCCUGCUUUCUUGUAUCACGACUGGAGGUAGCAGCUGAUGGAGGUGCUGGUGUAGUGGAAGUAGAGGAUGCACGCGGUGUCCAUGAUGAAAGUCGAUCUGCAGAAAAGUUAGUUCGUGCCAAUGCUUGUCGAUCCUGCACUUCACGUUCAGCUUUACAAGCAAGAUGGAAUAAACGAGUGAUAUUAGUAUACUCCUUAUACUCUAGAAUGGUCUGAAUCUCUCUAUUUAAUCCACCUAUAAAACGUGCAAGCAUAGCUUCAUUCUCCUCAACAAUACCACAUCUAAUCAUGCCAUUUUGUAAUUCCCGAUAAUAUUCUUCUACAGAAUUUUUCCCUUGUCUUAAACGCUGCAAUUUUUGAAGCAAUUCACGUUGAUAAUAUGGUGGAACCCAACGAGUAUGCAUAGCAGUUUUCAAAGCAGCCCAAGUAGUUGGAAUAGGAUAUAAUCUACAAUGUUCAGACCACCAUACACAUGCAAAACUAGUGAAAGCACAAACAGCAGCAGCAACCCGUCUCUCCUCGGGAUAUUGUAAACAUGUAAAACGUUGUUCAGUUUCUAACUCCCACGUAAGAUAUAUAUCAGGAACAUAUCUACCCUCAAAUGGUGGAAUAUUCAAUAUCAGUUUCGGAAUAUGGUCAUUAUCUCGUACCUGAGGUGGUAGUGCAGGCCUACCGUUGCGAAUAUAUACCCGAGGUCGACCUGCUGGUGGUGGUGCUGGUGGCUGCACGUAGUUCUGAUUUUGAUCAACCUCAUCCUCAUAAUAUUCCUCCACCUCUGUAGUAACAGCAGGAGCUACAGAAGCACCAACAGCAGUAGCAGCGGCACCAGAAUUUUGUCCUGGCUCAAUAGGAACACACUGUGCUCGUCCAUACUGAUUCGGAAGGGGGCGUUGUUGUAGUUGUUGUUGUUGCAGAGGUGCGAUAGGUGCAGCCGGAGGUGGUUGUGGAAAACGCGCGAGCAAUUCAUUAAACUUGCUAUCAAGCUUUGUUUCGAAUGUCUUCUCAAUGCCAUCUAUCUUCUCCAUGGCCUCGUCAAAUCUGUUUAGCACAUCUUGCACCUGUCCACUCAUCAUUUGCUGAAAUUUAUCAUGUAGCUGUUUGUUCGUCAGGUUCUCCCAAUCAGUCUCAUCGGCUUGUGAUCCUACCAUGGUUAGCAGCAAAUAGAAACACACAAGAAUAUGAUCCUAUAGACUACUAAGAAGUGGUGGUGGUGUAUCACAAACCCGUGAAGCAAAUCUCAAAUUCUUACUAGUUCUUACCCAGCAGCAGGCGGUGAUCGGCAACCGUUGUAGUCAAAACUCUCAAAGCUUGGAUAGAGCGAUUACCAGGGAGAGUCAAACGCACGACUUAGAUGUAUGUGGAGCUGGGAAGGCUUAUAAUAUCGUAGCAAAAAAGGUCAGCAAUAAUCAAUUCAGAGAUGCAAAGUUGAAUAAACGCUCAACGACGAUACUGUGCUGGUCCUAGGCUAGACUGUGCUAGAGACGCGAGCCUAGAACACCAACAAAAUCACGGCGCGGCACGUAAACAAGGGAGGAGCACACUCUGAAUUUUUUUUCUUUUUUUUUUCUUUUUUUCCUCUUUUUUUUUGCUCCGCAACAAUUUUUUUUUGAAAAAGUCUACAAAUGGUCUAAAAACUGCCUAGCCAGAAUUUUCCAUACUUAGUUUUUUUUGAAACUGGAACUAUUUUUCUUCUGCGGAUGGCUCGGAAGUUGGGGAGUCCUUCUCUGUCACGACUCGGAGUAUCGCAUGAUCUGGAAAUCGAGAACAAUGCAACAAUUACUGGACCCGGACUAGGACUGGUGGCGGAGAUGAAACUGGUGGAACUUGGACUGGUGGCGAAGAUGAAUCUGGUGGAACUCGGACUGGUGGCGGAGAUGAAUCUGGUGGAACUCGGACAGGUGGCGGAUAUAUGUUGCAGGUGAACUCGGAUUGGCGUGAUGGCGGCAGAUAUGUGGUGGCGUAUAUGGAUUCGGAUUGGCGGUGAAUAUGUGGUGGUGGUAUAUGGCAGCAGCGACGAUGAUAACCUGUGAACAGAACUCGAAACUCUAAAAGACUAGACGCUAAGACCAGCAACUUGACACGACGAUGCAACCGCAAAUUCAACAAAGCAAAUACAGAAAAGAUUAUGCAAAGGCUCAGAUUGGUUCGGAUGGGAUGAACUAACCCUAAAUUUUUUUUGGCUUUUUCGUGGACUAUAGGUAUGAAGAAUAGACUCGAUCUAAACUACGAAAAACUGUAAAAUCUCACCGAGCAACCUGGAAAUCUGAUACCACUUGAUAGAGGCAAAGGUGUCCCGUCUUUCGAUGAGAUGAUGGAUUUCGCUUUGGUGGAAGUCGACUUUGACGAUCCGACUGUGAACGUGUGAGGACGUCGCGCCUUAGCAAUCGCUAAACCAACUCCAGAGGUUAUUGACCACGCCGGAGCACGAUCAAGCUGACCACGAGGGUCUGUUUCCUGCGAGCAAACGAAGAACAAGCAAGAAAAUGAGAUUGCAAUCUGGAUAUUGCGAAUAUAAGAUGAAAGCUUUAUUGAUCAAGGUGGGGUUCUGUGACGCCUUUGUCUGGUCGUUGAACACAAACGAAGUACGUGAAGUUGCAGCUAUGGCGAACUUUAAUCUAAACAAAACCCAAAAUCUAAACGGUGCCCUAAGGGCUGUAUAUAUGGAGGAAGAGGGGGGAAUUUCGUGACCCUUGGUGGAGGGGUCCGAAAUCAACCCUAUCUCUUGUUUCCCCGCACAUACGGACUCUAAAAAUAACCUAUACUUAUGUAUUUCGAAAUUACAUGGGCCUGGCCCAAUAAUAAGGUGACGCAGCACCUAGAAUAGCCUCUAGACGAAAUUUAUGAAGUGGCAUCUUGUAUAUUUCGUCCAAGGCUUCAUGCACCCAUUAUGGUGGCUUCAAAGUCCUGAAAUCAUCACUUGUAACUCCGUUCUUGUUCCCCUUGCGCAUGCCAUCAUCUCCAUGCUUGCUCUUGCUCCAAUGUUCAUCCUUCUCCAAGCUAGGCCCUUCAUUUGUAAGCAAAACAAAUGUAUCCAAUUUAGGCAGCAUCAUAUUCUCAUGAACAUUAGAAUCAUUACCAAGAAACAAAAGUACCUGGUAAUUUAGUUGGCGUGCGCGAGCUCUAGUAAUUGGUCCAGUAUGUAUAGCAGUAGGGGCUGUGGGUGUAACAAUGGUAUUGAUGUCCUCAUCAGGAGAGCUCUGACUGGCUUUCGGGAGCCCCGAACAGUCAUCAUUCUGACCUACCUGGCUGACUCAGAGUCCUUUAAAGGGAUGUUUGUACAAACCCUAUUGAUUAAGGGAUGUGAUGACGUUGGUUCCUGGAUCCAGGCACCUUACCUUGCAAAAUGGGGAGUCGCAGAGGAUACAGAUCAAGUGUCAUGUCGUCAGGGCAAACGCUUCCGUUUCAAGCCCGCUAUAAGUAAGGAAAAAGUACGAAGGAUUUUCUUAUUCCUCCACCCUCAUGCAUUUCCGUUUCCUGCCUCCUGCUAUCGAAGGCAUGCCACCAUCGCUAGAUCUUCACCGAUUGCGUUUGUAACUCUGGUCCACCCCUUUCCGCCACCGAGAUGGCUAGCACUAGGAGCGAGAGGGUUCCUCGGGAUUCCAGCCAGGAUCUGCCCCCGUUGGGGUGGGGAUGACGCAAAAGAGGGUCAUCUUCAAGGCGGUGAGAGACCGCAGUCGGAAAUCCCCAAGAUCAUGGGAAAGUGGUUCCCUUCCUCGACCAUCGACGAAGAACUUUAGGGCCUCGUGGAGAUACGGCUGAUUCCGGCGCAUCUGGAGUGCCGCCUCCGAGCGGAUGAGGCUCAACCAACUCCUCGUGACGGCCCAUAAUACCGUUAGAUCCCUUGUUAGGGUUCAUGACGAGGUAGAAAGUACCAGGACGGAGCCCGCACGCACAGGUUACCCAGGUUCGGGCCUCCUAAGAGUAAUACCCUACAUCUUGCUUAUUGUUAUUUAUGGUGGAGGGAUAACUCGUGCAAGGGAUUACAACGGUGUCUGAGAUUGCUACCAGAGUCUUCCUAUAUAAGAUUGGAUGACCUAGAGGGCUGCCUAACCUCCCUUUAUAUAGACAAGGAGGCCUAGGGUUUACAUGGUGGUAGAUGCAAUCUAGGCCGCCGCUUCCCUUCUCUUGAGUAACAGGUCAUAGCAAGGUCGGUUUCGCCCAUUGUUGGGCCUUGAUAACCAGCCCAACACUUCACUUGGUGUGGCUUGGUUAUCCACCCCCGGGUCAUGGCUCCGUUGUGUGGUAGAGGUCGUUGGCGGCUUUAGACCUCCGUCGAGCUCCUUUGUCAUGUAGACGCGACCUCCAUCGCUUCAAGCGACUCCCUUGUUUCGGAGCUCUUGCCUUUUGUAGGGGAGACCCGCGUGCAUGCCUUGCGCCCUCUUCCCGUAUCAACCAUCCUGGUGGGGUUGUUUAUCAGGCCACUUGAGCUAUUACGUCGCCUUUUGCACGACUCAAAACCACCGCGGGCCAGCUCGUCACCUAUGGGCAGUUGAUGUCACUAGAAAGAUUCAGAUGCUUUUUCUGUUAUAAAUACAAUGGUAGGAGGCGGUGCUUCGUCCGCUAGUUCUUCUUCCUCCAAAUACCCUUCGCCCGCCAUUACCAGGCUUAAAUAACUGAACAUCGAGAGGGAGAUGGCUUCUUCUUCUGCGCCUCCUAGGGAGAUCCCAGGUUAGGAGGGUUAGCUAGGCAUGCAAUUGUCGUCCUUACCAUGUUUGCCUAGUCCGCCCGAGUGGGUGAGAAAUUGGAAACACUCCUCCGUCUCUAAAUCCGUUUUGGAGCAGUUGGUGAAGAUGGGCCGGCUGUUGGAGUUCAUCGUAAUGGCCUGGAUGGCACCCCGACAGAGGGAUGUGGUUCCGCGGCCACUUUGUUGGAACCAAGUAGUACACGUGGCUUUUAUCCAUCGUGGGCUGCGACUUCCACCGUGAGUCCUUUCGCCAGAGGUGUGUUGACCCUCUACAGACAACAGCUGCAUCACCUUAUUCCAAGCGGUGUGUUGCAUAUGUCUUGCUUCGUGACUCUUUGUGAAUGCUUCUUUGGGGUUCACACACAUUUUGAUCUCUUCAGGUAUUUCUUUGAAGCAGCUCCUUGUCGUGGUUUUGUCACGGCAGAUGUCCUAGUGUGAGGACUUAGUCGUGAGGCCAUCGCAACUAGGUAGUAUCUUGAACGGGGUUGGUCGGAAUCGAGAGACAUGAGAUUUUACCCAGGUUCGGCCCCUCGUGGUGGAGGUACAAGCCUACAUCCUGCUUGCUUGAUAUUGAUGAUGAUGAUCUCGGUUAUAAGGGCGGUGCUUCGCUACCUCUAUCUCGAGAGCAUCUACUUUGAUCUUGUCUAAGACUUGUUUGUCUGUCUAAAAGCUCGUUCCCCUUGGGGUGCCCUGCCCCUCCUUAUAUAAGUUGAAGGGUCGGGUUACAUGUAGAGUUGUAGUAGGAUUAGGACUUAGCCUAGUUAUGACUUCUUAUCACGGGCUUCUUAACCCUGGGCUUCCCACCGUGGUCUUCUUAACGCCCAGGCUUCUUAUCUCCAGGCAGCUCAUCUUCAGGGCUCAUCUUUGAGAUCAUCUCUCCAGGAUUCUAAGUAGAUGCUGGGUUAGGAUCUGGGUUACACAAUCUGCCAGGUUAGGAUCUGGGGUACACAAUUGACCGGGCUACACAAUCUACCAGGCUAGGAUCUGCCAGGCUAGGAUCUGCUAGGCUAGGAUCUACUGGAUUAGCACCUACCGGGUUAAGUCUAGAGAUGACUUAACAUCAUGAGUCGGGUUUAACCGCGGGUAAUUCCCCCGACAACCCUCGUCUAGGCUCCAAUUAUUUUGAGGUGGCGACCGCCCUGGAGCCUGAUUCAUGGAAGUGGGGGUGAUUUUAUGGCCUGAAUAACUCCUUCGACCUUGACGACCCUGGGCUGUCUGAGUUAGCCGACGAGCCUUGCUGGCAGAGGCUAGAGUGGAGAUCGAAGACCGUUUUCUCCUUGGAGAUCGACCUUUUGAUAGAUGCGGUUUUCGUCUGCAGGAGAAAGGGCUCUCCGGGCUGCAGAUCCUGAAGACCUAGGUGGAGCAGAAUGUUCAGCCCUUGUGGUGGAUUGAGUCCCCCAUGUAUGAGUAUUGAGGGUUGGGUGACCCCAGCCGCCUGCUUUGGUUGGAGCUUUCGGAAAGCGAGGUCAAAGAUCGUGUACACCUGCUGACUGGCCUCCCUCUCGGGGAGAUCCACAUGGAGGUCUCCAUGAAGCCCUACAACCAAGUGAAUCUGUGGCCUCCGAUAAGUUGCAGGUGUCCACUUUUUUCUGUUUUAUUGGGGACGACACACUAUGCUUUGUCCUAACACUCCAGCGCCAUUUUUCCUUCUUCGGCCAGUCUUUCAAGCAUUUGCGGAGCAGUGCCUGCCCCCCGCGGCCUCAUGGCUACGUUGUGGCCCAGUACUACAGGGGUCAUGAGGCCAUUAAUAAAAGCAGUUACAAUGAUUCUGCGGUUAAAGCCACCGCUAAGGCAAGGGAAUCUGUCAAGAGGUUGGCGUCUUCUCCAGGAAAAACUUUUGUGGUGAAGGUCGCAUGGUUGCAGGCGGGGUCUGCUGGAGGGUCAUCGAUGGAAACAGGGUUGACAUGGGAGGACACUACAAGAUCUGACUCCUUGGAUCCCCCGCUGGACACGUCCAAUUCUCCAGCCAGAGAGCUCAUGCUCCUGACGAACCACCCGGAGGAGUCGUCCAAAGCGCGGGCCUCCGCACCUUUGGUAAGUCCUCCUCAGAAGCCGAACGGUGGCAGCCAAGAAGAAACUCGCAAGCCGCCGCCCACCUCUAUCAUCCAUGAUCCAACUUCCCAUGGCGGAAUUGCCUUGUGGUCAUUCAGGCUCUGGAGGUCUUGAGCAUUCCAAUCGCCCUACAACGCAGUUUGGGGCCUCGGUGGAGGCCGCGGUGUUACCUCGCGGGCUCUUCUCUAGGGCCGAUGUAGUGGGCAGUGGUAUGCGGCGUUUGACCUUGCUACCCUUACACGAGGGUCAUCCGAACACCCCCCUGUGUUAGACCGCUUGAGGGCUGUUGUUCGCAGAAGUGGAGCCCUAGGAUAGGCACUGCAGGUUGCGUUAGGGGAGCCUUGAUAGAGGCAAAGGUGUCCCUGAAAAAGCACGGAGGCUGGAACUGAGGUAGCGCGUUGGUUCUCUCAUAGUAUGUCAGCAGCCUGACAACAGACACCAGCGUUGUAGCUGUUCUGGCAUGCAACGAGGGCGCUAAAGAUUCAAAGGUGGAAGAUGGUCCAACGACGAGCCGACCCAUGAGGCAAAAGAGAACACCUGCGCGAUUUGCUGAUCCAGCUUGGGCCCAUUAACUAUGUUAACGACCGCUGGGUUCGGCGCUAGGCAUAGAAUCUCCGGAGUCUGGCCACGUUCCAUGGGUUCGGCUCGAGUCUGUUAUCAGAUGCAUUACGUAAGCGGUAUGCUCCUCCGGUGAGAACUUUAUCAAUGACGAAGGGACCUUCCCACUUAGGUUUGAGCUUGUCCUUCUUCUUCUCCGGUAGGCGUAGAACGAGUUCGCCAAUAUUAUAAGUUUUGGCCCGCACUUCUCUGCUUUGGUACCGUCGAGCCUGCUGCUGAUAGAAUGCAGAGCGGGCUUUUGCAACGUCGCACUCCUCCUGCAGAGCAUCCAAGUUAUCCUGCCGAUCUAACUCGGCUUCCUUCUCUUCGUACAUGCGUACGUGAGGCGAAUCAUGUAUUAUGUCGCAGGGUAGUACUGCUUCCGCGUCGUACACCAUAAAAAAUGUUGUAUAUCCGGUGGUGCGAUUCGGUGUGGUCUGCAGCCCCCAGAGUACGGAGUCGAGCUCCUCGACCCAGUGCGUGUCCGACUCUGUCAAGGAUCGCACUAGUCUGGGUUUGAUGCCGCUCAUGAUGAGACCGUUCGCACGUUCGACCUGGUUGUUUGUUUGGGGAUGGUAGACGGAAGCGUGGUCGAGCUUAAUGCCCAUUUUGUCGCACCAAGUUUUCACUUCAUCGGUUGUGAAAUUUGAGACAUUAUCAGUGAUGAUGCUGUGGGGGACGCCGUAUUGGUGUACAACCCCGGCUAUGAAGUCUAUCACUGGUCCGGAUUCGGCCAUUUUGACUGGUUUAGCUUCUAUCCAUUUGGUGAACUUGUCCACCAUGACCAAUAAGUAUUUUUUCUUAUGGCUUCCCCCUUUAAGUGGUCCGACCAUAUCCAGCCCCAAGACCGCGAAGGGCCAAGUUAUGGGGAUUGUUUGGAGAGCGGUAGGGGGCAUAUGACUCUGAUUGGCAAAGAGCCGGCAAUCGACGCAGUGUUGGACAAGGUCCUGUGCGUCUGCUCGGGCUGUCGGCCAAUAAAAGCCUGUACGGAAGGCCUUGCUGACUAGUGCUCGAGCCGCGGCGUGGUGCCCGCCCAGUCCGGCAUGGAUUUCAGCCAAGAGCUGCCACCCUUCCUCUUCGAAGAUGCACCUUUGGAGCACUCCGGUCGCACUUUUCUUAUAGAGUUCCCCUUCAUGGACUUUGUAAGCUUUAGAACGCCGCACGAUGCAACGUGCUUCAUUUUGGUCUUCGGGGAGCUCCUGCCUGUUUAGCUAGGCCAAGAAAGGUUCAGUCCACGAGGCGAUUACAACCAUGAUUUCGUGGGCCGAAGAUGUUAUUUCGGUGGUGGAGACUCCGAUUAUGUCUGAUGGUUCAGAAUCUGGGGGUGUAUUCGGAUCCGUGCUAGUGCUGCCGGACUCCCCUUCCCAUACCACAGAUGGCUUGAACAACCUUUCUAGGAAUAUGGUAGGUGAGACAGGGUCGCGUUUAGUGCCGAUGCGGGCAAGGAUAUCCGCCGCUUGAUUAUUUUCUCGAGCCACAUGGUGGAAUUUGAGCCCCUCAAACCGAGCUGACAUUUUGUGGAUGGCAUUACGGUAGGCCGCCAUUUUCGUAUCCUUGACGUCAAAGUCUCCGUUUAUUUGUGAUAUUGCGAGGUUUGAAUCCCCGCGCACCUCCAGGCAUUGAAUGCCCAUAGAGACUGCCAUCCGAAGACCGUGCAACAGAGCCUCGUAUUCGGCUGCAUUGUUGGAGUCUGUGUAUAAUAUUUGGAGUACGUACUGGACCGUGUCUCAUGUGGGAGACGUCAAGACUACACCUGCUCCCAAUCCGGCCAGCAUUUUACAGCCGUCGAAGUGCAUGAUCCAGUUAGAGUACGCGCCGUACUCUUUAGGGAGUUCGGCUUCCAUCCAUUCGGCGACAAAGUCAGCCAGCACUUGCGACUUGAUGGCCCGCCGUGGCUUGUAUGUUAUGUCGAACGGAAGGAGCUCGAUGGCCCAUUUAGCAAUCCGGCCCGUAGCUCCGCGGUUAUUUAUUAUGUCGUUGAGUGUUACUUCGGAGGCCACCGUAAUCGAACACUCUUGAAAGUAGUGUCAUAGCUUCUGGGAUGCCAUGAAGACCGCGUAUGCUAUUUUUUGAUAGUGUGGGUAUCGGGAUUUGCAUGGGGUGAGGACUGUGGAUACAUAAUAAACCGGCUUCUGGAGCGGGAAUUUGUAUCCGUUAACCUCUCGUUCAACGACGAGCACUGCGCUUACAACUUGAUGUGUUACAGCUAUGGACAACAGCAUAGGUUCGCAAAUAUUUGGCGCUAUUAGGACCGGAUUACUGGCCAAUAAGGUCUUUAUUCCGUCUAGUCCGGCCGCGGCUGCAUCCAUCCACACGAAGUGUUCGGUGCGCGAAGAAGGCGGUAAAGAGGUAAUGCCUUUUCUCCUAACCUGGAGAUAAAUCGGCUUAAGGCAGCCACACAUCCAGCUAGUUUCUGGAUGUGCUUGAGGUCUGUUGGUAUAGCCAACUGCGACAGAGCUCAGAUUUUUGCCGGAUUCGCUUCAAUUCCUCUAUUGGAAGCAAUGAAGCCGAGCAGUUUCCCAGAGGGGACGCCGAAAACACAUUUUUUCCGGGUUUAGCUUGAUGUCGUAUGUUCGGAGGUUAUCGAACGUAAGCCUCAAGUCGUCUAUUAGGGUUUCAACAUGUCUUAUUUUUAUGACCACGUCGUCCAUAUAUGCCUCCACUGUUUUGCCGAUUUGCUUUUCUAGGCAUGUUUGAAUCAUGCAUUGAUAUGUUCCGCCGGCAUUUUUAAGCCCGAAAGGCAUAGUGUUGAAGCAGAAAGGACCGUAUGGCAUUAUGAAAGCUGUUGCAGCUUGGUCGGACUUUGCCAUCUUUAUUUGAUGUUAUCCAGAGUAUCCGUCGAGGAAACAUAGCGAGUCGUGUCCUGCUGUAGCGUCGAUGAUUUGGUCGAUGCGAGGGAGGGGGAAGGGAUCCUUGGGGCAAGCCUUUUUGAGGUCUUUGAAGUCGACACAUAGGCGCCAGGAUUUGUCCUUCUUUGGUACCAUUACCAGAUUUGCCAGCCAAUCCGGAUGCUUGAUAUCUCUGAUGAAUCCGGCCUCGAGUAGUUUGGCUAGCUCUUCCCCCAUGGCUUGACGUUUGGGCUCUGAAAAGCGCCUUAGAGUCUGCUUGACAGGCUUGUAUCCUUUUAGUAUAUUGAGGUUGUGUUUGGCCAGUCUGCGUGGGAUGCCCGGGAUGUCCGAAGGGUGCUAGGCGAAAAUGUCCCAAUUCUCGCGCAGGAAGUCUCGCAGUGCGGCGUCCAUUGUGGGGCUCAACUGUGUCCCGAUGGAAGCUGUCUUCGUGUGGUCCGUUGGAUGGACCUGGAAUUUGACUAUUUCGUCUGCGGGUUUGAAUGAGGUGGACUUGGGUCGCUUGUAAAGUAUCAUGUCGUCCCUGUCCACGGUGGCGCGCAUCGUUGUUAGUUCUUCGGCUGCUAGGGCUUCGGACAAUGCUUCCAGGGCUAGUGCUGCGGUUUUGUUUUUGGCGCAAAGUGCGACGUCCGGAUCACUGGCUAAAGUGAUGAUUCCAUUGGGUCCGGGCAUUUUAAGCUUCAUGUACCCAUAAUGGGGUAUAGCUUGAAAGCUUGUAAAUGCCUCCCGCCCUAGAAGGGCGUGGUAUCCGCUACUGAAAGGAGCCACUUGGAAUGUGAUUUCUUCGGACCUGUAGUUCUCCAGAGUGCCAAAUACCACAUCAAGUGUGAUUUUUCCCGCGCACCAUGCUUCUCGACUGGGGAUGAUUCCCCUGAAGGUUGUGCCACUUUGCUCAAUGCAGCUUUUAUCAAUUUCCAUCUUGCUGAGUGUUUCUUCAUAGAUCAAGUUUAAUCUGCUUCCGCCAUCCAUGAGUACUUUAGUGAGCCGAAAGCCAUCUACGAUUGGGCUACGGACCAAAGCGGCUGGUGCCCGGACGGUCUAGAAUUGAGGUUCAUCACUGGCAUUGAAAGUUAUAGCAGUGUCAUUCCACGGAUUUAUUUUUGCCACAUGGCAGAUUUCAGCGGAGCUUCGAUGAGCUCGCUUGCACCUACUGUUUGAGGAAAAAGUCUCGAAGACUGUUAGUACCGUAUUGUUUUCUUUGGCGGGACAUUGUUCUGCUUUAUGGCUUACAAGAAGAUCCUCGCCACUUUUUGCUACCUACCGGAGUAUCCAACAUGCUCUAAGGCUAUGUGUUGGUGUAGUGUCCGGCGUGCUGUGGAGUUUACAUGGCCCGUUGAUCCAUUCUUCCAAUACGGUUCCACGCGCUGGGGUGGGCUUUGGUUUCUUGGGAGUUGGAUCGGCCGACUUUCUAGAGUUCGUCCAUUUAGCUCCGACAAAGGUUUUACUGAGAGCCGGACUAUCCCAAAAUUCUGUUUGGGUUUUCCAAGCGCUUUCCAUCGCACAGUACUUUUGUACUAUGGUUGCCAAGUCUGCGAAGUUUGCUAUGUCACGGCGACUUAUAGCAUUAAGGAUUCCUUUGUUCGUGCAGUUUUUGCAAAAAAGUGAGACUGCGUCCUCCUCACGACAGUCCUUGACCUUGUUUAACACAAGGAGGAAUCUGGCCAGUAGCGAUGUACUGUCUCUUGGGGCUCUUGUCUGAUAUGGGAGAGAGGGUUUAAGUACGGGUGGGUGGGUGUAGCUGAAUCUUGAUUCUGAUCCGAUCUAACGCCCUGGGGCAGGGAAGCUUCCGGGCUUGACAGCUCGGGAUCCAGCAUGCUACCCAGUUUCUCCGACCCAAUAGCCGAUUCUAAGUCCGGGGUCUGGGUCAUGUCUUCCCUUGAGCGGGUGUCCGGCUCAGGGAGCUCGGUGAUCCGGACAUAACUUGUCCUCAAGAUAGAGGGGUAAUCCGUAUGUGGCUCCUCCACUACCGCUAUCUCGUGGGUGACCAGCGGGGAUUUAAUGUCCCUUUGGUCGGGUUUAAGCCCAACCCGGUCAUAGUCUGUGGCAACUCCCAGAGUGGCGAUGCGAUCCAAGAGCUCAUUAAGAGAGGAGAGCUCCAUCGGAUCCAUCUGUUCGGCGAGUUCCGAAUCGACGUGGAGGUUAUGCGUGAUGACCCAAGAGGUCAUCAUCGGCGCGACAGCCGACGGGACAGCCAUGAUGAAGCCGCCUAGUCGGAGAGUUUGGCCUACAGCCAGCGCUCCCCCAGAGGUGAUGCUGUCCUUGACAACGAGACGGGCCAUCGAGCCUUGCAGCGACGACACAGAGGGACUCUCAAUGAAAGCACCAAUGUCGGUGUCAAAACCAGCGGAUCUUGGGUAGGUGGUCCUGAUGUGUGCGUCUUAGGCUGAUGGUAACAGGAGACAAGGGACACAAUGUUUACCCACGUUCGGGCCCUCUCGAUGGAGGUAAAACCCUACUUCAUGCUUGAUUGAUAUUGAAGAUAUGAGUAGUACAAGUGUAGAUCUACCACGAGAUCGUAGAGGCUAAACUCUAGAAGCUAGCCUAUGAUGAUUAUGAUUGUGAUCAUUCCUCUAAGGACCAACCUCUCCGGUUUAUAUAGACACCGAAGAGGGCUAGGGUUUACACGGAGUUAGUUACAAGGAAGGAAAUACAAUAUCUGGAUCGCCAAGCUUGUCUUCCACGGAAAGGAGAGUCCCAUCCGGACACGGGACAGAGUCUUGAGUCUUGUAUCUUCACGCUCCAACAGUCCGGACAAAGUAUUUAGUCUGGCUGUCCGGAUACCCCCUAAUCUAGGACUCCCUCAACUACCGUCAGUCACAGUUUCUUUGCAAGUACCAGUUCAGAUACUCCAGUAGCGCGUUCACCAGGUUGGCCAUAAACUCGUGGCCCAGGGAUUGAUUUUAUGGAGUGGUUGUUCUACUGACGAAGCCACUUGGGAAGAUCUGGACUCACUCAAAUAACAAUCCCCGAGAGUUCCGCCUUGGGGUCAAGUCGUUUCUAAAGGAAGGGGGGAUGUCAGCACCCCGACAACAGACAGCAGCACUGUAGCUGUUCCGGCACGCAACGAGGGCGCUGAAGAUUCGAAGGCGGAAGAUGGGCCAACAACAAGCUGGCCCAUGAGGCAAAAGAGAACUCCGGCGCGAUUCGCUGAUCCAGCUUGGUCCCGUUAACUGUGUUAACGACCGCCUCCUUUAAAUAGCUAGCUUACCAUUGUAAGAGGAUAGAAAGGAAUUGGACGGCGGCUUUGGCCAAUGCUUGUAAUCUCUAUGUAGCUGUGUGGGUGGUUGGCGGGUUAGCUAUGCAAACACUUUCCCCUCUCGAUUUGGAAAUGAAACCCUAGUCCGAUUCCAAUAGAUCGAGAGAGAUCCUUACAUAGUAGCCCCCGAGCCUGAAGUAGAUUGUGACACAAUGUGCUUGAGGCUUCAUUUAUUUUGUUGUAGGCCUUCGUUGUGCAUAGAGCGGAGCUGACUGCGUGGUCCCGCUAACCAAGCCAGCUGGUGGUGGCGAAAUAGGAGCGUGAUUCUCGGUUUGAGAGAACUCUCACAGACGUCUUGUGUAAGUCCUAUGUGUCCUGCCUUCAAGUUACUAUGUUGUGAAUUUGUUCCGAGUAUUCUUCACCUAAAAUAGUGAAGGAUCGUGUGCUGGAGAUGCAAGGGCGCCUCGACGCCAAUCGAAAGGUGGCGAGUCGUGCUCGUGAUGUCGUGGAGGCCAAGCUCAUGGAGGCGCGGUCCUACCAGGACGUUCUUCGUGCUGAGGGUGAUGUGCUGGACAGGAACCGGGACAUUACCGAAGACCACCAUGAUGAGAUGCAGGAAGGUCGGGUGAAGGAGGCUGAGCUCCAGAGGAGAAUGGAAAGUGCUUGAGGUCAUAUCGCGGCCACCCAUGUCCAAUUGGAGGGUUUCAGGGUGCAUGAGGCCUCGUUGUUGGAGGCCGGGCAACAAGUUGUGCUACUUGUAAGUUGCUUUGGGAUUUUCCUCGAAGAGGAAGGGUGAAGCAGUAUAUUAUCGAUAAGUUUCCUUAGUUGAGAACCAAGGUUUAUCAAACCAGAAGGAGCACCAACCAGAUCUUAGUGAACAACACCUGCAUACACAAAAGUAAACACCUGCACCCAACACGGGCAAGAGGGUUGUCAAUCCCCUUGAACUCGUUACUUCCAAGAAUCAAAUCUUGUAUAGGUAGAUGGAUAAAUUGCAAAACAAAAUAAAAGAUAAAAAAUUGCAGCAAUGUAUUUUUGGUGUUUAUAAUAUGAUUAAAGUAGACCCAGGCACUACUAGCUAAUACCUUGUAGGUAGAGGAUUAACAGUAGCGAUGGCUUAAUGGGAAGCGCUAUUGUUAUUUAGCAGCAGCACGGGCAUGCUAUCCGCACUGCAGGUGGGAUUUAGCAGUAGGCUAGCCUGCCAGACCAGCGCAACUACUAUGCGGGCCUCGCCGUGUCCCCAUGGGCUGGCCAUAUUGGCAACACGGGUCACAGACCAACGGUUCUGCUAAACCCAUUAGCAAUAGUGCUGGCUGAUGGCCCGCGCUGCUAUCAUGGCCAGCCCGGGCCCACAGGCUUGUCCCCACUUAGCAGCAGUGCUAGCCGAAGACCCGUGCUAUAACUAAUGGGUUUAGCAGUAGCGUUGGGCUCUGACCCCGCACUGCUGCUAAGUGGGCCUUACCCUGUCUAUAUUGGCGCCCGUUGUGCACUCUCCCUCUCCACUCUCUCUACCUUCAUCACCUCCCGUGCUGUCACCGUCGUUGCCGCACCGACAUCCUGCUCGGUAAGCCUCCUUCCUCCUCCAACCGGUUGCCCCUCCUCCCUCCUCCAACCGUUGCUGCCCCUCCUCCCUCCUUAUCCUCCACCCCCCGCCCCUCCUGCCCCUCCUCCCUAGGUUUUUGGGAUUUUCUUCAAGUUCUAGCAUUUCUUCAAGUUCUAGGUCUAAAUGGAAAUUAAUUGCUAAUGUCCUGCUAUAUGCAUGUUUUUAUAGGUUUUCAUAGAUGUAGUAGUAGUAGAUGAGUAGUUGUGAAAAUGUGAAGUCAUUAUUUUUUUGAAAUAAAAAUGUGAAGCUAGUAUUCUUUUGACAUGAAAAUGUGAAGCUAGUAUUUUCUUUUGAUGAAAAACUGAAGCUAGUAUUGUUUUUCAAAUGAAAAACUGAAGCUAGUAUUUUUCUGAAAUGGAAACAUGAGGACUUAGGGCAUCGACGAAAAAGGUUAGUGUCUCACACAAUUUGACUUUAGAAAGGAGCAACAAUAGUUGACUAUAGUAGUCCUUUGAAUGAUUUUAAAACAUGGGAGAAUGGGCAUUACAAUUUCUUUGCUCUCUUGUGGUACGAUAUAGAACUUGGAAAAUUGGUGGGAAGGAAAUUGAAACAAAAUCACAAUUUUGAGUUGGAAUUUCAUUUUUGCAUUUGUUAGUUCUACAUGGAGAGGACUGUUGAAUGCUCAUGUGGUGCAGGGUAGAUCACCGACGAGCCACUCGACAAUGCCCAGAAAAUCACUGAUGACACCUGCAUCCUCGACAACCGUCUAGUGAGUAAAGAUGGUCUAUUUGGACAUGUGAUAUGUGGAGUAGUGUUGUGUAGUACUAGUGUUGUCACAGAAUGAUAUUUUGGAAAAUUAUAUGAUGGAUAUGUCUACUACAAGUGUAUGUGUUUUCCCAAGUGCUAUCUUCGCUUUUAUUGUUUGCAGGGAACACCUUCGAGUGGCCUAUGUUUUGCCAGAGUGUUGAUUCAUUUCCGUUCAAGCAAAUUUCAGGCGCUCGAUAUGUCCUAUUUUAGCAAAGGUCAUGCCGGAAUUUUCCAUGAAUUUUAGAUUGACUUGUGCUAUAAUAUAGGAAAUAUCAAGUGCCUUGGAUUUGUCAGAAAGAUAAUUAAACGACCUUUCAGGUUAACUUCAAGUCUGUCGGGGCUCCAUACAUGACGGUAAAAAAAUCAGUGAGGGAGAGUGUCCGCCAUAUAUGAGACAAGAACAAUGCCGACUAUUGUCAUGGGGGUCGCUCUUCCUCUUCUUUCUCGUGAUAUACCUUUUGGUAGUGCACGGGAAGGAAGAGAAGAGUGACCAUCACCAACGGCCAAAAAAUCAGUGAGGGAGUGUCCACCAUAUAUAGUUGAAAUAUCAGUGAGGAAGAAUCCCGACUGUUGUCCUGGGGGUCGCUUCUUCUUCAUUCGCAGGUGCUAGACAUUUUUGUGUAAUGCACUUUCGAAUGAAAGGAGGAGCGAUCAUCACCGAUGGUCGAAUAUAUCAGAGAGGAAGAAGCCCAACUAUUGUCGUGGGGGUCGGUUCUCCAUGUUCCUGUGUGCUAGAAAUUUUGGUGUAAUGCACUCGGGAACGAAGGGAUGAGCGACCAUCACCGAUGGUCGAAUAUACUAGAGAGGAAGUGCCCACCAUAUACCCCACAUGAGAUGAGAGUUUUCAAGGAAGACUCGACAGACCAAAAGUCAACCCAUGCUGAAUAGUGAUAUGUGUGUUGAGUUUUUGGUAAUAUCCGUUAAUUUAUAAGCUUUGAAUUAUGAACACAGGAAAUGUCUGACGAUGAUAGGAUUUUCGAGUGCGAAUACUACAACAACGACUAGGAUAUGUGCGACAUGCAUCACCUGGAAAACAGUAGAUUCUUUACCAUCAAGCUGGAUGAGACCUUUGACGAUUUUAUGGUACGCAACAACGACAAGUAUUUUUUUCGUAAUUAAGCAUGGCUUGCACUUAUUUGCUUCAACAUGUAAUUUCUUUUUUACAAUUCUACUAGUGCAUCCCCUGCCAUGCAAGGCUGUUUGUCUUGGAUAAGCUUGAUUUCCAAGAUAGUGACAAUAUGGAGAUGAAGAUAGCCCAUCUAAGGACUCAACAUGGUUACGCUUUUGCGGUUAAGGUCCACAAUGCAGUUAAUCACACACAUUUUGGUUGCUCAAAUUAGAGAGCUCUAUGCAAGGCCUAUCGAUUUCAGGAGGAUAUGCAAAUAACCUUCGAUAUUCGUCCUGAAGAUGAUGUUCAAGAUAGUAUCGAACUUUGGGUGAAUCUGGAUAUGCUUCCAGUUCUACCUCUAUGUGAGUUUGUCAAACAAAUUUGUCAAGUAAUUUAUAUUGCUUAUUUAAAAAUAGUUGACAACUUAUUUCCAUUGACAGCUUAUUUCCAUUCUUUAAGAACUGUACGGAAGGUAUAGACAACACAUACUGCAGUUAUGGCUCUGAACUACUUGCGAGGAGAAAAAUCAUCUUGUCUCAUUUAUUGAUGAUAUUGAGACUCACAACAACAAUUAUGAAAAUAGCCCACAUUAUGGUCAAUACCUGCCACUAGUCCACGUGAUGAACUACGAUAAUAUCAAUGGAAAUAGCAUGGUAAGAAUUUUACUAUUAUGUCACUAGUGCAUCUUUUGCAUACAUUCUUAUUAAGCUAAACUACAUUGCUAACUAUGUUAUUAUUAUGUUCUUCAAAAGAAACUACCGAAGAAUUGUGUGCCUCAUCUGUUGCAUAUGCAAGGUGACCCGAAUAUUAUUAUCUUACAACCAAGUUUGCCUAUUGUUCACCACUGUGCAUACUUGAUUUCUCGAAGAGAUGAAGACCUCACAAUCAAACAAUGGAUAAAAGUAACGAAUGAUCACAGGGAGCUACUUGGAGGCGACAUGGUGUGAAGCCCACAAAUUGGAGACAGGUGCAUCUCCAUUCUCCAUAAUGGAGAAUCAGGGGCUAUCCUAUUUUAUGCUAUUUUACCUUAGAGAGAGUAGCACACCCUAGCUAGCACUCAUCAUGUGCUCAGAACAAUUAACUAGUGUUGGUUAUGACUAUGAUGAUGUGUUGUUAUUAUGAUGAUGAAGAUGAGUUAUGUGCUAGAAUGAUUAGUUGUUAUAUGAGUGUGAUGAUGAUGAGUAGGACUUGUUAUUAUGAUGAUGAUGUUGAGUUGUUAUUAUGUGCUAGAAUGAUGAGUUGCUAUAUGACUAUGAUGAUGAUGAGUAGGACUUGUUAUGAUGAUGAUGAUAAUGAGUAGGAUUUUUGAUUACUUUGUAUACAUCCACUUGAAUCAGAUCCUUGUUUGUUUCACCGACUGAUAUAAUAACUCAUCAUGAUCAUAAUGAUAUAACAAUCUCUAAAUUGCUACUAUAUCAAAUCUUGUAUAAUGGUGUAUAAAAAUAGUAUAAAACAAAUGAAUCGAAAUACAGAUGAAUAGUUGUAGUGCGGGGCUAGGGCGCAUGCUGCUAGUACAUAGCAGUAGCACGGGUGAGAACACACAUUAUUGCUAAAAGUUAGCUGUAGCACCAUAGCAGUAGCAUGGGUACCCACGCUACUGAUAGCCUCUAGACCCGCGCCACUACUAGUAUUUUCCCUAGUUGUUUUUUUUGGGGGGGGGGCAUAGUUUUCACUAGAGACCUCUCUCUUGAAACAAUAACAUACGAUGGGUAUACAAAUUACUGUUGGGCAACUGAUAGAAAAGUGCACAGUUACGACGUAUUCAUGGCAAUGAUCAUGUAUACAGGUAUCACAUCCGUGACAAGUAGACCGACUCCUGCCUGCAUCUACUACUACUCCCUCCAUUCCUUUAUAUUAGGUGUACUUUUUGGUUAAAUUCCACAAAUGUAAAGUGCAUUUGUUCUAAUUCAUCAUAAUUUCAUUCUUGGCCCUUGAAAGAAGGAAAGUAUCUUUCACCUGAUUGCAUGCAUCUCUCCUUGUAGAGGAAAAAUAAAACUAUCUCUCCCCUGAUUGCGUGUAUCUCUUCCUUUUCUAGCCUAAAUGAUUUACUUGCCACUAAUCAACAAAUUAGACAAGGGUAAUUUCGUCCUAAAUUGUUUACAAUUAUGUGCCUUGGUCACAGUGCCGAAAAUAAUACACCUUACAUAAAGGAAUGGAGAGAGUAUUACUCAACCAAUCGACCGUUGUCCAGCAUUCAUCUAUGGUAUGUUCAUGACAAACAGAGUAAUGCAGUAAGCAAGAUGACAUGAUGUAUACAAAGUAAACUCAAGCAAUAUGAUUAAAUCCCGUGGUUUUACCCUUAAUAGCAAAAUACAAUACAUGCCUUGCUACCCCUUCUAUCACUGGGUGAGGACACCACAAGAUUGAACCCAUUAAAGAACACCCCUCCCACUCAAGAUAAAUCAAUCUAGUUGGCCAAACCAAACUGAUAGAUCAUAGAGAAAUACAAAGUUAUAACAAUUAUGCAUAAUAAAUCUUAGAAAAGACUCAAUUACUUUCAAUGAAUAAUCUAAUCAUAAACCCACAAUUCAUCGAAUCCCAACAAACACACCGCAAAAGAAGAUUACAUCGGAUAGAACUCCAAGAAGAUCGAGGAGAACGUUGUAUUGAAGAUCAAAGAGAGAGAAUAAGCCAUCUAGCUACUAGAUAUAGACCCAUAGAUCUGUGGUGAACUACUCACACAUCAUUAGAAGGCAUCAAGGAUGAUGUAAAAGCCCUCCGUGAUCGAUUCCCCCUCCAACAAAGUACCAAAAAAGGCCUCCAAAUGGGAUGAUGGAAGAACAUAAGGUUGAGGCAGCGGAAAAAGUGUUUGGGGUGGCUCUCUGUUGGUUUGGGAAUAUUUAUGAAUUCAUAGAGGUGGAGUUAGGCCAAAUGGAGCUUUGUGGGCCCCACGAGCUCAGGGGGCGUGCCUUGUGAGCUUGUGACUCUCCCGUAGGUCUUCUGGCCUCCUCCCAAACCUUGUAGAGUCCUUUCUAGUCCAGAAAAAAUCACCAUAAAGUUUCAUCGUGUUUGUACUUCAUUUGGUACAGAUUUUCUGAAAAGCCCAAAAUAAGCAAAAAAAAAAAAUAACUCGCUCCAUGCACUGUGUUAACAGGUUAGUCCCAAAAAUGAUAUAAAAUAGCAUAAAAAUGCAUAUCAAGCAUCGAAGAUUGAUAAUGUAAUAGCAUGAAACAAUCAAAACUUAUAGAUAUGUUGGAGACGUAUCAGCAUCCCCAAGCUUAAUUCCCGCUCGUCCUCGAGUAGGUAAAUGAUAAAAACAGAAUUUUUUAUGUUGAAUGCUACCUAACAUGUGUAUCAUGUAACCUCUUUGCGGUGUAAAUAUUGAGAAACGAUGAAGUAACAAUAUCAACAUAAUAAUAUCCAUGAAUAUAAGAAGCAUAAUCAUUACUUUUCAAAAUAUAUGAUCCUUAAGGAUUGUUAUCCCUACUGAUUUUAUCAUGUUAACAUGGCAUGACUCCGCCUUCACCACAUAAAUAUAAAUCAUGAGCACCCCAGUGUCAAACUAGGUAAUUGGAUUGUACUUCUAACGCGCUUCAGCAUUUUUAACCCCACGAAAUACAUGAGCGUGAGCCAUGGAUAUAGCACUAUAGGUGUAAUAGAAUGCGGUGAUAGAGAUCAAUAAGGGAAGUCGAAAAGUAAGAAAGUCUCGCAUCAACAUGGUUGAUCAACGGGCAAUGGACAGACCCUCAAUCGAUGUCAAUGCGUGGAGUUGGGAUUGCCAUCCAACAGAUGCACGAGCUAUAAGUGUAUGAAAUUUCGACGGAAACUCAGUGGGUGUGCAUCCACCUUGCUUGCUCAUGAAGACCUCAGGCAUUUUAGGAAGCCCAUCAUCGGAAUAUGAAAGCCAAGUUCUAUAAUGAAACAUUCCCACUGGUACAUGAAAGUGAUAAAUCAGGAAACUCUCUUUAUGAAAACAGGGUGCUACUCUGAAGCACAAAUGUGGAAAAAGGAUAAUAGCAUUGCCCCUUCUCUCUUUUCUCUCAUUUAUUAUUUUUCUUUCUUUUAUCUCUCUCUUUUUUAUUUUUUUAUUUUUCAUCCGGAGUCUCAUCCCGACUUGUGGGGGAAUCAUAGUCUCCAUCAUCCUUUCCUCACUAGGACAAUGCUCUAAUAAUGAUGAUAAUGACACUUUUAUUUUGUAGCGACCACAAUCCUAAUGGACCGAAGUCUCUGUGCUUAAGUGUCAUCCCUGGAUCGGUAUGCUGACACACACACAAUACUCGAGGAAUUAUAACAGAGUUCAGUCACACACUUAUUACAUCGAGGUCCUCAUAAAGACUAUCUAUUGCAGAAAUAAAAUGGCUGAAGGCCAUCUAACUAAAUAACCGCGGAAGCUUCAAAGAUAAAUGAGUCCAUUAACUCCAACGGCAUAGCUGAGUGCACGACAACAACCUAUCGCACCUUAUUCUUCAUCGGUAAAGUCUGCAACAUGAGACGUUACAACCGUGUAGGUUAGCACAUGGAAUAUGCUGGCAGAGUUACACUGUAUAACAAGGUGAAUGCAGGAAACUAUAUCUACAUGCAUCUUUGGCUGGUGGAGGCUCUAAGUUUAAUGUUUUGCAUAAAGCUAAUUUUUCCCUACAACAAAGGAAUAAAUUUUAUUUACUAUAAAACUAAACCAAUAUUUGAGAAGGUUCCUCCAACUCAAAUCCCAAAUUUAAUCAAGUAUCAUCAUUAAACCCAAUUCAUUAAUUAAAGAGUGAUGAGAUCAACAAUAAUAUCCACUUCUAGAUACUCAAUAUGUCCAUAACAGGGGACACGGCUAACCAUGAUUAGUUUAUACACUCUGCAUAGGUUGCGCACUUUUCCCCACAAGACUCAACCGCAUCCAUGAUCGGAAGAUCGAGACAUAGUCUUCCUGAAGCAUUAACUCUCUACUCUGGGUACACCGGUACACCUACUUUCCCCUACAUAUGCUAGUCAACCGCUUCAAGAGCUCAUACAACUUAAUCAACUAUGCCAGAGCCCAUAAUGGCUUGUGGCUGCACGCGGAAGUUUCUAGGCAUGAAGUAUCAUAUGAUUCCUUUGAUCCUGGGUGAUGAACCAAGGAAAAAUCACAUGGGUACUCCGGGAUUUCCCAAAUGGGCAAGCACCGGUUUCUCCAGGUGCCGCAACUAGUCCACCCAGAUGUGUAUUAAAGUUGCCACCUUAAUGUUAUCCAAAUAUUAAUAUCUCUCACAACUUCCAUGUACAUCAUGAUCCAAUCCCCAUCUACGUGCAUGGCUAAGCAAUAAUUGAGCAUAACAUAUAUUCCCGGGGUGAUCAAAGGUAAUAGGUUCCUACCUCAUGAACUACAACCAAACCACAUGUUCCCAAUCCUACUCAUGCAAAUCUUUGAGGGGCAAUACUAAUGCGUAGUAAAAGCUGGGUAUAGAAAAGUAUGAUCAAGUGUAACUUGCCUUGCUAACGAUCGAAAACUCUAGAGAUUCAUAGUAACAAGCUUCGCACUCCGGAAAAUCUAGCAUAGACAAACAAUAGCAUACAUAAGCAAUCAAGCAGAUGACGCAGAGAGAAAGCGAGAAAAGAUCCAAAUAAAACUUGAAACAAACAAAUUAACAAAAAUAAACAGAAAACAAAACUUAACAGCAUCCUUAUUAUGUGGAUUAGAUCUUAACAGUAGGUACUUGUGAUUAGCUAUGAUUUGCAAAAAGAAACAACAAACGGAGCUACAAAACUCAAGAUACAAACAAAACAAGAUCAAAUACUAAUAUGAACUAAACUCAAAUUUUAAAUUUUCAAAACCAUGUUAAAGUUGGUUUACUGGAUAGAGGGAAUCGUUCUGAAGAUUUAGGCGUUGGUUUCAUCUAAUUUGACCAAACGAGCUAAACGUUACGCUAGCUUGAAGAUUAGGGGCUAAUCUGCGAUAAAACUAUUCACGGAUAGGUCCCUGGCCGAAAAAACAGAAAAGAAAAAUCUAUCGGACGAACGUCCGCUAACAGAGACUAACGGAUGAAUUCGUUCGUUAAAAGAUCUAAAUGGGUGAAUGUUUGUUAACUAACGAACUAAAAUAAAUAAAUAAAAAACUGAUCUAAUCUAAACCGAAAAAACUGGGAAAAGACCGGCGAACCGGAUCGGGUUUUUACCGGCUAACGGCGGCGAGCUAAAACUGAUGGCUGCGGUGGCGGCUCCGGCUAACGGUGGCGAGGUGAGGCACGGUCGACGGCGGCGGCUGUGGGGCUCCGGCGGGGCGGCGGAGCNNNNNNNNNNNNNNNNNNNNNNNNNNNNNNNNNNNNNNNNNNNNNNNNNNNNNNNNNNNNNNNNNNNNNNNNNNNNNNNNNNNNNNNNNNNNNNNNNNNNNNNNNNNNNNNNNNNNNNNNNNNNNNNNNNNNNNNNNNNNNNNNNNNNNNNNNNNNNNNNNNNNNNNNNNNNNNNNNNNNNNNNNNNNNNNNNNNNNNNNNNNNNNNNNNNNNNNNNNNNNNNNNNNNNNNNNNNNNNNNNNNNNNGAACGAGGAGUCCGACUCGGACUCCUCCGGCGACAGCAACGGUGCUCGGGACUUCGGUCCCGAGUCGGUUGAGCUUGCGAGGCUAGCUGGGCCGUGGCCUGGCUCAGCUGGGCUAGCUGAGUUCGGUGAACUUUUUUUAAAACAUUUUUUCCUGGAGACUAAAACACUCAAAAUAAAUAAAAAUAUAAACCUAAAAAUUCCAAAAAAAUUCACGUAGCUAAAUGGCCUUAUAUAUGACAUCGUGAUCAUUUUUCUAGACUUAUAUGCCUAAACUAAAAAUAAACAUUACAGUUCUCAUUACUCAACUAAUAAAUAAACAAACGAGCGAAUAUAAUCAAAUAAGCUCUCAAAAAUUCAAAAUUCAAUUUCCUAUAUUUUUCUACUGAUUUGAAGAAGUCAUAUUAUCUUCUCUCAUUAUUUUCAAAAAUAUUUGGAAAAAGAAUUUUGAAAACAAUUUGAUCCAAUUACCAAAUUUUGAUAAAUCAAAACUGGAUUUUUGAGAAACCUCCAACUCUCUCAAAUUGGUCCUUGAGUUGCUUAAGGCCUCUUGGAUCAAAAUGCAACCAAACUAAACAACAAAAUGCAAUAAAUCAUGUAUGCAUAUGAAUGAUCUAUGUAUAACAUCCAAAUUGAAAAUUGGGAUGUUACAAACCUACCCCCCUUAAGAUGAAUCUCGCCCUCGAGAUUCGGGUUGGUCAGCAAAAAGGUGUGGGUGGUCCUUGCGGUGGUCUUCUUUUCGCUCACAGGUGGCUUACUGCUCGGUAUGGUGGCUCCACUGAACUUUGCAAAACUUGAUGACUUUGCUAUGAGUAACUCGGCUGGAAAACUCGAGAAUCUUAACUGGCUUCUCUUCGUAGGUCAGAUCACUAUCCAUCCGUAUUGCUUCCAGCGGCACUGUAUCUCUCAGAGGAAUGUCAGCCAUCUCUGUGUGGCACUUCUUCAACUGGGAAACAUGAAACACAUCAUGAACCCCUGACAAUCCUUCGGGUAAUUCCAACUUGUAAGCAACUUCACCCAUACGUUCCAACACUCGGGCAGGGUCCCACAAAUCAUGGCGCUAGUUUUCCCUUGACUCCAAAACGCUUAACUCCUCAAAGUGGGGACACACGAAGAUAUGCUCUGUCUCUGACUUCAUAGCCUACCUCCUUGCGUUUAGUAUCUGCAUAACUCUUCUGCCUGCACUGGUCUAUCUUGAGCCUAUCACGAAUCAACUUAACCUUCUCCUCGGAAUCUCUGAUUAGAUCUGGUCCGAACGAUUGUCGAUCUCCAACUUCAUCCCAUGAUAAUGGUGUCCUGCACCUCCUUCUAUACAAAGCUUCGAAAGGGGCCAUCUUCAAACUAGCUUGAUAACUAUUGUUGUAGGAGAACUCUACAUAGGGCAAAUUGUCAUCCCAACUAGAUCCAUAAUCUAGCGCACAAGCUCUCAACAUGUCCUUCAGAAUCUGAUUGACUCUAUCGGUCUUACCAUCUGUUUGCAGAUGAAAACCUAUAUUGAACUCUAGCUAGUACCCAAAGUUUCGUGCAACUGAUUUCAAAAAUUUGAAGUAAACUGUGUUCCUCUAUCUGAUACGAUGGUCCUCGGAACUCCGUGCAAACAUACGAUCCUAGUCAUGUAUAUCUUGACCAACUUAGCACUGGUAUAAGUUGUCUUCGCAGGGAUGAAAUGGGUUACCUUGGUUAAGUGAUCAACUACAACCUAUAUAGAGUCAUAUCCUAAACGGGUCCUGGGUAAUCUGGUGAUAAAAUCCAUGCCAAGUUUAUCCCACUUCCAUUCAGGUAUCGGCAAAGGCUGUAGUAACCCUGCUGGUUUCUGAUGCUUUGCCUUAACUCUCUGACAUACGUCGCAUACUCCUACAUACUCCGCAAUAUCCUUCUUCAUUCCUGUCUACCAGAAACUUUCCUUCAAAUCCAGAUACAUCUUGGUAUUGCUUGGAUGAAUCGAAUAAGGCGAGUCAUGAGCCUCCUGAAUAUUUAACUUCCGGAUCUCAUGGUCAUUAGGCCUGUAGAUACGAUCCUCAAACCAUAAAGUGUCGUGCUCAUCCUCUCGAAAACCUUUAGCUUUUCCUUUACUCAUCCUUUCCUUUAUCUAUGCAAUCUCCUUGUCCAUCUUCUGGGCUUCCCGGAUAUUUCCCAGCAAAGUGGACUGAAUUUCCAAUGCUGCAACAUAACCUCUCAGAACUAUCUCCAAGCAUAGUUCUCGGAGAUCAUUGGCUAACUCCUGAGGCAAUCCUCCGGUUAUGAGCGUGUUAACAUAACUCUUGUGGCUCAACGCAUCUGCUACAACAUUGGCCUUUCCUGGAUGAUAAUGCAAUCUCAUAUCAUAAUCCUUUAUGAGCUCCAACCAUCUUCUUUGCCUGAGAUUCAACUCCUUCUGCAUGAAGAUAUACUUCAAACUCUUAUGAUCCGUGUAAACAUCACAACGGUUUUCGAUGAGAAGUGUCUCCAUGUCUUGAGCGCAUGCACUACGGCUGCUAACUCCAAAUCAUGCGUGGCAUAAUUCAACUCAUGAGGUCGAAGCUGUCGUGAGGCAUAUGAAACAACUCUUCCAUCCUGCAUAAGCACACCUCCAAGUCCUCGAUGUGAUGCGUCACAAUACACUUGGAAAUCCUUGCGUAUGUCUGGGAGAAUCAGCAUUGGGGCUGUAACCAAACGUUUCUUCAACUCCUGAAAACUGGCCUCACAAUCCUCUGUCCAUUUAAACUUGGUGUUCUUCUUCCAUAACUCCGUCAUGGGAUUCGCAAUCUUGGAAAAAUUCUCAACGAAUCUCCAAUAAUAACCUGCGAGUCCAAGGAAACUUCUGAUCUCUCCAACUGAGGUGGGUGCCAACCACUUAGUGGCAGAUGCAACCUUGGUAGGGUCCACUGCUAUUCCUUCUCCUGAUAUAACAUGUCCAAGAAAUCCAACUUCCUUCAACCAAAACUCACAUUUGCUGAACUUGGCGUACAACUGAUGUUCCCUGAGCUUCUCGAGGACCAAGUGCAAAUGUUCCUUAUGCUCUUCUUCAUUCUUCGAGUAGGCCAAUAUGUCAUCAAUGAACACCACGACGAACUUGUCCAAAAACUCCAUGAACACCUUGUUCAUCAUACUCAUGAAAUAGGCAGGGGCAUUAGUCAAACCAAAUGACAUAACUGUAUACUCAUAUAGCCCAUACCUCGUGGUAAAAGCUGUCUUAGGUAUAUCCUGCUCUCAGAUCUUCAGCUGGUGAUAACCUGAUGAAAGAUCGAUCUUGGAGAAAACCUUAGCUCCCUGUAGCUGGUCAAACAAAUCAUUGAUCAUUGGUAGAGGGUAUUUGUUCUUGAUCGUCACCUCAUUCAGCGCAUGAUAAUCAAAAACCAUCCUUGGAGAUCCAUCCUUCUUCUCAACUAGAAGCACUGGGGCUCCCCAAGGCGAUUAGCUUGGUCGAAUAUAACCUUUCUCUAGUAACUACUUAAUCUGCUUCUUAAUUUCCUCUAGAUCAUUUGCGGGCAUCCGAUACGGUCUCUUUGAUAUUGGUCCGGUGCCUGGCAAUAACUCAAUCAAAAACUCAAUAUCUCGAUCUGGUGGCAUGCUCGGUAAUUCCUCCGAAAAUACAUCGGGAUAAUCCUUCACCACUGGUACUUCCUCCUGAACAACUCCCGACAGGGAAUUCACAGAGUCCUCCUCGGCGCAUGCCUAGACACAUACUUGAUCCUCUUUCCUUCUGGGGUGGUGAGAAGAAUUGAUUUACUGGCGCAAUCAAUAUUUCCCUCAAACUUGGAUAGCCAAUCCAUGCCUAGGAUCAAGUCCAAUACUUCUGACUCCAGGAUAAUAAGGCCGGUGGGGAAAACAUGUCUACGUAUGGUUAUCGGCAACUGAUAACAUCCCCGACUAGCCAUAUACUCUGCUCCUGCGCAACUUACUAACAUAGGUGACUUAAGGGCUACUGUUGGCAGCUUAAACUUAUCCACAAAUCCCCUUGAUAUGAAUGAAUGAGAUGCACCAGUAUCGAAAAGAACAAGUGCUAUAAAUGCAUUAAUCAAAAACUUACCGACAACUGCGUCGUGCUGCUCCUCAAUCUCCUCCACACUGACAUGGUUCACCGGACCUCUGGUGAAAGGGUUGGGAUUCUUUCCAUCCAUUGCCAUUUCCAUUCUUUGCUUCAGAACAUUCAGUGGCGUAAUGUCCGGUCUUCCCCCACUUGAAACAAGUAAUGUGACUCUGAUCCUUCUUGGCGGGUGUCACGGGAUUGGAACGGUUCAGAUUGUUGCUUCCUCCAUUCCCAUUGCCAUUCUUAGGGCCACUGUGGUUGUGUGAACUUCCUCCAUUGUGUUAAUGUCCUCCAUUGUUAUGCCCUCCGUGGUUAUGAGUGUGUCCUCCCGAGUACGGGGAAUAGCGAGGCUUCUGCUGAGCUCCAGAAUUGUACCUCCCCUGUCCGUACUUCCUCUUGCGAUUGUCAAUCUGCUGUUGCUUGCCUUCUAUCAUGAGGGCCCUGUCUACCUACUCCUGGUAGUUGUUGAAGGUUGCCACCAUCAACUGCAUGCUUAGAUCAUCAUUGAGUCCCUCAAGAAACUUCUCCUGCUUCGUGGCAUCUGUGGCCACAUCAUCUGGGGCAUAGCGUGCUAACUUGCUGAACUCAUCCACAUACUGUCCCACUCUACGACUCAAUUGGCGUAAGUUGCAAAACUCAUGCUUCUUCAAAUUCAUGGCUCCAGCUGAAACAUGUGCGGUGCGGAAGGCCUGAUGAAACUGAUCCCAUGUAACUGUAGCUAUGGGGUAAGUAAUGGUGAAGUUAUCCCACAAAGAUGCUGCGGGACCAUCAAGCUGAUGUGUAGGAAAGCGCACUCUCUUCACAUCUGUGCAUCCGAUAGUGGUCAGCUCUCUUCCAAUCUUGCGGAGCCAAUCAUCUACAACAAUUGGCUCGGUGCUGCUAGAGAACACCGACAGAUUCAACCUCAAAAAGCGGGCUAGGUUGUCAACAGGGGGUGAUGGCGGUGGGUUGUUGUUGUUGCCUUGGUUCUGAUUCUGGUUCUGGACUAACAUCUGCAUGAAGGCAUUCUGCUGCUGGAUCAACUGGGUGAGCUCCAGCGGGAAAGUGAAUCCGGUGUCUUGUCUCGGAGGCAUCUGAUGGUUAGAGGGGGUGAGAAAACAGAAUAGAAUAAGGUUUAAGAGAGAUUUCACUACCCAUAUGCACAUGAGGCAAAUAAAAUCAAUUCACAUCACUCAAUAUCAAACAAGAUUCAUACAAAUGAUCUAAACUACGAUUACAAAUCGAUCGAUACUAACUACUUGGAAGAAUACUAUUAAUAACAUGGUCGUCAUCUAGAAAUUUUGAUCGGUGGAAGACUCCAUAAUAUCAGCUCCAGCUUCAUCUUCAUAGUCAUCAUCACUGUCAUCAUUUGCAUCACUAUCCGUGUCGGUGUCGUCCAGGAUGAUGUAGUCCUCUGAAUGAAUGUCCACUUCAGGUUCUUGCUUCUGGUUCACCACGGGUAUUCCUAGCUUCGUCUUUAGGUCUUCAUGCUUCUCCAGUAGCACAACAAUUUCUUCUUCAUAUCCAUCGCGGGUUGACUUGAGUUCCUCUUCUAGCUCGAUAUUUCUCUUCAUCAGCUUCUUGGUCUUCUUCAUGAUAGAGAACAUCUGGUUCUCAUAUCGACGAAUGUGCUGAUCCAUCUCCUGAAUGUAUGCUGCAAUUGAUCCAUCCUUCCCGGUAUGAAUCAUCUCCCAUUCCUUGUCUCGGCGUCCAUAUAUCUGAUAGACGGUGUCUUCAAGCUCCUUGUGGUACACCUCACAAUGCGUCCAAAAGUGAUGUGGGCUGCCAUGCUCAUUUCCAAGUUCCAACUUGGUGCAUCCAAGGUAAAAUCGAUGGGCUCAGUUGUUGGCGCAAACGUCCUCCCAGGUAUUCGAACUUCGAUCCUCCAGCGCUCCUCUUCCAAUAAAGUUAUAGUGAAGGUUCCAGUGAAGCUUGGUAGUCCAAUGUUCAGGUACUUCAUGACUUCCUUCAAGUGUCGUCCGAAAUGGGUGUCGUCAUCCGGCUGGGUGAACUUGUUCCUAGGGUCCGUCAUCUAUAGAGUAGAAAUAGAGGAGGAGUAGAAAUGAGAAGAGAAGAGUAUCUUGUGGCUUUUCCUAGUGGUCGCGUCCUACAGUCAGCGUGUUCUCUGAUACCAUCUUGUAGCAACCAUGAUACCAAUGGACCGAAGUCUCUGUGCUUAAGUGUCAUCCCUGGAUCGGUAUGCUAACACACACAAUACUCGAGGAAUUAUAACAGAGUUCAAUCACACACUUAUUACAUCGAGGUCCUCAUAAAGAGUAUCUGUUGCACAAAUAAAAUGGCUGAAGGCCAUCUAACUAAAUAAUUGCGGAAGCCUCAAAGAUAAAUGAGUCCAUCAACUCCAACGGCAUAGCUGAGUGCAUGACAACGACCUAUUGCACCUUAUUCUUCGUCGGUCAAGUCUGCAACAUGAGAUGUUGCAGCCAUGUAGGUCAGCACAUGGAAUAUGUUGGCAGAGUUACACUGUAUAACAAAAUGAAUGCAAGAAACUAUAUCUACAUGCAUCUUUGGCUGGUGGAGGCUCUAAGUUUAAUGUUUUGCAUAAAGCUAUUUUUUCCCUACAACAAAGGAAUAAAUUUUAUUUACAUAAAGUUAAACCAAUAUUUGAGAAGGUUCCUCCAACUUAAAUCCAAAAUUUAAUCAAGUAUCAUCAUUAAACCCAAUUCAUUAAUUAAAGAGUGAUGAGAUCGACAAUAAUAAUCACUUCUAGAUACUCAAGAUGUCCAUAACCAGGGACAAGGCUAACCAUGAUUAGUUUAUACACUCUGCAGAGGUUGUGCACUUUUCCCCACAAGACUCAACCGCAUCCAUGAUCGGAAGAUCGAGACAUAGUCAUUCUGAAGCAUUAAAUCUCUACUUCGGGUAGACCGGUACACCUACUUUCCCCUACAUCUUCUAGUCCACCUCUUCAAGAGCUCAUACAACUUAAUCAACUAUGCCAGAGCCCAUAAUGGCUUAUGGCUGCACACGGAAGUUUCUAGGCAUGAAGUAUAAUAUGAUCCCUUUGAGCCUGGGUGGCGAACCGAGGAAAAAUCACAUGGGUACUCCGGGAUUCCCAAAUGGGCAAGCACUGGUUUCUCCAGGUGCCGCAACCAAUCCACCCAGAUGUGUAUUAAAGUUGCCACCUUAAUGUUAUCCAAAUAUUAAUAUCUCUCACAACUUCCAUGUACAUCACGAUCCAAUCCCCGUCUACGUGCAUGGCUAGGCAAUAAUUGAGCAUAACGUAUAUUCCCGGGGUGAUCAAGGGUAAUAGGUUCCUACCUCAUGAACUACAACUAAACCACAUGUUCCCAAUCCUACUCAUGCAAAUCUUUGAGGGGCAAUACAAAUGCAUAGUAAAAACUGGGUAUAGAAAAGUAUGAUCAAAGUGUAACUUGCCUGGUUGACAAUCUAAAAACUCUAGAGAUACGUAGUAACUAGCUUCGCACUCCGGGAAAUCUAGCGUAGGCAAACAGUAGCAUACAUAAGGAAUCAAGCAAACGAUACAAAACGAGAAAAGAUCCAAAUAAAACUCGAAGGAAACAAAAAACUAAACUAAACAGAAAACAGAACUUAACAGCAUUAUUAUUAUGUGGAUUAGAUCUUAACAUUAGGUACAUGUGAUUAGCUACGAUUUGCAAAAAUAAAAAAAUCAAGCGGAGCUAUGAAACUCAAGAUACAAACAAAACAAGAUCAAAUACUAAUCUGAUCCAAACUCAAAUUUUAAAUUGUCAAAACCAUGUUCAAGUUGGUUUACUGGAUAGAGGGGAUCGUUCUAAAGAUUUAGGCGUUGGUUUCAUCUAAUUUGGACAUACGAGCUGAAAGUUACGCUAGUUUGAAGAUCAGGGGCUAAUCUGCGAUAAAACUAUUCAUCGAUAGGUCCCUGGCCAAAAAAAAAACAGAAAAGAAAAAUCCGUUGGAUGAACGUCCGCUAACAGAGACUAACAGAAGAAUUCGUUUGUUAAAAGGUCUAAACGGGCGAACGCUCGUAACUAACGAAUUAAAAUAAAUAAAAGAACCGAUCUAAUCUAAACCGAAAAAACCGAGAAAAGACCAGCGAACCGGAUCGGGUUUUUACCGGCUAACGGCGGCAAGAUAAAACCGACGGUGGCGGCGGUGGCUCCGGCUAAUGGCGGUGAGGUGAGGCAUGGUUGACGGAGGUGACUGCAGGGCUCCGGCGGGGCGUCGGCGGCGCGGUGUCGGCUGCGGUGUGGCCGGCGGCGGCGACGACUUGAUGAGGAGAGAGGGGGCCGGGGGGUCCCGUAUUUAUAUGCGGGAGGAGGUGACAGCGACUUGGGGAGGGGGUCACGCGGCGGCGGUGGCGAACGAGUAGUCCAGCUCGGACUCCUCCGGCAGCAGGAGCGGCGGCGCUCGGGACUUCGGUCCCGAGUCGGUUGAGCGCGCGAGGCGAGCUGGGCCGGCCCAGUUCGGUGAACCUUUUUUUAAACAAUUUUUCCUAGAAACUAAAACACUCAAAAUAAAUAUAAAUAUAAUCCUAAAAUUCCAGAAAAAUUACGUAGCUAAAUAGCCUUAUAUAUAUGACCUCGUGAACAUUUUUCUGGACUUAUAUGCCUAAACUAAAAAUAAACAUUACAGUUCUAAUUACUCAACUAAUAAAUAAAUAAACUAGCGAAUAAAAUCAAAUAAACCCUCAAAAAUUCAAAAUUCAAUUUCUGAUAUCUUUCUACUGAUUUGAAGAAGUCAUAUUAUCUUCUCUCAUUAUUUUUAAAAAUAUUUGGAAAAAUAAUUUUGAAAACAAUUUGAUCCAAUUACCAAAUUUUGAUAAGUCAAAACUGGAUAUUUGUGAAACCUCCAACUCUCUCAAAUUGGUCCUUGAGUUGCUUAAGGCCUCUUGGAUCAAAAUGCAACCAAACUAAACAACCAAAUGCAAUAAAUCAUGUAUGCAGAUGAAUGAUCUAUGUAUAACAUCCAAAUUGAAAAUUGGGAUGUUACAUAUUUACUUACAACUUGAUACUAUAACUCGAUAAAACUGAAAUAAUGGCUCUAUAUAAAUGCCUCUGUUAGUGUACCAUGAUGUGCAAAGGUUUAGCGUAACAUGUAUAAUAAUGAUGAAUGGUGGCUGUGGCACAAAUAUCAUGUCAGCUCUGUAUGAUCAUGCAAAGCAAUAUGAUGAUGAACACACAAGUCAUGUGUUGGAACGGUGGAAGUUGCAUGGCAAUAUAUCUCAGAAUAUUUAUGGAAAUGCCGUAAUAGGUAGGUACGGUGGCUGUUUUGAGGAGCAUAUAGGGAGCCUUAUGUGUGAUAAAGUGUAUCAUAUCACAGAGUUUGGAUGCACUGGCGAAGUUAACUCUCGAGGUGAAAGGGCAAUGCACGUUACUGAAGAGGCUAGCAAAUUGCGAAAAGUUUAUUAUCCCUCGAAGCAAGGUACUACUCGCAUGCCCCUAGGGAGGAGGUUGGUAGGAGUUAAUUAUCGCGCGCCCCCAAUUAUUACAACACUCAAGCAUUUCAUUUCAAAUAUAAAAAUGCUCAAACCUCCCCACCAUGCCAUAACCAACACUUAGAUGAGAAGUUAAUAACAAGUUUUAGUACCGAUAUUCCUACUAACCAAUGAUCAUGAACCAAUAUCCUUUCAUAUUACGACCGAUAUAUUGAUGUCGUAACAUACCGAUAUAUUGUAGACGAAAGAGGGAAUGUCAUCCGGGGCAUCCCCAAGCUUAGACACUUGGGUCUUCCUUGGAUAUUACCUAGGGGUGCCUUGUUCAUCCCUAAGGUUAGGGUCUUUCCGCUCCUUAUCCUUCAUCCAUCGUGAUCUCACCCAAAACUUGAAGACUUCAGCACACAAAAAUCAAUAGAAAGCUCGUGAGAUCCGUUAGUAUAAUAGACAAAUGAUAAACUUUAGGUACUGUUAUAACUCAUUCAUAAUUUAUUCUUUCAUAAUACCUACUUUAUUCUAACUUCUCCAUGACUUAUACCCACCGAUAUAAUCCAUAGCAUCAUUAAAACAAGUAAACUAUGUAAAAAAGAAUCUAUCCAAAACAGAACAGUCUAUAAUGAUCUGAACAAACACUAUACUUCUGUAGCUCCAAAAAUUCUGAAAAAUUAGGAAAACUUUGGAAAUUUGUAUAUCAAUAAUUUGUAAAAAAUUCAGAAUUUUAUCACGUUCGAGUGAAUUAUAGUAAUUUGAGCUCUGGGUGCAAAAGUUUCUGUUUUUUCACAGAAUCAAGUCAACUAUUAACCAAAUCAUCCCAAAUGCUUUACUUAGCACAAACACUAAUUGAAACAUAAAAACAGAAUCAUAACAGUAGCAAUAAUUUUCUGAACACACCAAAAUAGAAUGUAAAAUCAAAAAUUGAAUAUAACUAUUGGGUUGCCUCCCAACAAGUGCUAUUGUUUUACGCCCCUAGCUAGGCGUAAGGCAUUGUUUCAAGUAUUGUCAUCCUUCAAAUUAAUUCCAUAGUUGACUUUCAUAAUAGAUUCAUAUAGUUGUUUAAUCAUCUUCAUAGGUAAGUGUUUGAUCCCUUUCUUUAAAGGAAAUUGGAACCUUAUAUUUCCUUCUUUCAUAUCAAAUAGCACCUAUGGUUUGUAGGAAAGGCCUACCAAGUAUCAUAGGACAAGACAGGUUGCAUUCAAUAUCAAGCACAAUGAAAUCCACCGGCACAUAAUUUCUGUAAGCAAGUAUGAGCACAUCAUUUAUUCUACCCAAUGGUUUCUUAAUAGUUGAAUCUGCUAAGUGCAAAUUAAGGGAACAUGCAUCCAUAUUGGUGAGAACUAGAACGUAACAUAAAUAUUUUGGUAGAGUAGAGACGCUAGCACCUAGAUCACAAAAAGCAUUAGAUUCAUAAUCUUUAAUAUUUACUUCAAUAGUAGGUUCCCAUUCAUUGUGUAAUUUUCUAGGUAUAGAAACCUCCGAUUUUAGCUUUUCUUCAUGAGCUUUUAUCAUGGCUUCUACAAUAUGUUUAGUAAAAGCUUGACUUUGUUCACAAGAAUUAGGUGAAUUUAUCAUGGAUUGCAUCAAGGAAAUACAUUCAGUCACAUAACAAUUAUGAUAAUUGAAGUCCUUAUGAUACAAAGUAGUGGGUGCAUCACUAUUUGAAGUCUUUACCUCUCCAAACACACUUUUAUCAUUUUUAUCAUUAAGAUCCUCAUUAUGAUUGGGACUACUUCUAGCUAAAGUUGACUCAUCCCAGUCCCUUUUUCAUCAAGUUUUAUAUUACUAAAAAAAUAAAUGGGUGUCACGCCAAUCAUUUUAACAUCCUCAUUAUGAUUAUGAUAAAAACCGUGUGGAAUGGCCUUUUCUAGGAAUUCUCGUUUAGAUCUCAACCUAGCGGCUCUCUCUUUACAUUAAUUAAUGGACACUUGGAUAGAUUUAAUAGACUCAUUAAUAUCAUGAUUAGGUGGCAAUAUUUUAAUUUUAAGAGUAUCCACAUCAUGAGCAAUUCUAUCCAUAUCAUCAACUUUAUGUAGUUUUUCUUCUACCAUAACAUCGAAAAUCUUUUGGGAACUAAGAAAUUCUUUAAUGUGGUUCUCAAGAUCAGUAGUUAUCCUAUUACUAUUAUUGUAUGAAUUAGGAAUUAAAAUAAUUCUUAGAGGAAUUUCAGGAUACAGUAUAGGAUUGAAAUUACCUCUAUAAGCAACAUUGUUGAAAUUAUUUCUAGGAACAAAAUUCACAUCAAUAGCAUCAUUAUUUUGCUCAAUCAAAGUAGAUAGUGGAACAUCAUUAGGAUCAACAUGAGCACUUUUACUAGUAAACAUAUUCAUGAGAGCAUCAAUUUUAUCACUCAACAUAGCAAUUCCUUCGACAGAGUUUACCUUCUUACCAAUUGGAGCUCAUUCGGUGUGCCACUGAGAAUAAUUUGUCAUCAUAUUAUCAAGAAGCUUUGUAGCUUCUCCUAAUGUAAUUCCCAUAAAGUUACUACCUGCAGUAGAGUCUAGAAGAUUUCUAGAAACAAAGUUUAGUCCUGCAUAGAGAUUUUGUAUUAUCAUCCAUAAGCUUAAACCAUGAGUGGUAUAAUUUUGAACCAUUAAUUUCAUUCUCUCCCAAGAUUGUGCAACAUGUUCUUGCUCAAGUUUCUUAAAAUUCAUAAUUUGAUUUGAGAAAUAAUCUUAGCCGGAGGAAAAUACUUGGCAAUAAAAGCAUCCUUGCACGUAUCCCAUGAAUCAAUACUAUUGCGAGGCAAGGAUGAAGACUAAGUUUUAGCACGACCUCUUAGCAAGAAAGGAAAUAAUUUCAACUUAAUAAUAUCAUUAUCCACAUCUUUUUUUCUUUUGCAUAUCAGAUAAUUCAACAAAGGUAUUAAGAUGGGAUGCAUCAUCUUCAUUAGGAUUUCUAGAAAAUUGUUCUUUCAUAACAAGAUUUAGCAAUGCAUCAUAUGACUCUGCACUAGUGGCAGGAGGAGCAACAGGAGUACUAAUAAAAUCAUUAUUAUCAGUAUUUGAGAAAUCACACAACUUGGUAUUUUCUUGAGUCAUAGUGACCGAGCAAGCAAACAAGCAAACUAACAAAGCAAGACAUUUUUGUGUUUUUGUUUCUUAAGAAGUGGACGCAGAUGAAAAAGAGAGGCAAAUAGAAAGGAAAAUAAAAAGUAGAGCAAGUAGAUGAUAGUUUGAGUGAAAGUAUGAUAGAGGCAAAGGUGUACCGUCUUUCGAUGAGAUGGUGAUUAUCGUUUCGGAGGAGUAGACUUUGAAGAUCCGACUAUGUACGUGCAACGACAUCGCGCCUUAGCAAUCGAUAAACCAACUCCGAGAGGUUAUUGACCACGCCGGAGCACGAUCAACCUGACCACGAAGGUCUAUUUCCUACAAGCAAAUGAAGAACAAGCAAGAAACUAAGAUUACAAUCUGGAUACUACAAAUAUAAUAUGAAAGCUUUAUUAAUCAAGGUGGGGUUCUGUGAUGUCUUGGUCUGGUCGUUGAACACAAACGAAGUAUGCGAAGUUGUAGCUAUGGCGAACUUUUAAUCUAAACAAAACCUGAAGUCUAAACGAUGCCCUAAGGGCUGUAUAUAUGGAGGAAGAGGGGGGAAUUUCGUGGCCCUUGGGGGAGGGGUCCGAAACCAACCCUAUCUCUGUAUCCCCACACAUACGGACUCUAAAAACAACCUAUACUUAUGUAUUUCAAAAUUACAUGGGCCUGGCCCAAUAAUAAGGUGACGCAGCACCUAUAAUAGCCUCCAGACGAAAUUUGUGAAGCGACAUCUUUUAUAUUUCGUCCAAGACUUCAUGCACUCAUUACGGUGGCUUCAAAGUCCUGAAAUCAUCACUUGAAACUCUGUUCUUGUUUCCCUUGGGCAAGCCGUCAUCUUCAUGUGUGUUCUUGCUCCAAUGUUCAUCCUUCUCCAAGCUAGGCCCUUCAUUUGUAAGCAAAACAAAUGUAUCCAAUUUAGGCAGCAUCAUAUUCUCAUGAACAUUAGAAUCAUUACCAAGAAACAAAAGUACCUGGUAAUUUAAUUGGCGUGCAUGAGCUCUAGUAGUUGGUCCAGUAUGUAUAGUAGCAGGGGCUAUGGGUGUAACAAUGGUAUUGAUGUUCUCAUCAUCCUCCCCUUCUUGAAAUGAAGUCGUCCUCGAUGGAAUCUCAUCUUCCUCACCCAAAUAAGGCUUCAAAUCUGCAAUGUUAAAAGUGGGGCUAACCCCUCAGGUAGCUCAAGUUUAUAUGCAUUAUCAUUUAUUUUCUCUAACACCUUAAAAAACCAUCAGCACGUGGCAUUAGCUUUGAUUUGCGCAAAUCAGGAAAUCUAUCCUGACGCAAAUGUAACCAAACAAGAUCUCCAGGUGCAAACACAACAUGUUUUCUACCCUUAUCUCCAACAAGUUUAUAUUUAGCAUUCAUAUGCUCAAUGUUUUCCUUACUUAACUCAUGCAUUUUUAAAAUCAAUUCAGCAUGUUGUUUAGCAUCAAAAUUAACCUUCUCCGAAGAUGGAAGAGGCAUCAAAUCAAUAGGUGCACGAGGUAGGAAACCAUACACAAUUUCAAAAGGGCACAUCUUAGUAGUAGAAUGCAAUGAACGAUUAUAAGCAAAUUCAAUAUGAGGCAAACAUUCUUCCCACAUUUUCUUAUUAUUCUUCAAAACAGCCCUAAGCAUAGUAGACAAUGUUCUAUUGACUACUUUAGUUUGUCCAUCAGUUUGGGGGUGACAAGUAGUACUAAAAAACAGUUUAGUCCCCAACUUAGCCCAUAAACAUCUCCAAAAGUGGCUAAGAAAUUUAGUAUCAUGAUCUGAAACAAUAGUAUUUGGCACACCAUGCAAGCGAAUACUUUCACGAAAGAACAAAUCAGCAACAUUAACAGCAUCAUCGCUUUUAUGACAUCGUAUAAAGUGUGCCAUUUUCGAGAAUCUAUCCACGACAACAAUUAUGCUAUCCCUCCCCUUCUUUGUUCGAGGUAAACCUAAAACAAAGUCCAUAGAUAUAUCCUCCCAAGGAACACUAGGUAAAGGCAAAGGCAUAUAUAAACCAUGAGGACUGAAUCGUGACUUAGUGUUUUGACAUGUAGUGCAGGGAGCAACAAAACGCUCAACAUCCCGUCUCAUCUUUGGCCAAAAGAAAUGUGUAGCAAGUAUAUCCUCUGUCUUCUUCACGCCAAAGUGCCCCAUUAAUCCUCCUCCAUGCGCCUCCUACAACAACAAAAGAUGAAUGAAGCUAGCUGGAAUGCAUAGCUCAUUAGGAGGGAACACAAAUCCAUCAUUAGUGACGAACUUGUUCCCUAUUCUUCCUUCUUAGGAAUUCUGCAUUACAUCUUUAAAAUCAGCAUCAUGCACAUAUUGAUCUUUGAUGGUCUCCAAACCAAAUAUUUUGAAGUCAAGUUGUGAAAGCAUAGUAUAGUGAUGAGACAAUGCAUCAGCAAUAACAUUUUCUUUAGCGUUCUUGUGUUUAAUGACAUAAGGGAAAGUCUCAAUGAAUCCAACCCAUUUAGCAUGCCUACGAUUCAGUUUAGCUUGACUUUUAAUAUGUUUCAAAGAUUCAUGAUCAGAAUGUUAACAAAUUCUUUGGGCCAUAAAUAAUGUUGCCAUGUUUCUAAAGUCCGAACAAGAGCAUAUAAUUCUUUAUCAUAAGUAGAAUAAUUCAGAGUAGGCACACUCAAUUUUUCAGAAAAGUAUGCAACAGGUUUGCCAUCUUGUAAUAACACACCUCCUAAUCCAAUUCCACUAGCAUCACUUUCAAGCUCACAAGUCUUAUUAAAAUCAAGUUAGAGUAAAGGAGCAUGUGCCAACUUAUCUUUCAAUACCGUGAAGGCUUCUUCCUAUGCGGGACCCAAAAAAAAGGCACAUCCUUCUUUGUAAGUUCAUGUAACACCCCAAAAAUUUAACCAUGUUUUGAUUAUUAAAAUUUUGCCAGGAAAUUAAUUUUUUCUUUUUCCAGGAUUUAUUCUUGAUCCCACAGCCUCUCUUUUCUUCUAAGUUGUGGAGUUUUCACCCCAAGUGAAAACUUUCCAAUUAUUAUUGGACUUGUUUACCCUCUCAAAUAAAACAAUUCUUUUAUCAGUGGAUUAUUUAUAUAAUUAUUUUUUCCCUGAGCUUUAUUUCUCUAAAAUGGUUUUUCAUAGGUUUUAGGGUUCCAUUUGCACUGCAACCCUUUGAUAAAUUUAUUUAAAAAUCCCACCAAAAUUUGGGGAUGACAUAUGAUGUCCCUAAAUCACUUUUAUGCAAAAAUAUCCUUUGGUCAUUUGGAGAUUUUGAGCUUUACCCCAAGUUUUUAAAUCGGGUCCAGUUGCACUUUUGCACUACAACCUAUUUAAAUAUUCCUUUAAAACUUCCACCAAAUUAGGGGAUGUCACUAGGAGUAUAUUAUUCAUCUUUAUGCAAAAACCCAUUGAUGUUCUUUGAAAAAUUUGAGUGAAUCAACCUCAUUUUCAUUCUGGUCCAACUUGAUGAGUUGUACUUCAACCAUAUUUUAACUUGCUCCUUUACCCAUGAUUCUUUUCCAUGCUUAUAGACCACCCUGCAAAACCCUUGAGUCCAGGAGAGUGGACACAUUGGUGGAUUUUAAGUGCAUGCAAUCAUGCCUUCUUCUUUUUGUCCAAAACUGAAGAUUUGCAAAACUUGCACUAGCAAAUUUCUGGUUUUGCCCAAAUGACCUUGCCACCAUCACCUACACCUAAAGAGACACUAGUCUGGAGAAUUUGGCCACCCCAAGAAGUGCCUAGGUGCAUGUGGCAUUUUGUCAAACACCCUAUGAGCCAGGCCAGUUUGGGCAUGAACUUUUAGUUUGCACUGUGAGCUUGAUCCACUGAACCAGCAACCUUGUCCACUAAGCUCCCUGAUGCCUCUAGCCUGGACCUGCUAAUCCCCAGCUCCACCCAAGUCUCCUAGCUUGCCCUGGAAUUUUGCCGAACAGUGGGCCUGCACGCUCUGGGCACGACCAGAGCACACGUUUUGCACGUGCGUGCGCGGGAGUCGCCGCGACCUGCUGCCGCCUACCCGCGCCCGUCUGGCCUCUCCUCUCUCCCAGCCGUCGCGCCCGACCCCUCCCUCACCGCAGGGCCGCCCUGGCCCCCUCCUCGCACCCUACAGCGCCGCCACCACAUACCGCCACUGCCACCCCGACUGCUCUGCCAUGGACGGCACCGCCCAAGCCACACCAGCGUGCCAGCUCGCUCAUGGAACAGCCCCAGCUCAUCCACGAGCUCGUCCGCUAGCGCCCAUCGCCGCCAUGAUGCCCUGCAAGCUACAGAACAGCGGUCGCCGACGAUCCUAUCCACGGCCACCGCGAACCGACCUAGCCGCGCUAUAAGUAGGGGCCCCGGGCUCGUCCAACCACUCAGGCAGCCUCAGGCCAUCCUCUCGAAGCCCCACGGCCAGUAAUCAUCAGGGGAAAGCCUUCUCCCCCGUCUCCGGCCAGCUCGGCAGCCGCCACGUCCCAAACCCGUUCGUCGCAACUAGGGCCUCCCCUGCCCGUCCGACGCCACCACCCGACUCCCCUGGAUCGUGCGGAGCCGCCCAAACCCUCAACCAUGAUCGGAAGCCACCAUAGCCCAAAUCCCCAAUCGUGCCCGAAGCCAUCUCCGCCCCGAAGCUCGCCGCCGGCGACCCCCUCCACCCCCACCAACCGAGUGACUACCGGGAGGACCACCCUGGACUGGCGGAUCAAUCCCUACCCUCUGAUGCCCUCGAGGAGCCGUCGCUCGCCGGUGAAGAUCGCCGGAGCUCCGCCUCCAUUCGGCCAAAGGAGAGGGAAGGCGGGGGACGACUAGUCAAACCUGACCAGUGGGCCCCUGGACCCACUGUCAGUGACUCAUGCCGGUCCACACUGGAUAAGUGAAGGCGUAAACGCUAAGUACGUGUUCGACGUGUACCUAUUCGAAACGUUUUCUUUUCUUUUUUUCUAUUUUAUUUAAAAACCAGAAAUUUGACUAAACUUUGACUGGCUAUAUCUUUUUAAAUAAAACUCCAAAUGAGUUGAUUCUUUUUCCUACCUCUCUCAAAUUUAGUCUAGUUUAUUUCAAGAUUUAUUUGAAAAAUUUCAGACAACUUUUUUACACUGUUUUGAAACUAUGUUUUAAUUUGAAUAAUUUCAAAAAUAGGUUUUGAAGAAGAAGUCACCUUUCAAAAAAAGCAGACCCCACUUGCAUACUCUUGAAGGCAAGCAUUCUGAACCCUGGCAUAAUAUUGUGUGUGUUAUCUGACACAGCUACAAUACCACCUCGACAGAGAGUAUCCGUUAUUUUAUGUGAUGAUAUGUUCAAACUCAUGAGUGCAUAUUGAUGAUUUCAUGCUAUUGGAGUUUGAUAUGUUUGGGAUAGUAGUCACCAUCAUAUGCCUUUCAUGCAUAUCGAAAGGAACCUAGGAAAGCCUCUAUCUUGGGUAGACACGGGCUUGUCUCUAGUCCUUCGUCGAGACGGUUUUGUCCGGUACGGCAUGAUGGGGAAUGUCGAGUGGUGAUUCCGUCUGUUGGUUGAAUUAUAAGUUGUUAUGCUAAUCAUGCAGGGAAUACUUAAACCCCCUGAGUCGACCGUAGAUCGAGUCUUGUUCCACUAACCCCCAUACUUGUUUCGUACUACCACUUGUCCCUGCCGCAGGUAGGGUACGGUUCAGUAAGUUGUCAACCCCUCCCUAGCACACACCAUACAGAGAGGCCAUGGUGGAAGAUACCGGAUGCAUCCGGUAGGCAGGCCACCUGGUCGGGGGGUAUGGGUGUUUCCAGUUGGGACCGAGAGGGGGAACCCCUUAGAGCGCGUGAUAUAAAUUUGAUCCCAUGCUAUUCAAGGUUGUAGCCUCCCCACUUAGAGUUUUGCUUGAUAGGUGUCGUGGGUGAUUCCCGAGACCGGUAAGUUAAGCUGGUGUGUGCAAGUCAGGUGUGUUUUCAAUUAAAAGACCGUAGACGGAAUUAGUCCCGAUGGACUGAAGGAAUCCGUUACUCGUGGGUAAAGUGUACACCCUCUGCCGAGAUUAUAUCUAUUCGAAUAGCCGUGUCCAUGGUUAAGGACUACAGUCUGGGUUGGGUCAAGUGUCGGUCUUCGGAGGAGAAACUACUAAACCGGAAUAUGGAUCAUGACUUGUGACUUAUGAUGAUUAUGAUUAUUAUUAUGGUGGACUAAGCUUUUAUGUUAUUUGAAUUAUUGAGUAUCCCUGGGAUGGUACUACCUCCAGGAUAUUCACUGUGAUAUUUACUUUAUAAGCCCUUUAUGUUAUGUCACUGAGACACCCGACUGUGGCAUGCUUGUUAUUGAAUUUCUUAUAAGCCCUUCCUGCGGUGUCGCUGAGACGCUCGACUGUGGCAUGUUUGUUAUAUAUUUACUUUAUAAUCCCUUUAUGUGGUGUCGCUGAGACACCCGACUGUGGCAUGCUUGUUAUUGAAUUUCUUAUAAGCCCUUUCUGCAGUGUCGCUGAGACGCCCGACUGUGGCAUGUUUGUUAUAUAUUUACUUUAUAAGCCCUUUUUGUGGUGUCGCUCAGACGCCCGACUGAGGCAUGCUCGUUAUUUACUAUCCUUUCGAGGCGUCGCUUCAGACACCUGAUCGGUGCAUUUUAUCACUACUCUGUUAUUACAUGUUCAAGUUGCAUAUAAAUAACCUGCUUGCAUGCAUCAUGGAUUUUAUCUUAUGACUGACGUUGUGAUCAUAGAAUAUUUCAGUGCAUGAUUAUCAUUUAUAUUAUACCCGUGUUCAUAAUGUUUGCGAGUACAUUCAAAGUACUCACUAGCUUGUCCCUGGCUAUUGUCUUGGCCAGAUUCCUUGCUUGGAGAGGAGCGUUGCGAUGUCAGCCCCAGAACCCACGCAUUGGUGACAACAGCCUCACGAAGAUAGGAGUUAACCUGGUCAGCUAUUCCUGUGGGAAAUGGAGCCCCCUAAAUGCUGAUGAUCCACAAACCGCUUCCGCCAUUAACCACUAGAAACCAUUUGUUGUACCCAUAGGCCAGAAUGGUCUUGUACUACAUAUUUUGUACUUUUGCUUGGAAUAUCCGUAUCAAGUUGGUGCCUCAUCAGCUAACAGUAAUCCUGGGGCUGGUGAGCACAAGGGCCAUUUUCUGGAAAUUAAUAUCCUGAAAAACCCGGUCCUGACAAACUUGGUAUCAGAGCCAGGCUGACCAUUGGCUAAUCCUAUCUUUGCCGGGUCAAUAAACCUAGGUUAACCAAACCACCAGGCCAUAGCCUAGCCCCGGCCAAGCUUGUCGCGUAAGAUAGCCACAUAGUGACCCCGACACUUUUGGCAGUCGGUGCCCAACCUAUCAGCCUAGCCCAUCGAUCACGCGCUAGUGACCGACACCUAAAUUGCCUUAUUCGCAAGCGUGCGAAGGAAGACUCCGUCCCCUUUUUCUAUAAAAAGGGCACGCUAGCCUCAACACAGCACAUCCCAGCCUAUUCCUCAAACCGAGCUAUAAUGCCUGGCCCCUUCGUGCACAAUGAGACCACAACAACCAACCUUGGAGGUUUUGUGACCGUGCUCGCGAACCUCACCCGCCGUGCCUUUGCAUUAGAAGAGCCCCCAGAAUAUGUUGUGUACCAAGGACCCAUGAGCGGUGAAAGCCGUCAAUUCUGGGCCACCGUGCACAUCUAUGGUAGGGGUCUAUCUCUAGAACGCCCCUACAGGUUCACCGGAAGGACAACUUCCUUUGAGCCACAAGCCAUCCAACUAGCUGCUCGAGAGGCUGUAGUUCAACUCCGGCACUUGUCGCCCAGAGUUAACUGUCGCUUGUUCUACUACUACCCCAGCCGUGACGGGUAUAGUAGGCCACCCCAGGUUGCCAACAGAUAUCACGAGACGGAUCCUGCAUUGUUGCAUCUGGUGCGCUAUGUAAGUGCACUAGAGGAACUGUUCGAUCAAAUCACUCUUGAUCUGAUCGCAACUCGUGGAGAACUGAUUCGCCGAGCCCCGGUAAGAAGAGAAGAUGAGCCCGACGCCGACAAUCCAGUCGUGCUGUUCGAACAACCGAUCGAGUCCCUGAGGUCUACCUGAGUCAUUGACCAAAACACCUUGAUGACCCCAGAAGUGCUUCGUCGCCUUUUGGGAACACGCUCCAGCAGGAUUGUGGCCAACAAUCCCCGGGAUGGUCAUCAUCGCUACACCGACCCUGCAGUUCCUCAACCCCCUCCAGCUAAUCCCGACGGUGAAAACCGUGGAGAAGCCUCGACAUCCACAAGGCAAGCCCGAUUAGAUAUUAACGAGGUAGACUAAGUCACUCGAGUAGUACCGAGUCUUAGUAUGUCCACACCAUGUAACCGUGCGAUCCUGUAUCGCCAUAAUUAAAUGUUGUUUGCUUGUGCACCCCUAUUUUUAUAGUAGCCAUGCAUAGGUAUGUUGUGUACGAUUGCAUUUUUUUAUCCGGGCAUAGCUACCAAAAACCAACCUCGACGACACAAAGUUUGUGCUAUGAGUAAACUUUUGGUUUCAACUAACAGGAAAGAUAUUUUCGAAAACAACUCUUAACAAAUCUCGAGGACAAGAUUUUUCUUAAGGGGGGUAGUGUUGUAACACCCCAAAAAUUUAACCAUGUUUUGAUUAUUAAAAUUUUGCCAGGAAAUUAAAUUUUUAUUUUCCUGGAUUUAUUCUUGAUCCCAAAGCCUCUCUUUUCUUCUAAGUUGUGGAGUUUUCACCCCAAGUGAAAACUUUCCAAUUAUUAUUUGACUUGUUUACCCUCUCAAAUAAAACAAUUCUUUUAUCAGUGGGAUUAUUUAUAUAAUUAUUUUUCCCCUGAGCUUUAUUUCUCUAAAAUGGGGUUUCAUAGGUUUUCGGGUUCCAUUUGCACUGCAACCCUUUGAUUAAUUUAUUUAAAAAUCCCACCAAAAUUUGGGGAUGACAUAUGAUGUCCCUAAAUCACUUUUAUCCAAAAAUAUCCUUUGGUCAUUUGGAGAUUUUGAGCUUUACCCCAAGUUUUUAAAUCUGGUCCAGUUGCACUUUUGCACUACAACCUAUUUAAAUAUUCCUUUAAAACUUCCACCAAAAUUAGGGGAUGUGAGUAGGAGUAUAUUAUUCAUCUUUAUGCAAAAACCCGUUGAUGUUCUUUGAAAAAUUUGAGUGAAUCAACCUCAUUUUCAUUCUGGUCCAACUUGAUGAUUUGUACUGCAACCAUAUUUUAACUUGCUCCUUUACCCAUGAUUCUUUUCCCUGCUUUAGACCACCCUGCAAAACCCUUAAGUCCAGGCGAGUGGACCCAUUGGAGGAUUUUAAGUGCAUGCAAUCAUGCCUUCUUCUUUCUGUCCAAAACUGAAGAUUUGCAAAACUUGCACUAGCAAAUUUCUGGUUUUGCCCAAAUGACCUUGCCACCAUCACCUACACAUAAAGAGACACUAGUCUGGAGAGUUUGGCCACCCCAAGAAGUGCCUAGGUGCAUGUGGCAUUUUGUCAAACACCCUAUGAGCAUGGCCAGUUUGGGCAUGAACUUUUAGUUUGCACUAUGAGCUUGAUCCACUGAACCAGCAACCUUGUCCACUAAGCUCCCUGAUGCCUCUAGCCUGGACCUGCUAAUCCCCAGCUCCACCCAAGUCUCCUUGCUUGCCCUGGCAUUUUGCCGAACAGUUGGCGUGCAUGCUUUGGGCGCGGACAGAGCACACGUUUUGCACAUGCGUGCGCGCGAGUCGCUGCGUCCCGCUGCCGCCUACCCGCGCCCGUCCUGGCCUCUCCUCUCUCCCAGCCGUCGCGCCCGACCCCUCCCUCACCGCAGGGCCACCCUGGCCCCCUCCUGGCACCCUACAGCGACGCCACCGCAUGCCGCCACCGCCACCCCGACAGCUCUGCCAUGGACGGUGCCGCCCAAGCCACACCAGCGCGCUAGCUCGCUCAUGGAACAGCCCGAGCUCAUCCACGAGCUCGUCCGCUAGCGCCCGUCGCCGCCACGAUGCCCUGCAAGCUACAGAACGGCGGUCGCUGACGAUCCUAUCCACGGCUGCCGUGAACCGACCUAGCCACGCUAUAAGUAGGGGCCCCGAGCUCGUCCAGCCACUCAGGCAGCCUCAGGCCAUCCCCUCGAAGCCCCCACAGCCAGUAAUCGUCGGGGGAAAGCCUUCUCCCCCAUCUCCGGCCAGCUCGGCCGCCGCCAUGUCCCAGUCCCGUUCGUCGAAACCAGGGCCUCCCCUGCCCGUCCAACGCCACCACCCAACUCCCCUGGAUCGUGCGGAGCUGCCCAAACCCCCAGCCAUGAUCGGAAGCCACCAUAACCCAAAUCCCAAAUCGUGCCCGAAGCCAUCUCCGCCGCGAAGCUCGCCGCCGGCAACCCCCUCUAGCCCCAGCAACCGAGCGACUACCGGGAGGACCGCCCUGGACUGGCGGACCCAUCCCCGCCCUCGGAUGCCCUUGAGGAGCCGUCGCUCACCAGCGAAGAUUGCCGGAGCUCCGCCUCCGUUCGACCAAAGGAGAGGGAAGGAGGGGGACGACUAGUCAAACCUGACCAGUGGGCCCCUGGACCCACUGUCAGUGACUCACGCCGGUUCAUGCUGGAUAAGUGAAGGCGUAAAUGCUAAGUACGUGUUCGACGUGUACCUAUUCGAAACAUUUUCUUUUCUUUUUUUCUGUUUUAGUUAAAAACCAGAAAUUUGACUAAACUUUGACUGGCUAUAUCUUUUUAAAUAAAACUCCAAAUGAGUUGAUUCAUUUUCCUACCUCUCUCAAAUUUAGUCUAGUUUAUUUUAAGAUUUAUUUGAAAAAUUUCAGACAACUUUUUUACACUGUUUUGAAUCUAUGUUUUAAUUUGAAUAAUUUCAAAAAUAGGUUUUGAAGAAGAAGUCAACUUUCAAAAAAAGCACGCCCCACUUGCAUACUCUUGAAGGCAAGCAUUCUGAACCCUGGCAUAAUAUUGUGUGUGUUAUCUGACACGGUUACAAUACCACCUCGACACGGAGUAUCCGUUAUUUUAUGUGAUGAUAUGUUCAAACUCAUGAGUGCAUAUUGAUGAUUUCAUGCUAUUGGAGUUUGAUAUGUUUGGGAUAGUAGUCACCAUCAUAUGCCUUUCCUGCAUACCGGAAGGAACCCGGGAAAGCCUCUGUCUUGGGUAGACACGGGCUUGUCUCUAGUCCUCCGUCGAGACGGUUGUGUCCGGUACGGCAUGAUGGGGUAUGUCGAGUGGUGAUCCCGUCUGUUGGUUGAAGUAUAAGUUGUUAUGCUAAUCAUGCAGGGAAUACUUAAAUCUCCUGAGUCGACCGUAGAUCGAGUCUUGUUCCAGUAACCCCCAUACUUGUUUCAUACUACCACUUGUCCCUGCCGCAGGUAGGGUACGGUUCAGUAAGUUGUCAACCCCUCCCUAGCACACACCGUACAGAGAGGCCAUGGUGGAAGAUACCGGAUGCAUCUGGUAGGCAGGCCACCUGGUCCGGGGGCAUGGGUGUUUCCGGUUGGGACCGAGAGGGGGGCACCCCUUAGAGUGUGCGAUAUAAAUUUGAUCCCAUGCUAUUCGAGGUUGUAGCCUCCCCACUUAGAGUUUUGCUUUACUGGUGUCGUGGGUGAUUCCCGACACCGGUAAGUUAAGCUGGUGUGUGCAAGUCAGGUGUGUUUUCAAUUAAAAGACCGUAGAUGGAAUUAGUCCCGAUGGACUGAAGGAAUCUAUUACUUGUGGGUAAAGAGUACACCCUCUGCAGAGAUUAUAUCUAUUCGAAUAGCCGUGUCCAUGGUUAAGGACUACAGUCUAGGUUGGGUCAAGUGUCGGUCUUAGUGUCGGUCUUCGGAGGAGAAACUACUAAACCAGAAUAUGGAUCAUGACUUGUGACUUAUGAUGAUUAUGAUUAUUAUUAUUGUGGACUAACCUUUUAUGUUAUUUGAAUUAUUGAGUAUCCCUGGGACGGUUUUACCUCCUGGAUAUUCAUCGUGAUAUUUACUUUAUAAGCCCUUUAUGUGGUGUCGCCGAGACACCCGACUAUGGUGUGCUUGUUGAAUUUCUUAUAAGCCCUUCCCGCGGUGUCGCUGAGACGCCCGACUGUGGCAUGUUUGUUAUAUAUUUACUUUAUAAGCCCUUUAUGUGGUGUCGCUGAGACACCCGACCGUGGCAUGCUUGUUAUUUAAUUUCUUAUAAGCCCUUUCCGCGGUGUCGCUGAGACGCCCGACUGUGGCAUGUUUGUUAUAUAUUUACUUUAUAAGCCCUUUUUGUGGUGUCGCUCAGACGCCCGACUGAGGCAUGCUCGUUAUUUACUAUCCUUUCGAGGCGUCGCUUCAGACACCCGAUUGGUGCAUUUUAUCACUACUCUGUAAUUACAUGUUCAAGUUGCAUAUAAAUAACCUGCUUGCAUGCAUCAUGGAUUUUAUCUUAUGACUGACGUUGUGAUCAUAGAAUGUUUCAGUGCAUGAUUAUCAUUUAUAUUAUACCCAUGUUCAUAAUGUUUGCGAGUACAUUCAAAGUACUCACUGGCUUGUCCCUGGCUAUUGUCUUGGCCAGAUUUCUUGCUUGGAGAGGAGCGCUAUGAUGUCAGCCCCGGAACCCACGCAUUGGUGACAACAGCCUCACGAAGAUAGGAGUUGUCACAUCCCUAGUUGCUGGUAGUGCUCUAGGCUAGCUCAUGUGUGCAUCAUGUUUAAAUUCUGAAAAUUUGAACUGAGGAAUUCAGAAGCCUCAAAACUUAAAUAAAAGAGGGGCAGAAACCCUAAAAAUCUCAUUCAUUGUUCCAAAAUGCUCUUCUUAAAUGUUUGAUAAUUUUUGGCAAGGGUUCUGGUCCCAACCAAAAUAUUGAACAUUUUUAAGGAUUUAUUUUUGGGACUUUGAAUUUAAUUCAUUAGCUAUUUGAAUUUGAAUUAUAUUCAUAUAAUUAGAAUAUUAUUUCCAAUAUCCCUGAAUUAUUUUAUGAGCUUUUGGAAAGGUCCAUCUAGCAAAAUAAAAUAUUCAGAGGAGCUUUGGCAUUGUUUGAAUUAUUAUUUUUAAUUCAAAACAGUGGCAAAAGAAUUAAAUAAAAAGAAAACAGAACUGAAAUAGAAAUAAAAGACAGAGAAGGAAGUUACCUGGACUUACCUCAGCUUACCCGCGGCCCAACACUGUGCAGCCAGCAGCGGCCCAGCCCACCACUUCCCCCCCUGUCGCCUUCCUCCUCGCGCCAGUGGGCGCAGGCGCGUGGCCGGAGCGCGCGGGCACACGCCCAGGCCACCUCCUGCCUCUCUGCCUGUUUCCCUGUCGCCCUGAGGAUGCCACGCACCCCCUGGACCGCUCUCACUCUCCCCCAUUCCUUCUUCUCUCUUCCCUGGCUCUCUCACUCGCAUGACCGAGAGUCGCCGUCGCCGCCGCUCGCCAUAACCACGGCCACCGCCGCCCCCUCGCUUCUCUGACCAGCCCACGAGCUCCGCCUAGAACCCGAGCGCCUCUCCGCCGACCCACGCAAGGCCGGAGGACCCCAAGACGACGCCGCGACCCCUCUUCCCUGUCCACGGCCGCCGGAUGCCGCCGCCCGAUUCGUCGUCCACAGGGCCUCCCUGAGCUCGCCGUCUUCUUCAUACGACUCCCUGUGAGCCCCUCUCCCUUUCCCCUCAUACCCCAUGGUGGAUUUGGUUCGCUAGCUCGAUUCCCGCCAUCGCCGAGAGCUUCUGCCGUCGUGUCUCAUCGCCGCCGUGGCCUGAGCUCGAUCUUCUCACGUCCGAGGACGCGGUAGUGCUCCAGGAGCUCCCCUGGUGCUCUUGCGCCUCUCAACCUGCUCGCUAGCAAGCUACAACCCCGCGCCCCAACCGAGCCCGAGCAUCGCCGCCGCCGAGCUCAUCGCCGGUGCCGCUACAGCCCGCAUCAGCUCCAGCCACCACCACCAUCGUACGCGCCCUGCUGCGGGUGUUCCAACGCACCCGGCCGUGCGACCUCCCGUCGCCGGAGUUGGCCGGACGAGCGACCUCGCCGUGCCCUGUUACGCCGGCGGCUAAACGCCGAUUAGAGCUGACGUGGAGCAUUAGGUUAGGUGCUAAUCACUCAGUUAAUUAAACCCUUGUGCAUGACAUGUGGGACCGCUGUUGUCAAAAACACGGGUUAAGUUAAAUAACCCCCUGUUAGCUCUCUAUCUCACUGACAUGUGGGCCUCGAUGUCAGUUUGACUUGCUGACGUGGCUUUUGACUGGCCCCACACGUCAGUGACUCAUGCCAGCGGUGUGUCACUGACCAGUGGGCCCCACUGGUCAAGUUUGACCCGGACCAGCCCCUGUUGACUAUGCUGAGGUCAGCAUGACCUAGUGCUGACGCAAUAAUUCCUUUCUGGAAUUUAAAUAAAUCUUAAAUGAUUUAAUAAUUCCAGAAAAUGCCUAAAACUUCUAAAAUUCAUAGAAAUUCAACCGUAACUCCAAAUUAAAUAAUUUAUAUAUGAAAAAUUAUCAGAAAAAUUCAAGGAAUCCAUCUGUACCAUUUUCAUGCAUGUUAGAACAACUUAUAGCUGCUGUUUAGCACAAAUCAAUUAAAGGGCAUUUAAAUAUCCACAUAUGGAGUUUGAAUUUGAAUCUUGGAUUCAAACCAACUUCAUUUAAUCUGGUUUUAGUUGCAUUAGCUCAAAACACAUUCAUUUUGCCAUGUCAUGAUCAUGCAUCAUAUUGUGCAUUGCAUUGAUUGUGUUCCCUUCUGUGUUGCCAGUAUUUGUCCCCUCUCGAUAGACGUGAUACCGAUGAUGUGAUCGUUGACACUGAUGAAGACUCAAUGUUAUCUUCAGAAGUGCCAGGCAAGCAAAACCCCCUUGUUCAUUCCGAUACAAUCCCACUCUCUCGCUCCUGCUCUCUUUUACUGCAUUAGGACAACAACGACAUAUUUGUUACUUGCUGCGGUAGCUGAACCCCUUUAUCCUCUGCAUGACCUGUCAUUGCCACAGUAAAUAGAUGAAACCCACUAGCAUGAGUAGGAGUUGUUUGAGCCCUGUUGUGCCUACUCAUUCUUGCUUGUUUGUCAUGCCUGCUACUGCUUAGAGUUGAGUCAGGUCUGAUUCAUCGGGGAUGAAUCAGAGGCGUGUGANNNNNNNNNNUUUGGUAAAGGUAGCGGUGAGAGGCCAUGUAGGAGUACAUGGUGGGUUGUCUCAUUGCAGCCGUCCUCAGGAACUGAGUUCUGUGUUUGUGAUCCAUGAUUCAGCUACUACCAUACAUUGGGCCCUGAAAUAUGACCCCGCUCGACUUCUUAUUCACCCUAGUCCUCUAUCCAGGAGUUGCAAGUAGUUUCUGGUGUUUGUAGUAUGCUGGAGGCCGUGGACAGCGCUGACCGUAGGGGUGGGCUGUGAUGCGGUAGGCACGUGGCCGGGUAAACCGGGCGCCCGUUUGGUGUCACGGAACCCUGUUCACAUCGUUUGGGGCUGUGAGCGAAACUCCGGCCGGAUCUCCUCAUGGAUGGAACCCGAAUAGGCGAUAAACCUGGACUAGAGACUUGAGUGUUUAGGUAGGUCGUGGUCUACACCCACGUCGGCUUUCGCUUGAAGUCUGCCGAGCACAUGUCGUGUGCAGACGCUAAGUGGUGGAAACAUGUAUGAAGAAGUACACCCCUGCAGGGUUAACAUCAUCUAUUCGAAUAGCCGUGUCCGCGGAAAAGGACUUCUGGGUUGCUUAUAUCAGUUCAUAGACAAGUGAAAGUGGAUACUCUAAAAUACGCAAGAUAAGCGUGAGUGCUAUGGAUGGCGUUCUCGUAGGGAGACGGGAGCGGAUCCAUAGUGGUGUAUUGAUAUGGUGAAUAUGUGGACUCGUGUGCGCCACCUCAAGGAGUUAGUUGCAGUCGUAGUUCAGGAUAGCCACCGAGUCAAAGCUGGCUUGCUGCAGUUAAACCCCACCAUCGCCUUUGUUGAUAAUGAUGCAUAUGUAGCUAGUUCUGAUGUAAGUCUUGCUGGGUACAUUUGUACUCACGUUUGCCUAUUUUAUGUUUUUGCAGAGAGACUUCGGUCUCACUAGUAGUUUCGCGUGGACUUCGACGUUUAGCUUGUUACCUCAGCUACGAUCUUGUGCCCCCGGCAGAAUCUGGUAGAUAGUCAGGCUUUCAAGCCUUUUCCAUUUAUAGAUGUCUGUACUCAGACAUGAUAGCUUCCGCUUGUGCUUUGACUUGUAUGCUCUGAUUGUUGGGUCAUGAGACCCCUGUUUGAAUUAUCUCACUCCUUGGAGCCUAUUGAAUAAAUUACUUGAGUCGUAGAGUCAUGUUGUGAUGCCAUGUUGUAUUUGCACAUAUCGAGCAUAUUGUGUGUAUGUUAUUGAAAUGCUUGGUAUGUGUGGGAUCUGACCAUCUAGUUGUUUAUCUUUAGUAGCCUCUCUUACGAGGAAAUGUCUCCUAGUGUUUCCACCGAGCCAUGGUAGCUUGCUACUGCUCCGGAACACUUAGGCUGGCCGGCAUGUGUCCUUCUUCGUUCCUGUGUCUGUCCCUUCGGGGAAAUGUCACGCGAUGAAUACCGGAGUCCUGUUAGCCCGCUACAGCCCGGUUCACCGGAGUCCUGCUAGCCCAGUGCUACAGCCUGGAUUCACUUGCUGAUGACCGACACGUUCGAUGCUGGGUCAUGGAUGCCUAUCCCUGUAAGUCUGUGCCACUUUGGGUUUACGACUAGCCAUGUCAGCCCGGGCUCCUUAUCAUAUGGAUGCUAGCGACACUAUCAUAUACGUGUGCCAAAAGGCGCAAACGGUCCCGGGCAAAGGUAAGGCGACACCCGCGGGAAUACCGUGCGUGAGGCCGCAAAGUGAUAUGAGGUGUUACAUGCUAGAUCGAUGUGGCAUUGAGUCGGGGUCCUGACAGUGUUGGUAUCAGAGCUUGACUGCCUGUAGGAUUACCAAGCCAAACUGGUCGAAGUUGAGUCUAGAAAUUCUUUAGUUAUAUAGGGGAAUUGAUUGUGGGAUGGAACGUAAGGCUCUUUUUACUCCUUAUACCUCAUGGCCUUCUGAUCUGAGUCAUCAUCUUCUCUUCUACGGGGAUUAAGAACUAGGCUUUCUCUUCUUUCCAUCAGGAUCACGUGUUAUUAAUCCGUAGACUUAUAGAAUUGUUGGACUUAAGCCUCGUUUCAGUUCCUAUUACUUCUGUAUGUUAAUUGUUGAUCUCGGAACCUUGAUAUUGUGCUUCUGAGUGGUUAUGCCAUCAUUUUGUGAAUGUCUCAAAUCUUUUCUAAGCAUUUACAGCCGUUAUGCUGUCCGAGUCAUCCCAGGUUUCUAAGUAGUCUGAUGCAUUUGCAAAAUCCCUUCCUCCCGUUCCGAUGUUCCUUUGGGCCAGAUUAACCACACUAAUUGGUGAGUUGAGGUAAAUUAUUGCCUUGACAUAUAUGUUGGAGCUAUUAUUAUGACCCUAGGUGUCUCAGGGGAUCAUCUAGUAGUCUAGCUAUGUUUUGUGUUCCCAGUGUGAUGAUUCUGGCCGUCAUUAUCGAAAGCAUCCCGUGAUGCUACUUAGUAUUAGGUAUUCUGUUCCUGGGUUCUUGAACCCGAGAUUCACUCUACUUACUUCAUGUUGAUAGUAAUUGCUAGCGCCUUUAGGAUAUUAGUAACCUUUGCAGUAGUUCUCGAGGUCCGUGGUAUAUCCUUCUUCCAAAUACCAUGAACCACUUACGGCAAAAGUUUGUUGGAUCAAAAGAUCACAACAGGAGUGCUCUCUAUGGGUUCUCCAUUCAUAAUUGUGACUCUGCCAGUUCUACCUUUCUGCAUGGGUUAUCCGGAAGAAAUAUGUUGAACUUCGUUCGACAUGUUAAACCAUGCAUCCACAACUCAGAAAAUCGUAUGUUCUUUUGAGUUGUCCCAUCUUAGUUGUUUCCGACCCUCGCCUAUCAAUUGAUAGUCAAGAGUAUGCGUGCAUUCGUUCGUCGAUGCCUAUUACCCUUGUGGUCCGCCAAGCCAUUCUAUUUCAGAAUGAAUAGGAGAAACAAACUCCAGUACCUCUUCCAUAUCCAGGAUUGGGUCAAAGAAGUUGUGCUCCACAGAACAAAUUGCUAACCCAGCUUUUGUUCUGCUCUACCUUGGAGUAUUACCAUCUUUUAUAUCGGGAUUAUUGUAGGAAUUGCACACCAUCCUAUGAACUCUUGGUACAGUGAUACUUCUUGCCAUCAUUGUUCAUUCCUCGGUUCCUGUGUUAUUGUGACCGGAAUGCCGACAAGUGAAUCGUGGUGUGUGAAAUCAAUACUCCUAGCAACUCUGUUGUCUGGUAGUUAAAGGACAAAAUUUUUAAUUCUUAGCGUGUUGGUUAUUAAAUCACCAUUCUAAGAUAGAUUGUGCUACCUAGUCCUUAUUUCCUGAUGCACUCCUUGAUUAAUGAGUUAGGAUUUUGUCAAGUCCUCGCUCAUUUGAUCAUAUCAUCUUGCCCUGAAAAGCAAGAUUGUUCUCGAGCUUAGUAACAUAUCGGUGGUUCGUGAUUUUCCGUAUAUCUUCUCGGAAAUAUUACCAGGUUGUCACCUGACCGCUAUGUUGAGUUCGUGAUCAAGUUGGUUUAUUCCUGUAAACCACCCCUUCUCCAAGAAUCUGUGUGGGAUACCCCUGAGCUAGUUGGUCAAGCUAAACAACAACUUGGAUAGUUGGGAGAUAAAAGCUUGCCUGACUUAGUUCGUUCCAAAGGGAUAUUCUUGUGUAGUGUGUGUUGAAGAAAUAUGAUAUCUUCAUCGAUUGGUCCCUGUGAUCAGUUGCUGGACCUAUUGUCUUAUCAAUCCUUUGAUUUGAGUGUGGGCUAUCGUCAAAUCAAAUCAGAACCAACGAUGUUUGUAAUGUUGUCUUACUCGUGGUUGACUCCUCGAGCAUACGCCAUUAUAUCUUAUGGGUCUGACCAAUGCUAUCACCGUGUUCACUUAACUAUGGAAUUCCUUUUAAAAGGGAACCCAGAUGAAUUGUUGUUGAGCCCAUUGACAACAUCCUUAUCUCCUCCAUGAUUUUGUUGAACAUUAAGCUAGUGUUGGAAACUUUGUAAGAAAUGCCUUCGUGUUCCGUUCAUGAAGCCUACGCUUGGAUGAAAGCAGUGACUUCCUCUAAUUCACGUGCAUUUGAUGUAAGUUGCCGCCAUGAAUUCGAGAAAGUUUGUUUCUGCUCCUCUGGAAUCAUCCCAAGUCAGUCAUGCAUGUGCGAAGUAUUCUAUGGUCUGAUAGACUGAUCAUCUUCAUUCCAUAUGUAUCCCUAGCACACCAAGCCACUGAUUGAGUUGUUCAAGGAAAAGGAGUUGAUGUGCUAAUCCUAGGUCAUACACAAGAUUCCUAUAUCCUCAAUGAUGGUUCCCAACCAGAACUCGGUAGUGUUUUAUUAUAAGACUACCACGUGGUCAUGCUUGUCUUGGACAAUGUGUUCACAUGUUUGUAGCAGAACCAGCUCAUGUUUUGGAGCUUGCUAUCAUAGUUCAUCUCCCGAGAAUCCCGCAACGUCAUCUCGUCGAUUUGUGUUGCAAACUUCCGUUUUUCUUCCUAGACUCGAUGAGUCUGGAAUAUCCUGACACCAACCAGAUCUGAAUCUCAGGCAUAUAUGAUGGUUGGAACAUUUCCCAAGAAUUAUAAUAUUGGUCGCGCGAUAACCGGUAAAGUGGAUGUCGUGGCCAACACACCCAGCCGGAAGACCUGUUAUUAUAAUAUCUUGAUUGAGGAAGUUGGCCACCUCCCCAUAAGGAUUUCGUAGGAUUUACUCCCUAGUUGACCCUAUGGAUUUCUGUGUUCCGAAGUCCGACCUUUUUACUUGAUGUUCUAGAUAUCAAACCAUAUCUAUGAAUGGGUUACGCUAGCACAUCAAGGAGAACAUUAGAAGCAGAGUGCUAAAUGUCUCUCGGUCGAUCGUCCAGAUUUUGUUUCCUUGGCCUCGCUAGGGUGAAAUCUGAGAAGGUAUUAUCUUCCUUUGCAUCUGCAUCCUCCAUCACCAUUCAUCAUGGUAGCAAGUUGUGUUGCCAGGAUCCUUGACACGGAUGUUGGUAAAACCCUGAUGAUUAUGGAAAUGCUCAAGUUCUUGAGAGCACGCACAAGCGCUACGUGUUAUCAUCGGCUCUAACUGGGAUUCCUCUCAGUUUCCUCGGAAAUGCUAUGACCUUUCAAACCGUGAAUUCACUCUCUAUUGUUGGGUUCUUCCCCAGUUAUCAGAAUCAUUCCCAGCAUUUGCAUUCUGUUCCUAGCCUGCACCGCCAAUGUGCCAUUCUACCAUGGGUCUCUUCCAUUUCCGGUGAUAAGCAAAUUCAUCCAUUGCGUUGUCUUCAACAAGGUAAUCCACAUCAUCCAAGUCCGAGUAUGCCAUUCUACCGACCCCCUCCAAACGAUCGUUGUGAAUUGCCUUAGGCUGGUAUGAAGAGUUUCAAUGAUCUUUGAAUCAAAAGUAAUUCUUUUUGCCACUUAAGAUAAUAAUCUACGAAUCACCCUCCUCCAGGAUGUUUCGUCGUGGUAUCAUGGCAACUCAACUCCUCGCUACGUUGACAAUCGUUUACCACCCUCUUAAGCGUGAAAUUGUUGUCUACCUAGUGAACCCUCGUCAUCUGUUCCACUCCAUCCCUCUAGAGGUGUGCUUCGUCUCUCAGCUCGAGAGAUGUUGUUAUGUCUCAUUCCGUGAGUUGUUCGAUCUUCGAGAAGAUCGACCCUUCUAGAGUCUCCCUCUUCCCUCCAUGUCAUGUUGACAGGAUUUCUUAGAGCAAGACGACAAGACAAAGAUGGUGUUCAAAUCAACGUUCAUUUGAAGUGCACCCUGGAUCGUGAAGUUUGUGCUAGGUCGCGUUCCCCCUCCACCUUACCCUACGCUUGAAUCUCGAGACGAGAUUCUUGUUUAGUGGGGGUGAGUUGUCACAUCCCUAGUUGCUGGUAGUGCUCUAGGCUAGCUCAUGUGUGCAUCAUGUUUAAAUUCUGAAAAUUUGAACUGAGGAAUUCAGAAGCCUCAAAACUUAAAUAAAAGAGGGGCAGAAACCCUAAAAAUCUCAUUCAUUGUUCCAAAAUGCUCUUCUUAAAUGUUUGAUAAUUUUUGGCAAGGGUUCUGGUCCCAACCAAAAUAUUGAACAUUUUUAAGGAUUUAUUUUUGGGACUUUGAAUUUAAUUCAUUAGCUAUUUGAAUUUGAAUUAUAUUCAUAUAAUUAGAAUAUAAUUUCCAAUAUCCCUGAAUUAUUUUAUGAGCUUUUGGAAAGGUCCAUCUAGCAAAAUAAAAUAUUCAGAGGAGCUUUGGCAUUGUUUGAAUUAUUAUUUUUAAUUCAAAACAGUGGCAAAAGAAUUAAAUAAAAAGAAAACAGAACUGAAAUAGAAAUAAAAGACAGAGAAGGAAGUUACCUGGACUUACCUCAGCUUACCCGCGGCCCAACACUGUGCAGCCAGCAGCGGCCCAGCCCACCACUUCCCCCCCCCCUGUCGCCUUCCUCCUCGCGCCAGUGGGCGCAGGCGCGUGGCCGGAGCGCGCGGGCACACGCCCAGGCCACCUCCUGCCUCUCUGCCUGUUUCCCCGUCGCCCUGAGGAUGCCACGCACCCCCUGGACCGCUCUCACUCUCCCCCAUUCCUUCUUCUCUCUUCCCUGGCUCUCUCACUCGCAUGACCGAGAGUCGCCGUCGCCGCCGCUCGCCAUAACCACGGCCACCGCCGCCCCCUCACUUCUCUGACCAGCCCACGAGCUCCGCCUAGAACCCGAGCGCCUCUCCGCCGACCCACGCAAGGCCGGAGGACCCCAAGACGACGCCGCGACCCCUCUUCCCUGUCCACGGCCGCCGGAUGCCGCCGCCCGAUUCGUCGUCCACAGGGCCUCCCUGAGCUCGCCGUCUUCUUCACACGACUCCCUGUGAGCCCCUCUCCCUUUCCCCUCAUACCCCGUGGUGGAUUUGGUUCGCUAGCUCGAUUCCCGCCAUCGCCGAGAGCUUCUGCCGUCGUGUCUCAUCGCCGCCGUGGCCUGAGCUCGAUCUGCUCACGUCCGAGCACGCGAUAGUGCUCCAGGAGCUCCCCUGGUGCUCUUGCGCCUCUCAACCUGCUCGCUAGCAAGCUACAGCCCCGCGCCCCGACCGAGCCCGAGCAUCGCCGCCGCCGAGCUCAUCGCCGGUGCCGCUACAGCCCGCAUCAGCUCCAGCCACCACCACCAUCGUACGCGCCCUGCUGCGGGUGUUCCAACGCACCCGGCCGUGCGACCUCCCGUCGCCGGAGUUGGCCGGACGAGCGACCUCGCCGUGCCCUGUUAUGCCGGCGGCUAAACGCCGAUUAGAGCUGACGUGGAGCAUUAGGUUAGGUGCUAAUCACUCAGUUAAUUAAACCCUUGUGCAUGACAUGUGGGACCGCUGCUGUUAAAAACACGGGUUAAGUUAAAUAACCCCCUGUUAGCUCUUUAUCUCACUGACAUGUGGGCCUCGAUGUCAGUUUGACUUGCUGACGUGGCUUUUGACUGGCCCCACACGUCAGUGACUCAUGCCAGCGGUGUGUCACUGACCAGUGGGCCCCACUGGUCAGGUUUGACCCGGACCAGCCCCUGUUGACUAUGCUGAGGUCAGCAUGACCUAGUGCUGACGCAAUAAUUCCUUUCUGGAAUUUAAAUAAAUCUUAAAUGAUUUAAUAAUUCCAGAAAAUGCCUAAAACUUCUAAAAUUAAUAGAAAUUCAACCGUAACUCCAAAUUAAAUAAUUUAUAUAUGAAAAAUUAUCAGAAAAAUUCAAGGAAUCCAUCUGUACCAUUUUCAUGCAUGUUAGAACAACUUAUAGCUGCUGUUUAGCACAAAUCAAUUAAAGGGCAUUUAAAUAUCCACAUAUGGAGUUUGAAUUUGAAUCUUGGAUUCAAACCAACUUCAUUUAAUCUGGUUUUAGUUGCAUUAGCUCAAAACACAUUCAUUUUGCCAUGUCAUGAUCAUGCAUCAUAUUGUGCAUUGCAUUGAUUGUGUUCCCUUCUGUGUUGCCAGUAUUUGUCCCCUCUCGAUAGACGUGAUACCGAUGAUGUGAUCGUUGACACUGAUGAAGACUCAAUGUUAUCUUCAGAAGUGCCAGGCAAGCAAAACCCCCUUGUUCAUUCCGAUACAAUCCCACUCUCUCGCUCCUGCUCUCUUUUACUGCAUUAGGACAACAACGACAUAUUUGUUACUUGCUGCGGUAGCUGAACCCCUUUAUCCUCUGCAUGACCUGUCAUUGCCACAGUAAAUAGAUGAAACCCACUAGCAUGAGUAGGAGUUGUUUGAGCCCUGUUGUGCCUACUCAUUCUUGCUUGUUUGUCAUGCCUGCUACUGCUUAGAGUUGAGUCAGGUCUGAUUCAUCGGGGAUGAAUCAGAGGCGUGUGAGCAUGUCCUACCGUGUGUGAGCUAAGUGUGUGAACACGUUUUGGUAAAGGUAGCGGUGAGAGGCCAUGUAGGAGUACAUGGUGGGUUGUCUCAUUGCAGCCGUCCUCAGGAACUGAGUUCUGUGUUUGUGAUCCAUGAUUCAGCUACUACCAUACAUUGGGCCCUGAAAUAUGACCCCGCUCGACUUCUUAUUCACCCUAGUCCUCUAUCCAGGAGUUGCAAGUAGUUUCUGGUGUUUGUAGUAUGCUGGAGGCCGUGGACAGCGCUGACCGUAGGGGUGGGCUGUGAUGCGGUAGGCACGUGGCCGGGUAAACCGGGCGCCCGUUUGGUGUCACGGAACCCUGUUCACAUCGUUUGGGGCUGUGAGCGAAACUCCGGCCGGAUCUCCUCAUGGAUGGAACCCGAAUAGGCGAUAAACCUGGACUAGAGACUUGAGUGUUUAGGUAGGUCGUGGUCUACACCCACGUCGGCUUUCGCUUGAAGUCUGCCGAGCACAUGUCGUGUGCAGACGCUAAGUGGUGGAAACAUGUAUGAAGAAGUACACCCCUGCAGGGUUAACAUCAUCUAUUCGAAUAGCCGUGUCCGCGGAAAAGGACUUCUGGGUUGCUUAUAUCAGUUCAUAGACAAGUGAAAGUGGAUACUCUAAAAUACGCAAGAUAAGCGUGAGUGCUAUGGAUGGCGUUCUCGUAGGGAGACGGGAGCGGAUCCAUAGUGGUGUAUUGAUAUGGUGAAUAUGUGGACUCGUGUGCGCCACCUCAAGGAGUUACUUGCAGUCGUAGUUCAGGAUAGCCACCGAGUCAAAGCUGGCUUGCUGCAGUUAAACCCCACCAUCCCCUUUGUUGAUAAUGAUGCAUAUGUAGCUAGUUCUGAUGUAAGUCUUGCUGGGUACAUUUGUACUCACGUUUGCCUAUUUUAUGUUUUUGCAGAGAGACUUCGGUCUCACUAGUAGUUUCGCGUGGACUUCGAUGUUUAGCUUGUUACCUCAGCUACGAUCUUGUGCCCCCGGCAGAAUCUGGUAGAUAGUCAGGCUUUCAAGCCUUUUCCAUUUAUAGAUGUCUGUACUCAGACAUGAUAGCUUCCGCUUGUGCUUUGACUUGUAUGCUCUGAUUGUUGGGUCAUGAGACCCCUGUUUGAAUUAUCUCGCUCCUCGGAGCCUAUUGAAUAAAUUACUUGAGUCGUAGAGUCAUGUUGUGAUGCCAUGUUGUAUUUGCACAUAUCGAGCAUAUUGUGUGUAUGUUAUUGAAAUGCUUGGUAUGUGUGGGAUCUGACCAUCUAGUUGUUUAUCUUUAGUAGCCUCUCUUACGAGGAAAUGUCUCCUAGUGUUUCCACCGAGCCAUGGUAGCUUGCUACUGCUCCGGAACACUUAGGCUGGCCGGCAUGUGUCCUUCUUCGUUCCUGUGUCUGUCCCUUCGGGGAAAUGUCACGCGAUGAAUACCGGAGUCCUGUUAGCCCGCUACAGCCCGGUUCACCGGAGUCCUGCUAGCCCAGUGCUACAGCCUGGAUUCACUUGCUGAUGACCGACACGUUCGAUGCUGGGUCAUGGAUGCCUGUCCCUGUAAGUCUGUGCCACUUUGGGUUUACGACUAGCCAUGUCAGCCCGGGCUCCUUAUCAUAUGGAUGCUAGCGACACUAUCAUAUACGUUUGCCAAAAGGCGCAAACGGUCCCGGGCAAAGGUAAGGCGACACCCGUGGGAAUACCGUGCGUGAGGCCGCAAAGUGAUAUGAGGUGUUACAUGCUAGAUCGAUGUGGCAUUGAGUCGGGGUCCUGACAGGAGUUAACCUGGUCAGCUGUUCCUGUGGGAAAUGGAGUCCCCUAAACGCUGAUGAUCCACAAACCGCUUCCGCCAUCAACCACUAGAAACCAUUUGUUGUACUCAUAGGCCAGAAUGGUCUUGUACUACAUAUUUUGUACUUUUGCUUGGAAUUUCCAUAUCAAGUUGGUGCCUCAUCAGCUAAUAGUAAUCCUGGGGCUGGUGAGCACAAGGGCCAUUUUCUGGAAAUUAAUAUCCUGAAAAAACCGGUCCUAACAGUUCAUUGAGAGGGGUAGCAAUGGUGCUGAAAUCUCUCACAAAAUGCCUAUAGAAUCCAGUGAGGCCAAGAAAACUCCUCACUUGUGUGACCGUUUUGGGCUACGGCCAACUCCCAAUAGCUUCAAUCUUGGCUUUAUCAACUUCAAUUCCCCGUGGAGUAACAACACAACCAAGAAAAGAUACUCGAUCGGUGCAAAAGGUGCACUUCCCAAGGUUACCAAACAAACGUGCAUCACGUAGAACAAGAAAAAUAACACAUAAAUGUUCCAAAUGUUCCUCCAAAGAUCUAUUGUAAAUCAGUAUAUCAUCAAAAUAGACUACCACAAAUCGUCCAAUGAAAGCACGUAAAACUUCAUUCAUUAAUCUCAUGAAAGUAAUAGGUGCAUUAGUUAACCCCAAAGGCAUGACUAACCACUCAUAUAAUCCAAACUUAGUUUUAAAUGCUGUUUUCCAUUCAUCUCCCAAUUUCAUACGAAUUUGAUGGUAUCCACUAUGCAAAUCAACUUUGGAGAAUAUUGAAGAGCCACUCAUAUCAUGAAGCAUGUCAUCUAGCCUAGGAAUAGGAUGACGAUAACGAAUAGUAAUAUUAUUAAUGCCUCUACAAUCAACACACAUAUGCGACAUACCAUCCUUUUUUCGCACUAGUAUAAUAGGAACAACACAAGGAUAAGAGAUUUGCGUAUAUAACCUUUGUCGAGCAGCUCUUGUAUGUGACACAUAAUCUCCUUCAUCUCCUCUGGAUUAGUACGGUAUGGAGCAUGGUUUGGCGACGAAGCACCGGGAAUUAAGUCAAUCUGAUGCUCAAUCCCUCGAAUGAGUGGUAAUCCCGGUGGCACGUCUUAUGGAAAGACGCCAGCAAACUCCCGCAAAAUGUUAGUGACAGCAGGAGGCAAAGAGGAAGGUACAUCGUCGAAAGAAAAUAAUGCCCCUCUGCACACAAAAGCAUAGCAAACAGAUUUGCUGAAAUCUAGAUCAUUAAUAUCAGAUUUGGUGGCAAGUAAACAUGCACUUUUCAAUUUAAUUUCAGAAGCAACACUAGAUGGUUUAUUAUUAGGCUUCAUUUGUUGCUCAGAUUCUUUUGCCACAAUCUGAUUUUCACUCUUAUUAUUCUCCUAAUUUGCUUUAUUAGCUCUAUUAAUAUCAUCUUUCGAAAUGGAAUCAGGAGUCGUAGGAAGCAAAGCAAUAUUUCUACCCAUACGAACAAGAGUAUACUGAUUGUUUCUACCAUGGUGUAGAGAAUUUUUAUCAAAUUGCCAUGGUCUAUCAAGUAAUAAGGAACAUGAUUGCAUAGGUACCACAUCACAAUCAAUAUAAUCAGCAUAUGUAGAGAUACUAAAAUGCACACGAACAGUACGUGUUACCUUAACCUUGCCGCUAUUGUUGAACCAUUGGAUGUAGUAAGGAUGUGGAUGUGGUCUUGUGGUGAGAGAUAGCCUCUACACCAUCUUCAUGCUAGCCAAGUCGUUGCAGCUCCCUCCAUCUAUGAUGAUGCGAACAGAACAUUCCUUCACAACUCCCUUUGUAUGGAACAAAUUAUGCCUCUGAUUUUUCUCAGCUUGUGUGACCUGCACACUCAAAACACGUUGAGCAACUAAACAUUCAUACCUGUCAACGUCUUCAGGAUCCAUGUAUUGUGUCUCAUGAUCAGAAUCAUCUCCACCGUGUUCUUCACUUGUAAUAAGAGCCAAAGUCUCCUCAUCAUAGUCACUGAGGGAGUCCUGGAUUAGGGGGUCCUCGGAUAAUAUGUUUAUGCCGGACUAUUGGACUAUGAAGAUACAAGAUUGAAGACUUCGUCCCGUGUCUGGGUGGGACUCUCCUUUGUGUGGAAGGCAAGCUUGGCGAUUCGGAUAUGUAGAUUCCCUUCUCUGUAACCGACUCCUUGUAACCCUAGCCCCCUCCGGUGUCUCUAUAAACCGGAGGGUUUAGUCCGUAGGACAACAACAAUCAUAAUCAUAGGCUAGCUUCUAGGGUUUAGCCUCUACAAUCUCGUGGUAGAUCAACUCUUGUAAUACUCAUAUCAUCAAGAUCAAUCAAGCAGGAAGUAGGGUAUUACCUCCAUAGAGAGGGCCUGAACCUGGGUAAACAACGUGUCCCCCCUCCUGUUACCAUUAGCCUUAGACACACAGUUCGGGACCCCUACCCGAGAUCCGCCGGUUUUGACACCGACAUUGGUGCUUUCACUGAGAGUUCCACUGUGUCGUCACCGUAAGGCUUGAUGGCUCCUCCAAUCAUCUACAACGACGCGAUCCUGGGUGAGGUUUUCCUCCCCGGACAGAUCUUCAUAUUCGGCGGCUUCGCACUGCGGGCCAACUCGCUUGGCCAUCUGGAGCACAUCGAUAGCUACGCCCCUGGCCAUCAGGUUAGGUUUGGAAGCCUGAACUACACUGCCGACAUCCGCAGAGACUUGAUCUUCGACGAAUUCGAGCCCAAGACAGGCACACCCAACAGUCGCGGUGAGCAUGACCUAGAUCUGCCGUCGGACGGUGUUCAAGAGAUCACACCUGCAGCUGCCCUGGCUUUAAAUCCAGUGCAGAUCGUGCCAUCCGAGGACGGGAGGAUGGACCCCACCACGGAAGCCGCACACUCAACGGUGAUAGCGCCAAACACAGAUUUCACUUCCAAGGAGGUCUGCGUCAUCAGACCCUCGGACUCGUUUUCGGCCAUAGGCUCCGAACCGCGUGCAUCCGUGCCCAUCGGAUCUAACCGGGCACCGAUCAUGGAGUUCGGCUCCGCGGAUAUCUUCCAGCACUCGCCCCUGGGCAACAUGCUAAACUCAUUAAAAUCUCUCUCCUUGUCAGGAAACUCUUGGCCGAACUAUGUCCGACUUGAGUGGGAAGCUGACGACGAAGGAAUUUGUUACCCACCCACCACCCACUUAAUAGCCACUGUCGACGACUUAACUGACAUGCUUGAUUUUGACUCCGAAGACAUCAACGGUAUGGACGACGAUGCCGGAGAAGAACGGGAACCACCGCCCCCAGGGCGAUGGACAACCACCUCAUCAUAUGACAUAUAUAUGGUGGACACACCCAAAGAAAGCAAUGGCGAGGAUCAAAAGGAUGGAAUGGAGGAUAAUCCUCUUGAAAAGCAAACAAAGCGCCGACGUUAGUGGCGCCGCUCUAAACCCCUCCAUAGCAAAAACAGCGAUACCGUCACAAGAAAGAAUAACACCUCGGACGAUGCUAAAGAUAACGACGUCCUCGUAGACCCAGCGAUGGGGCAGGCCGAGCAAGGGGACGGCGAACAUAGUCCGGGGCCGCUGUCCGAACGCAGCGACACCGAAGACAAAACUUAUAAACCUGUCUCCGGAGAGGAGAACAGUCCGGAUGAUGAUCCAGGCAUCAUCCCGGAAAAACACUUGGAACAAGAGCACCUCCACAAGAGACUUAUUGCCACCGCGAGGAGCUUGAAGAAGCAGAAGCAACGGCUUAAAGCCGCGCAAGAGACGCUCAACCACAGAUGGAACGAAGUGCUCGACACUGAUGAAAGAUACGAUGGUGAUCGCCAGACAAAGAGCUACCCAAAACGUAAGCUGCUUCCCGAAUUCGAUGACGAGGCUAUCGCGCCCAUUCCGCCGAAAAACAUACGGUGGAUCUGCCGGACCAACCACCCCGUGACCGAGACAGAGCGGCUAAUGACGCCGCACACAAGUCAGCACUCGAUCUAUGUGAGCACUUGGACAAAAGAGCUGGUAUGACCAGGUCCAUCUAUGGAUCUAGGAAACGUGUUCCUAUGAAGGAUCACGGCCACCAGACCAAUUAUACUGAUCGACUACCAGCUCGGAAUCAACACCGAACACUACAGCCGUCGGACCCACGCCAUGACACAUCCAAGUACAGGGGCGCCGCACACCCCCUGUGCUUCAUCGAUGAGGUGCUGGAUCAUGAAUUUCCAGGGGGGUUUAAACUCGUAAACAUCGAGGCGUACGACGGAAUGACAGACCCUACAGUAUGGAUUGAGGACUUUAUUCUUCACAUCCAUAUGGCUCGCGGAGAUGAUCUCCAUGCCAUCAAAUACCUGCCUCUCAAGUUAAAAGGACCAUCUUGGCACUGGUUGAAAGGCCUCCCCGAAAAUUCCAUUGGAAGCUGGGAGGCACUCGAGGACGCUUUCAGGGCUAAUUUUCAAGGGACAUAUGCCCGACCUCCGGAUGCGGACGAUUUAAGUCACAUAAUUCAACAACCCGGAGAGUCAGCCCGUAAGCUUUGGAACAGAUUUCUCACCAAGAAGAACCAAAUCGUCGACUGUCCGGAUGCCGAAGCCCUAGCAGCUUUCAAACACAGUGUCCGGGACAAAUGGCUUGCCAGACACCUCGGCCAGGAAAAGCCAAGGACAAUGGCAGCCCUAACAACUCUUAUGACCCACUUUUGCAUGGGUGAGGACAAUUGGUUGGCCCGAAGCGGCACCAUCGAUCCAGGCACAUCCGAAAUAAGGGAUGGGAAUGGAAAACCGUGACGCAAUAAAAACAAGCGUUGAAAUAAUGAAGACAACCCAGACAAUACAACGGUAGAUGCCGGAUUCAGGGGCUCUAGACCCGGUCAACAAAAAAAGCCAUUUAAAGGCAGCAGAGAUGGUCCGUCCAGCCUAAAUAAAAUUCUAGAGAGGUCCUGUGAGAUUCACGGCACCCCCGCAAAACCUGCGAAUCACACCAACAGAGAAUGCUGGGUUUUCAAGCAGGCCGGCAAGCUAAACGCUGAACACAAAGGAAGGGAGCCGCCAAGUGAAGAUGAGGACGAACCUUGCCAACCGAACACUGGGGGAUAGAAAAAAUUUCCACCGGAGGUCAAAACAGUGAACAUGAUUUACGUCACCCACAUGUCAAAGAGGAAGCACAAAUGCGCACUCCGAGACGUAUAUGUUGUAGAGCCCGUCGUCCCCAAAUUCAACCCAUGGUCGGCCUGCCCGAUCACUUUCGAUCGCAGGGACCAUCCGACUAGUAUCCGGCAUGGAGGUUCGGCUGCCUUGGUGCUCGACCCAAUAAUUGACGGAUACCACCUCACCCGAGUUCUCAUGGAUGGCGGCAGUAGUCUUAAUCUGAUAUAUCAGGACACUAUCCGCACCUGUCAAGAAUCAACCAAAGUAGUACUACCUUUAAAGGAGUAAUACCAGGCGUAGAGGCCCGAUGCACGGUCUCUCUAACAUUAGAGGUUGUAUUCGGUUCUCCCGACAACUUUUGAAGCGAAUAACUAAUCUUCAACAUCGCUCUGUUCCGAAGCGUUUAUCAUGCACUACUCGGAAGAACGGCCUUCGCUCGUUUCAAUGCAGUACCGCAUUAGGCUUAUCUCAAACUUAAGAUUCCCGGUCCACGUGGCGUCAUCACAAUCAGCGGAAACACAGAGCGUUCUCUUCGUACGGAAGAAUAUAUGGGAGCUCUAGCAGCCGAACCACUGAAUGGCCUCUCCAACCCAAGUAACCCAUUGGUCUUCGAGACCACGGACGCGGAUAGACGUGUUCGGCGCACACCUAGUUGUAGCAGCCUAGAUAAACCUGACCUUGAUUAACAACUAUGCCCCCAUAUGUGGUGCGAGGGCUGCCCGCAUGUAAAAGGUCCAUAGUUCGGCUUGACCCUAUUUACACUCAAGAAAUUGAAUUUUCACGGUUCAUUAAGAUUAACCAACUUUACGCAUGGUCACACCAGAUUCUUUCACCUGGGUUUUUCUUUUUUUUAUAGAUGACCAUUGUGCUACACCCUUCAAAGAUACGGCGCAAUGGAGACAAAGGCGCAGCCGUGCAGCAGGGCCCCGUCCAAAGGUUUCUUUUUAGAUUAAGACCCUAUGUAAACCUUUUUUAUUGUCUCUUGUUGUCUCACACCCUCCAGGCACUUAAAAUGACCAAGAGGGAAAUCGGUGUUACCCGUGAGCUGAUGAUUCGCUGUUCUAAAAUAGACAUUACAGAGACCACAACCAGUGUUUUUUUGAGAUCUACGCUCUCACCACAGGCGCUCUUUCGUCACGCCGGAUUGAUGCACGUACCUUGAAAUUCAGGGCUCAUUACUAAGGGCGGCACUCAGCCCAGUAUAUAUUGUAAAGUCCGAAUACCUUCGGGAGUGUUCGGCAUCGCGAGUCUGGCCUUAUAUGCAUAAGCUCCAAAUCAUGUCUUUGGUCAAUAGUUGGGUUUGCCCGGCUCCCAUGUUUUGCUACCUUAUGUUCCACUCUAUCGGAUAAGGUGGCACAGGGAGAACUACUGCGAUUGUGCCCUGGUUCAUCCGGAUGAGCACCUCAGUAGAGAAAGCCGAAAACUGACUCUCAUGAUAAAGCGAGAGACUGGUCAACCACUCGAUGACUCAGCGGAAUUUUCGCGAUUCCUCCGCAUUAACAAAGGACCGGUUUCCCGGUCACGUAUGUAAAUGCACCGUAUUCGGAUGUACGCGAACAUACCAGGGGCUAUAUAGUAGUCCCACCGUCAAACUCCUAUGGCUAAGUGAAAGUGUUAAAGCUAUAUAGUCCGAUUGCCUCGUUUGCCGCGCUACCACCUCCUUAAGGGACCAAUACGUUGGAUCAAGUGUGGUUACAUGCUUUGCCGAACACCCCCGCAUUAUAUGCGAGGGUGCUGAAGCCGACGACUUCAAACUUUCAGGUUAUAUACAUAAGCGGCCGCACAGGAGGCACUACAUUACUUUACGGGCAAAAGUAUAAAUAUAGCCUUUAUUACCAAAAGCAUUGUUUCUACAAUCAAGAUACAUGUCACUCGAACAUGGUAUUCUUUAAGCACUGAGCCUCUAUUAAAUGGCCACCUUCUAAGACUUCUUAAAAAUAGUGCUCGGGCGAGUCCUGGCCCCCAGGUGGACCCCUGGUUGCAAUGUUGGUGGCCUCCAUCUUCGCUCAGUAUGUCUUAACACGGGCAAGGGCCAUCCGCGCACCUUCUAUGCACGCCGACCGCUUAAUAGUGUCGAUAUGCGGCACAACACGAACAAAUCGUUGCACCAAAUUAAAAUAACUAUCCGGACUUGGUUCCAUCGGCCAUAGGCGAUCCACAACAGCCUUCAUAGCAAGCCAGGAUAACCUAUGGAGCUCGGCCCAUUAGGCCAUUUGCUUGUUCAACAACAGCGGACGCCUUGGAGUACUAAACUGCGACCAGAACAAUCUUUCCGUUUCAUGAUCUUCUCAAUCUUUGAAAUACUGCGUCGCAUCAGUAGCACUCUUUGACAAAUCCAAGUAUGCAUCUGAAGAACUCCACAACUGAUCAAGAGGGGCAUACUUCAGAUCGCCGAAUUUGGUUCGCAAUAAAAAGGGCUUCCCAGCCACGAUCUCACCGGCUUGCCGGAGCUCCUCUCGAGCCGCUCUGAUCUCAGAGAGAGUUUCCUUUGCUGCUUGUAAAGUCUUUUUUAGGUAAGCCGUUUUCGCUUGCUUUUCCCUUUCAAGAAGCUCAUAUCGGCUAGUGGCAUUUUGUAGGUCAAGAGCAAUGUUGGCUAUUUUAUCCUCACUUUGGCGAUGAGCAGCCUGUUCGGCUUUUAAUUCAUCAGCUGCCUUCACGGCAGCCGCAUUGCUUCUCCUGGCUUGCUCCUUGGCUCGGGCAAGCUCUGCCCGAAGGGUCUCCACGGCGGCAGCACCAUCUGCAGUCAAAGCAUAUCAUAAAUCCUAGCAUUGUGCUCGCUGACCACCCAAAUAUACAUACCCUAUGCCUCGUCAAGCCGCUUGUUCACAAGCAUGAUGUCUACAUCUGCCACAUCAAGUUGCCGCUUCGGUUCGGCAAAUUCAGCAGUCCGGUCAGCCGCCGGAGCUGCAGCCGCCUGCGUAGAAAAUCGGCACCAUCAUUACCUGAGACUAUGUUCCUCUGCUCGCCUCGUCCGGAUGGCAACCAGAGUCUCAGGUGCUACUAUCUAUACAAAGUACACCUUGCGUGUAUGGUACAAUCAAAAAAAUAUAUAUCACUUUGCGUACCUCAAAGCCUCUUAGCAGGCUCGUAAAAGCUUCAUUCAACCCGCCUUUUGCGGAUGAAAUCCUCUCCACCACCAUACCCAUUAAGGUACGAUGUGCCUCUGAGAUAGCCGCUUGCCGCAGAAGACACAUCAAUGUGUCCGGUUGUAUAUCGGACAGUCCAGGGCUUUUUCUGUUGGUCUCUCUAGGAGCUGAAAACCCUGGACUUCGGGCGGCCAAAGAGUUACCUUCUGGUCUUUGCGGAUCGGCAGAGAUCCUCCGGGACGACACCUCAGGGUCGUAUGCCUCAUGAGGCGGAGAAGUAGGAGGAGGCGUUUGAUACGUCUCUGAAAGGACAAGUGCUCCCUAGGUGGUUUUGGUAAUUAAUGUCAACAUAUCUCUUGUUGGACUAACACUUUUAUCUAGUAUGUUUUAGAUAAGUUCAACAAUGGAGUGGCAUGGAUUAAAGGACGUGGGAACUCCUUCAAGAUGCUAAGGACAAAGGAUUGGAUCAAGCUUCAAGCUCAAGACUCUUCAUUUUACAUUUUAGUGAUCCAAGAUCACAUUGAGUCUAUAGGAAAAACCAAUACUAUCAGGAAGGGAUGAGGUGUUGCUUAAUGAGUUUCUUGCUCCACAGUGCUUAGUGGUAUGCUCCAACACCCUCAACUACUUUCCCACUUCCACACAUAUGACCUAAACCUAAAGUCAAACUCGGCCUCACCGAUUCUUUCUAUCCGGCACCACUGAGUUCAGAUGUCAUAGCCACUGCCACAAACCCUAGACAAAUCGGCCCUACCGAUAGGGAUUUCAGUCUCACCGAGACGGGAUUGUAAUCUCUCUGUGUGUAUGUCCAUUAACAAAAUCGGUCUCACCGAGUUUGAGCAAUCGGUACUAUCGAGAUUACAAUGCAAACUUCCUGGUUGACUCAUUACCAAAAUCGGUCCCACCGAGUUUGUGUAAUCGGUCCGAGUUUGCCUGACCAACUCUCUGGAAAGCUUAUUACCAAAAUCGGUCUCACCGAGUUUGUGUAAUCGGUCUUACCGAGAUUAAGUUAUGCCCUAACCCUAACCAUAUCGGUCCUACCGAGUUGCAUUUCGGUCCCACCGAAAAUCCUAAUGGUCACUAGGUUUACUAAAUCGGUCCGACCGAGUUUGUUGAUUCGGUCCCACCGAAUUGGUAAAUUGUGUGUAACGGUUAGAUUUUGUGUGGAGGCUAUGUAUUCCCCUCCACCUCCUCUUCAUUCGUGGAGAGAGCCAUCAGACUAAACCUACACUUCCAGCAUACAUUUUCUGAGAGAGAACUACCUACUCAUGUGUUGAGGCCAAGAUAUUCCAUUCCUACCAUAUGAACCUUGAUCUCUAGCCUUCCCCAAGUUGCUUUCCACUCAAAUCUUCUUUCCACCAGAUCCAAAACCUAUGAGAGAGAGUUGAGUGUUGGGGAGACUAUCAUUUGAAGCACAAGAGCAAGGAGUUCAUCAUCAAUGCACCAUUUGUAACUUUUUGGAGAGUGGUGUCUCCUAGAUUGGCUAGGUGUCACUUGGGAGCCUCCAACAAGAUUGUGGAGUUGAACCAAGGAGUUUGUAAGGGCAAGGAGAUCGCCUACUUCGUGAAGAUCUACCGCUAGUGAGGCAAGUCCUUCGUGGGCGACGGCCAUGGUGGGAUAUACAAGGUUGCUUCUUCGUGGACCCUUCGUGGGUGGAGCCCUCCGUGGACUCGCGCAACCGUUACCCAUCGUGGGUUGAAGUCUUCAUCAAUGUGGAUGUACGAUAGCACCACCUAUCGGAACCAUGCCAAAAACACCCGUGUCUCCAAUUGCAUUUGAAUCCUCCAAAACCCUUCCCUUUACAUUCUUGCAAGUUGCAUGCUUUACUUUCCGCUGCCCAUAUACUCUUUGCAUGCUUGCUUGCUAUGUAUUGUGAAUAUUAAACUUGUGCCUAAACUCCACUUACUCUUAAAGAUCUUAAAAACUGCAACUUUGGUACUUAGUGUCUAAUCACCCCCCCUCUAGACACCUCUUCUCAAGGUCCUACAAGUGGUAUCAGAGCAUUGGUCUCCAUUGCCUUGGUUUAAUCACCAUUGGAGGAAGGUGGAUGAGUCUACUUUGGGGAGUCUUAGACAUAGAGUGCCUAUACUUGAUGGAGAGUAUUUUCAUGAGUGAAAAAAUGAGAUGCUUGUAAUUUUCAAUCAAUAUCAUUUGAACAAGUACAUUGCUAGCCCUUGUGCACCUCAUGUUGAUCCUAUGCAUCCUACCCAUGAUGAGUCAAUUGACAUGAUUAGGAAUCUUAGAAUUGCCGAACUUAUCAUUAGAAGAUUGCCUAGAAACUUGAUUGGAUGUUUGCCUACUCUUAAGUGUGCCUACACUAUAUGGAAAUUUCUUGAGGAACGCUUUCCAAAUUAUUCCUUGAAAAAUCUAGAUGAAAUUCUCCAUAAGUCUAUUGCUUUGAGUAAGAUGAAUGCUAGUGAUCCUAUUUUUGGUGAUCGUCUAUUUGAGCUUACAAACCUUAUGCGUGCCAAAGGAGAUGUUGGAAUUAUUAGUGAUAUUAUUUCCGAAGCUAUAAAAAUUCAUAAGCAAGAUCAUUGUCAAACUCACUCUAACGAAUUACCCUCUCUAGGAUUUGAUCCACCACAUGACGAUGUUGAACAUGGAUACUAUGAUGAGGAUGGUGAUAGUGACUUCGAUCUUGAUGAUGCAAUGAGACAUUUUGGUCUUAUGGCAAAUCUACGGGGAUAUAUGUCAGGAGGAAAGGAAUGGGUUCUUGAUAGUGGAUGUACCGAUCACAUGACCGGAGAUAAAGACAUGUUUCAUGAGCUUGCUGAAAAUGAUAGUCCUCGUAAGUAUGUCACUUUCGGUGACAACUCAAAGGGUAAGGUGGUUGGCCUCGGUAAGGUGGCCAUAUCACAUGAUAGCUCCAUACAAAAUGUCAUGCUCAUUGAAUCUCUUGGAUACAACUUACUUUCAGUAUCUAGAUUUGCUGAUUUCGGUUUCAAUGUCCUAUUUACUGAAGUAGAUUGCCAAGUGUUUCGUCGAGAUAUCAUAAAAUGGUCUUUAUCGGUGUGCGUAGAGGUGAUCUAUACAUUGUUGAUUUCACUAAAAAGGCUCAACCUAAAACUUGCUUCAUUGCUAAAUCCUCGAAAGGUUGGUUAUGGCAUAGAUGACUAGGUCAUGUUGGUAUGCGAAACCUUGACAAGCUUAUUAAAGGAAAUCAUAUCCUUGGAGUUAACGAUGUCAUAUUUGAUAAGUAUAGACUUUGCAGUGCUUGUCAAGCAGGUAAACAGGUUGGAGGAAGGCAUCCGGUGAAGAACAUCAUGACCACAAGGAGGCCACUCGAGCUGCUUCACAUGGAUCUCUUUGGUCCCAACUCCUACAAGAGUCUCGGUCGAAAUUCUAUUGGUCUAGUUAUAGUUGAUGAUUUUUCAAGAUUUACGUGGGUGUUCUUUCUCGAUGAUAAAUCGCAGGUCCAAAAGAUCUUCAAAAACUUCGCUAGGAAGGCCCAAAAUCAAUUUGAAGUGAAGAUCAAGAAGGUUCACAGCGACAACGAAACGGAGUUCAAGAAUGCAAAUGUGGACACCUUUCUUGACGAAGAAGGGAUUUCACACGAGUUCUCGGCUACGUACACACCUCAACAAAACAGAGUUGUUGAGAGGAAGAACCGGACGCUCAUCGAAAUGGCGAGAACGAUGCUUGAUGAGUACAAGACACCGAAGCACUUUUGGGAAGAAGCGGUUGAGACAGCUUGUCAUGCAACAAAUCGCUUGUAUCUUCACAAGCUACUCGGCAAGACGACAUACGAGCUCCUCACCAGUAACAAACGCCAAGUUGGGUACUUUCAAGUAUUCGGCUCAAAGUGCUACAUUCUUGAUAAGCAUCGUCGUUCUAAAUUUGCUCCUAAGUCUCAUGAAGGUUUCCUACUAGGUUAUGGCUCGAACUCUCACACUUACCAUGUCUACAACAAUUUCACACGAAAGGUUGAAGAGACGGUAGAUGUGAAGUUUGAUGAAUCUAACGGCUCGCAAGUAGAGCAAUUGCCAAUUGAUGUAGGAGAUAAAGAUCCUUCAGAAGCAAUCCAAGACUUGUCUAUUGGCAAGGUCCGUCCAACGGAGGUGAAGGAGAGUACCUCAUCCAUCCAAGUGGAAGCUUCUACUUCACGACAAGGUGAACCAAGAGUUGAUACGGAAGCAUCCACAAGUGGGACACACCAAGAUGAAGAAAACGAGGAAGUGCAUCAAGAUGAACGUCAAGAACCUCCUUCUCCACCACGACAAGAGAACGACAACACCAACAAUGAAGAAGGCCAAGAAGAAGAACAAGAUGAAGAAGAAGAUCAACCAAGAAGCAAGCAAAAGCUUUCACGAGUUCGAGUAAGAAUUGCUAAAGAUCAUCCCGUCGAGCAAAUCUACAAUGAUAUUCAAACCAGGAGAAUCACUCGCUCUAAAACUCGUUUAGCUAACUUUUGUGAAAACUAUUCUUUCAUCUCUAGCAUUGAACCUAUCAAGGUUGAAGAAGCAUUGGAAGAUCCGGAUUGGUUAAAUGCUAUGCAUGAAGAGCUACACAACUUUUAGAGGAACCAAGUUUGGACAUUGGUUGAGAAGCCCGACAACAACCACAACAUCAUCGGUACCAAAUGGGUGUUUCGCAACAAGCAAGAUGAAGAUGGACAAGUAGUACGCAACAAAGCACGUCUCGUCGCCCAAGGCUACACACAAGUCGAAGGUAUGGACUAUGGUGAGACUUAUGCUCCCGUUGCUAGACUUGAGUCCAUUCACAUCUUACUUGCCUAUGCUAAUCAUCAUGAUAUCACCUUGUACCAAAUGGACAUUAAAAGUGCUUUUCUAAAUGGUGAAAUAGAGGAGGAAGUUUAUGUUAAGCAACCUCCCGACUUUGUCAAUCCUAAGAAACCCAAUCAUGUUUACAAACUUCACAAAGCUCUUUAUGGUCUUAAACAAGCUCCUAGAGCAUGGUAUAAAUGCUUGACCAAGUUCCUUAUUGAAAAAGCUUUGAAAUUGGGAAAACUGAUUCCACACCUUUUAUUAAAGGGUUAAUGGAGAACUAUUUGUGUGCCAAGUAUAUGUUGAUAAUAUUAUAUUUGGUUCAACUAACCCUCAUUUUAGUGAAAAGUUUGGGAAGCUAAUGUCGGAGAAGUUUGAGAUGUCUAUGAUGAGUGAACUCAAAUUCUUUCUUGGGUUGCAAAUCAAGCAAACUAAGGAAGGUACCUUUGUUUCUCAAACAAAGUACACCAAGGACUUAUUCAAGAAGUUCAAUAUGCAAGAAUGCAAAGGUAUGUCUACACCCAUGCCUACUAGUGGACAUCUUGACUUGACCAAAGAUAGUGAACCGGUUGACCAAAUGGUUUAUCGCUCUAUGAUUAGUUCAUUGUUAUAUCUAUGUGCUUCACGUCCCGAUAUCAUGCUAAGUGUGUGCAUGUGUGCAGGAUAUCAAGCUGCUCCUAAAGAAUGUCAUCUUAAGGCCGUGAAAAGGAUAGUGAGAUACCUAAUCCAUACACCAAACUUUGGCAUUUGGUAUCCUAAGAGGGCCUCUUUCGAUCUUGUUGGCUACUCCGACUCGGACUAUGCCGGAGACAAGGUUGAUAGAAAGUCCACUUCAGGUACUUGUCAAUUUCUUGGUAGAUCUCUUGUGUCUUGGUCCUCUAAGAAACAAAACUCAGUAUCCUUAUCCACCACCGAAGCGGAAUACAUUGCCGCUGGUUCAUGUUGUGCUCAAUUACUUUGGAUGACCCAAACUCUUAAAGAUUAUGGGAUAUAUGUGAGACAUGUUCCAUUGCUUUGUGACAAUGAAAGUGCUAUCAAAAUUGGUCAUAAUCCCGUGCAACAUUCUCGAACUAAGCAUAUUGAAGUUCGUCAUCAUUUCAUUCGAGAUCAUGUUGCUAAAGGUGACAUUGAUCUUAAGCAUGUUCGCACCGAAAAGCAAUUAGCGGAUAUAUUCACUAAACCUCUUGAUGAGAAAGUGUUUUGCAGGUUAAGAGGAGAAUUGAACAUCAUUGAUGCUUCAAACUUGGAGUAGAAACUCCAUUGGAUACAUGCAAGACAUAAGCUUAUGACUAAUCCUUGAUAUUUCUCUUAUGAUGAAAAUCUUGUGUCUUGGAUAUGUUUGCAACUUGCAUGUUAUCUAACCCUUGUAGGUACUUGGUGGAAUAAAAUUCCAUGAGAUUGUAAUCUAAUCACAUCUUGAGCAAUCUCUACAUCACCGAGUCUCUACACUAUGGUGGUUGAAGACAAGGAAGCACGGAACCAUUCAAACAUAUCCUUUGACAAAUUCUAUAUUGAGCUUCAUGAUUGUCAUUUUUGGAUACACAAGUGCUCUUCCUUGCAAGAACUAACCCAUGUAGGAAGAUGAACUCAAAUUCCAAGUGGUGCUCCCAACUCUUGAUGAACUACAUCAACCUUGAGCAACCCACACAAGUUCAACUACAUGGACAACACCACCAACCAAGGUAUGUUAUUCCAUCUUAGAGAAGCUUUACUCCAAGUUAUGAGCUAAAGCAACUCGACAAGAUGUGAAUACAUCAAGAUGCUUAAACAAAAAAUGGCAACCCCAUUUUGAGCUUAAACGAUGAGUAUGACCUAUGAUCAAGUGAUCUCACUUGACUCCUAAGUCAAUAUACUCUAACAUAGGUGACUUUGUCGCGGACCAUCUCUAGAUGAAGUUCUAUUGUGUUCUUUUCUGUGUUUUUGCAUUUGUCUCAUGCAUAUUUGUUUCCCCUUUCAAAAAAAACUUCAUCUAGAUUUCUUUCUAUUUGCUCUGCAUUUUCUGCAUCCAAUUCAUUGCAUAUCAUUCAGUAAAUUCCUUGCAAAUCUUUGUGAGAUCUUACUAGUCUAGCGAGCUGAGGUGACAAGUGUUUUCUCUGCGAUGAACUCCGUUUCACCGAUUUGUUGUUUUCUGUCCAACCGAAUCCUUUCGGUACAACCGAAGCAUUCCACUCGGUGCCACCGACUUCACAAUAGGAAAAAAUAGUUUGCCACUUAUUCUGUGUUUCUUCUGAUCCAGCUCCACUCAAUGAAUCUUGUCCUCUACAAGCAUCACAUUUUUAUCAUUGCUUUCUGCUGUGACUCAAGGACCAAACCCAUUUGGCAGAUUCCAGAAAACCCUUCUUGGAAAUUGAUGUCAAAGGGGGAGAGAUAGAUCACAUCAAAGCUUAUCAUUUAGAGAGAGAUCACAUCAGAGAAAGAGAUAUCACCUCCUUAGGGGGAGAGAGAUCCUCAGGGGGAGAGAGAGAUCUCCAGGGGGAGAGAAUACUUAAUUAGAAAGUAUUUCUCAAGGAUCCCAGAUGCUUGGUGUUCAAGAGGAGAGAUGCCGCAUGUCUUCUUAAGGGGAGAGACAUGUUCAUAUGAUCUUAUGUGCUUAUUUGCAUCAACUUGCAUUAGCUCUGUUCAUCAUUCAUAUCUUUCAGCUCUGAUUUUCUAUUCCCUAUCUUCUCCCAGUAUCCCAUGCUAGAUUCAGGGGGAGCAAGACAUCUAAGGGAAAGAAAUCAGUUAAAUUCAUUGCAUAUCUUUACUCUUGGGGACAUGUCUAAUCCAAUGUGGUACUUAGUACUCACUCUCUACAUGUCAUCCCAGUCUUGGUAUUCUUGCAGUUUCUUUUGUUUGCUCUGGCUAGUAGGUGCAUCUGUGUUAUCUAACCUUGUUUACGCAGGUUCAUUCUAUCCUAAGCCAACUCAAGACUACAAGGUAAGUAUAUGCAUCACAAUCAUGUGUAUGAGGAAUUCUUGCUGAUGUACAUACUGUUUGCAAGAAGGACUCAUGGGCAUGAAGGUAUUCUCUUUAAUAUUCUUUGCUUGAUGCAUAUGGCCAAGAUACAUGUAACACAUUGCCUACUCUAUCAUGGUUAUGCUCUCACAUGCUUCUACAUUCCAUAUUCACAUCAUUGCAUACAUGUAGGGGGAGCCUAUGCUUGUUACAUCUCUUUCCAAAGCUUUACUUGCUAUUCUUUAUAUCUUUAUCUAAAGCUUUGUUGUAUGUUGUCAUCAAUUACCAAAAAGGGGGAGAUUGAAAGCACAAGUGCUCCCUAGGUGGUUUUGGUAAUUAAUGUCAACAUAUCUCUUGUUGGACUAACACUUUUAUCUAGUAUGUUUCAGAUAAGUUCAACAAUGGAGUGGCAUGGAGUAAAGGACGUGGGAACUCCUUCAAGAUGCUAAGGACAAAGGAUUGGCUCAAGCUUCAAGCUCAAGACUCUUCAUUUUACAUUUUAGUGAUCCAAGAUCACAUUGAGUCUAUAGGAAAAGCCAAUACUAUCAAGAAGGGAUGAGGUGUUGCUUAAUGAGUUUCUUGCUCCACAGUGCUUAGUGAUAUGCUCCAACACCCUCAACUACUUUCCCACUUCCACACAUAUGACCUAAAUCUAAAGUCAAACUCGUCCUCAUAGAUUCUUUCUAUCCGGCGCCACCGAGUUUAGAUGUCAUAGCCACUGCCACAAACCCUAGACAAAUCGGCCCUACCGAUAGGGAUCUCGGUCUCACCAACAUGGGAUUGUAAUCUCUCUGUGUGUAUGUCCAUAACCAAAAUCGGUCUCACCGAAUUUGAGCAAUCGGUACUACCGAGAUUACAAUGCAAACUUCCUGGUUGACUCAUUACCAAAAUUGGUCCCACCGAGUUUGUGUAAUCGGUCCGACCGAGUUUGCCUGACCAACUCUCUGGAAAGCUUAUUACCAAAAUCGGUCUCACUGAGUUUGUGUAAUCGGUCUUACCGAGAUUAAGUUAUGCCCUAACCCUAACCAUAUAGGUCCUACCGAGUUGCAUUUCGGUCCCACCGAAAAUCCUAACGGUCACUAGGUUUACUACGGUCCAACCGAGUUUGUUGAUUCGGUCCCACCAAGUUUGGUAAAUUGUGUGUAAUGGUUAGAUUUUGUGUGGAGGCUAUAUAUUCACCUCCACCUCCUCUUCAUUCGUGGAGAGAGCCAUCAGACUGAACCUACACUUCCAGCAUACAUUUUCUGAGAGAGAACUACCUACUCAUGUGUUGAGGCCAAGAUAUUCCAUUCCUACCAUAUGAAUCUUGAUCUCUAGCCUUCCCCAAGUUGCUUUCCACUCAAAUCUUAUUUCCACCAGAUCCAAAACCUACGAGAGAGAGUUGAGUGUUGGGGAGACUAUCAUUUGAAGCACAAGAGCAAGGAGUUCAUCAUCAAUGCACCAUUUGUUACUUCUUGGAGAGUGGUGUCUCCUAGAUUGGCUAGGUUUCACUUGGGAACCUCCGACAAGAUUGUGGAGUUGAACAAAGGAGUUUGUAAGGGCAAGGAGAUCGCCUACUUCGUGAAGAUCUACCGCUAGUGAGGCAAGUCCUUCAUGGGCAACGGCCAUGGUGGGAUAGACAAGGUUGCUUCUUCGUGGACCCUUCGUGGGUGGAGCUCUUCGUGGACUCGCGCAACUGUUACCCUUCGUGGGUUGAAGUCUCCGUCAACGUGGAUGUACGAUAGCACCACCUAUCGGAACCACGCCAAAAACAUCUGUGUCUCCAAUUGCGUUUGAAUCCUCCAAAACCCUUCCCUUUACAUUCUUGCAAGUUGCAUGCUUUACUUUCCGCUGCCCAUAUACUCUUUGCAUGCUUGCUUGCUAUGUAUUGUGAAUAUUAAACUUGUGCCUAAACUCCACUUAAACUUAAAGAUCUUAAAAACUGCAACUUUGGUACUUAGUGUCCAAUCCCCCCCCUCUAGACACCUCUUCUCAAGGUCCUACAGUCUCCAACGUAUCUAUAAUUUUUGAUUGUUCCAUGCUAUUAUAUUACCCGUUUGGAUGUUUAUGGGAUUUACUUUACACUUUUAUAUCAUUUUCGGGACUAACCUACUAACCGGAGGCCCAGCCCAUAUUACUGUCUUUUUUGCCUAUUUCAGUGUUUUGGAGAAAAGGAAUACCAAACGGAGUCCAAACGGAAUGAAACCUUUGGGAGCGAUCUUUUUGGAACAAACGUGAUCCAGAGGACUUGGAGUGCAAGUCAAGAAGCAAUCGAGGAAGCCACGAGGGUGGAGGGCGCCCCCCUCCCUACUGGGCACGUCCCCCUAUCUCGUGGGCCCCUCAGGCGUCCACCGACCUACUUCUUCCUCCUAUAUAUACCCACGUACCCCGAGAACAUCAGAGGCGACAAUGAAAAACUAUUUCCACCACCGUAACCUUCUGUAUCCGCGAGAUCCCAUCUUGGAGCCUUCGCCGGCGCUCCGCCGGAGGGGGAAUCAACCACGGAGGGCUUCUACAUCAGCACCAUAGCUCUUCCGAUGAGUUGUGAGUAGUUUACCAUAGACCUUCGGGUCCAUAGUUAUUAGCUAGGUGGCUUCUUCUCUCUCUUUGAAUCUCAAUUCCAUGUUCUCCUUGAUCUUCUUGGAGAUCUAUUCGAUGUAACUCUUUUUGAGGUGUGUUUGUCGAGAUCCGAUGAAUUGUGGGUUUAUGAUCAAGUUUAUCUAUGAGAAAUAUUUGAAUCUCCUCUAAAUUCUUUUAUGUGUGAUUAAGUUAUCUUUGCAAGUCUCUUCGAAUUAUAAGUUUGGUUUGGCCUAGUAGAUUGAUCUUUCUUGCAAUGGGAGAAGUGCUUAGCUUUGGGUUCAAUCUUGCAGUGUCCUUUCCCAGUGACAGCAAGGGCAGCAAGGCACGUAUUGUAUCAUUGCCAUCGAGGAUAAAAAGAUAGGGUUUAUAUCAUAUUGCAUGAGUUUAUCCCUCUACAUCAUGUCAUCUUUCUUAAUGCGUUACUCUGUUCUUUACGAACUUAAUACUCUAGAUGCAUGCUGGAUAGCAGCCGAUGUGUGGAGUAAUAGUAGUGGAUGCAGGCAGGAGUCGGUCUACUUGUCACGGACGUGAUGCCUAUAUACAUGAUCAUGCCUAGAUAAUCUCAUAAUUAUUCGCUUUUCUAUCAAUUGCUCGACAGUAAUUUGUUCACUCAUCGUAAUACUUAUGCUAUCUCGAGAGAAGCCACUAGUGAAACCUUUGGCCCCCGGGUCUAUCUUUUAUCAAAUAAGCUUUCAAUCUACUUCUAUUUGCAUCUUUACUUUUCCAAUCUAUAUUAUAAAAUACCAAAAAUAUAUCUAUCUUAUCAUAUUAUCUCUAUCAGAUCUCACUUUCGCAAGUGGCCGUGAAGGGAUUGACAACCCCUUUAUUGCGUUGGUUGCGAGUUCUUGUUUGUUUGUGUAGGUGCGUGGGACUUUUGAGGAGCCUCCUACUGGAUAGAUACCUUGGUUCUCAAAAACUGAGGGAAACACUUACGCUACUAUUUGCUGCAUCACCCUUUCCUCUUAAACGAAAACCAACACAAGCUCAAGAGGUAGCAGCGUUUCGCUCUCCAUCAUCUCCAGAAGAAGAUCCCUUGAGGACGAACAUUGUUGAGGGAGGCUAUAAGGCGAACUACAAAACAUAUGUCUCGGUCGUUAUUCUCAGGAAAAGAAUAGGGUAUGCUUACUAAGCACCUUUGUUCAUGUACGGCCCGGUUAACGGCUGGCCCCCUGUGGGCGCUGUGCGGCAAUGUUGCCCUCCGGGGCAGGGCCCCCUGGUGAAGGUUUCUUCCCUUGUUUGGAGACCUCUGCUUCCAAGUCUUCGGGGGCGGUCCUUUUCUUCCCGUGGGGAGAGGGGAUGCUGGAUUCUCCUCCCUAUUCAUCCUCCGACACGGGGGUACUAAUUUCCCUAGUUAGGAUGCGUAACGUACCUCUAGCAUGAAGUCCGCUUUUGGCUUUCCCAUUCCUCUCCUUGUCCUCCCCUGAUGGCACUUGAUAAGGUGCGCGAGCCAGCAUCCUGGUUAGUACAGGAUCCGACAAAUCUUCGGGAAGAGGGGCCAAACACCUGAUCCUCCCCGACUUUCUUAUCCAGUCCUGGCCGUGGGUGGUUUUUUAGAAUAAUGUUGUGACAAAUAUAAUGACAGCAUGUUCGGUCGCGGAAUUACUUACCUGGGUAUCUUGAUGGUAGCAGUUGAGGCCUGCAUCCUCUGUUGUGUCCGGACACUUUAUUCGUGAUCUGUAAAAUAAUUGAUACAUCCCUUCAAGUGUAUUCCUUGAGUCCUUCGAAGUUGCCCUUUAAGAAGUCGAUCUCGGUCUCACCGACAUGGGAUUGUAAUCUCUCUGUGUGUAUGUCCAUCACCAAAAUCGGUCUCACCGAGUUUGAGCAAUCGGUACUACCGAGAUUACAAUGCAAACUUCCUGGUUGACUCAUUACCAAAAUUGGUCCCACCGAGUUUGUGUAAUCGGUCCGACCGAGUUUGCCUGACCAACUCUCUGGAAAGCUUAUUACCAAAAUCGGUCUCACUGAGUUUGUGUAAUCGGUCUUACCGAGAUUAAGUUAUGCCCUAACCCUAACCAUAUAGGUCCUACCGAGUUGCAUUUCGGUCCCACCGAAAAUCCUAACGGUCACUAGGUUUACUACGGUCCGACCGAGUUUGUUGAUUCGGUCCCACCAAGUUUGGUAAAUUGUGUGUAAUGGUUAGAUUUUGUGUGGAAGCUAUAUAUUCACCUCCACCUCCUCUUCAUUCGUGGAGAGAGCCAUCAGACUGAACCUACACUUCCAGCAUACAUUUUCUGAGAGAGAACUACCUACUCAUGUGUUGAGGCCAAGAUAUUCCAUUCCUACCAUAUGAAUCUUGAUCUCUAGCCUUCCCCAAGUUGCUUUCCACUCAAAUCUUAUUUCCACCAGAUCCAAAACCUAUGAGAGAGAGUUGAGUGUUGGGGAGACUAUCAUUUGAAGCACAAGAGCAAGGAGUUCAUCAUCAAUGCACCAUUUGUUACUUCUUGGAGAGUGGUGUCUCCUAGAUUGGCUAGUUGUCACUUGGGAACCUCCGACAAGAUUGUGGAGUUGAACAAAGGAGUUUGUAAGGGCAAGGAGAUUGCCUACUUCGUGAAGAUCUACCGCUAGUGAGGCAAGUCCUUCAUGGGCAACGGCCAUGGUGGGAUAGACAAGGUUGCUUCUUCGUGGACCCUUCGUGGGUGGAGCCCUUCGUGGACUCGCGCAACCGUUACCCUUCGUGGGUUGAAGUCUCCGUCAACGUGGAUGUACGAUAGCACCACCUAUCGGAACCACGCCAAAAACAUCUGUGUCUCCAAUUGCGUUUGAAUCCUCCAAAACCCUUCCCUUUACAUUCUUGCAAGUUGCAUGCUUUACUUUCCGCUGCCCAUAUACUCUUUGCAUGCUUGCUUGCUAUGUAUUGUGAAUAUUAAACUUGUGCCUAAACUCCACUUAAACUUAAAGAUCUUAAAAACUGCAACUUUGGUACUUAGUGUCCAAUCCCCCCCCUCUAGACACCUCUUCUCAAGGUCCUACAGUCUCCAACGUAUCUAUAAUUUUUGAUUGUUCCAUGCUAUUAUAUUACCCGUUUGGAUGUUUAUGGGAUUUACUUUACACUUUUAUAUCAUUUUCGGGACUAACCUACUAACCGGAGGCCCAGCCCAUAUUACUGUCUUUUUUGCCUAUUUCAGUGUUUUGGAGAAAAGGAAUACCAAACGGAGUCCAAAUGGAAUGAAACCUUUGGGAGCGAUCUUUUUGGAACAAACGUGAUCCAGAGGACUUGGAGUGCAAGUCAAGAAGCAAUCGAGGAAGCCACGAGGGUGGAGGGCCCCCCCUCCCUACUGGGCACGUCCCCCUAUCUCGUGGGCCCCUCAGGCGUCCACCGACCUACUUCUUCCUCCUAUAUAUACCCACGUACCCCGAGAACAUUAGAGGCGACAACGAAAAACUAUUUCCACCACCGUAACCUUCUGUAUCCGCGAGAUCCCAUCUUGGAGCCUUCGCCGGCGCUCCGCCGGAGGGGGAAUCAACCACGGAGGGCUUCUACAUCAACACCAUAGCUCUUCCGAUGAGUUGUGAGUAGUUUACCAUAGACCUUCGGGUCCAUAGUUAUUAGCUAGGUGGCUUCUUCUCUCUCUUUGAAUCUCAAUUCCAUGUUCUCCUUGAUCUUCUUGGAGAUCUAUUCGAUGUAACUCUUUUUGAGGUGUGUUUGUCGAGAUCCGAUGAAUUGUGGGUUUAUGAUCAAGUUUAUCUAUGAGAAAUAUUUGAAUCUCCUCUAAAUUCUUUUAUGUGUGAUUAAGUUAUCUUUGAAAGUCUCUUCGAAUUAUAAGUUUGGUUUGGCCUAGUAGAUUGAUCUUUCUUGCAAUGGGAGAAGUGCUUAGCUUUGGGUUCAAUCUUGCAGUGUCCUUUCCCAGUGACAGCAAGGGCAGCAAGGCACGUAUUGUAUCAUUGCCAUCGAGGAUAAAAAGAUAGGGUUUAUAUCAUAUUGCAUGAGUUUAUCCCUCUACAUCAUGUCAUCUUUCUUAAUGCGUUACUCUGUUCUUUACGAACUUAAUACUCUAGAUGCAUGCUGGAUAGCAGCCGAUGUGUGGAGUAAUAGUAGUGGAUGCAGGCAGGAGUCGGUCUACUUGUCACGGACGUGAUGCCUAUAUACAUGAUCAUGCCUAGAUAAUCUCAUAAUUAUUCGCUUUUCUAUCAAUUGCUCGACAGUAAUUUGUUCACCCAUCGUAAUACUUAUGCUAUCUCGAGAGAAGCCACUAGUGAAACCUUUGGCCCCCGGGUCUAUCUUUUAUCAUAUAAGCUUUCAAUCUACUUUUAUUUGCAUCUUUACUUUUCCAAUCUAUAUUAUAAAAUACCAAAAAUAUAUCUAUCUUAUCAUAUUAUCUCUAUCAGAUCUCACUUUCGCAAGUGGCCGUGAAGGGAUUGACAACCCCUUUAUUGCGUUGGUUGCGAGUUCUUGUUUGUUUGUGUAGGUGCGUGGGACUUUUGAGGAGCCUCCUACUGGAUAGAUACCUUGGUUCUCAAAAACUGAGGGAAAUACUUACGCUACUAUUUGCUGCAUCACCCUUUCCUCUUAAACGAAAACCAACACAAGCUCAAGAGGUAGCAGCGUUUCGCUCUCCAUCAUCUCCAGAAGAAGAUCCCUUGAGGAGGAACAUUGUUGAGGGAGGCUAUAAGGAGAACUACAGAACAUAUGUCUCGGUCAUUAUUCUCAGGAAAAGAAUAGGGUAUGCUUACUAAGCACCUUUGUUCAUGUACGGCCCGGUUAACGGCUGGCUCCCUGUGGGCGCUGUGCGGCAAUGUUGCCCUCCGGGGCAGGGCCCCCUGGUGAAGGUUUCUUCCCUCGUUUGGAGACCUCUGCUUCCAAGUCUUCGGGGGCGGUCCUUUUCUUCCCGUGGGGAGAGGGGAUGAUGGAUUGUCCUCCCUAUUCAUCCUCCGACACGGGGGUACUAAUUUCCCCAGUUAGGAUGCGUAACGUACCUCCAGCAUGAAGUCCGCUUUUGGCUUUCCCAUUCCUCUCCUUGUCCUCCCCUGAUGGCACUUGAUAAGGUGCGCGAGCCAGCAUCUUGGUUAGUACAGGAUCCGACAAAUCUUCGGGAAGAGGGGCCAAACACCUGAUCCUCCCCGACUUUCUUAUCCAGUCCUGGCCGUGGGUGGUUUUUUAGAAUAAUGUUGUGACAAAUAUAAUGACAGCAUGUUCGGUCGCGGAAUUACUUACCUGGGUAUCUUGAUGGUAGCAGUUGAGGCCUGCAUCCUCUGUUGUGUCCGGACACUUUAUUCGUGAUCUGUAAAAUAAUUGAUACAUCCCUUCAAGCGUCAUGCCGAAGAAGUGCUGAACAGUUCGCGGUCCUUCCGGGUUGAACUCCCACAUACGGAGAGGUCGAUGUUGGCAUGGCAGGACCCGACGAACUAACAUUACUUGGAUUACCUUGACAAGAUUGGUGUCCUUUUUGAUGAGAUCCAGAAUGCGGCUUUGCAAUAUCCGCACGUCAUCAACCGAUCCCCAGUCCAGCCCCUUGUUGACCCAUGAUGCAAGCUAUGGCGGAGGAGCGGAGCAGAAGGCUUGGGCGGCCGCCCACUUUCUACCUCGGGGUGCUGUAAUAUAAAACCACUCCCGUUGCCAUAGGUCGGAAACUUCCGGGAAGGAACCCUUUGGCCAUAAAGCAUCGACACCUUUGCUUAUUAUAGCACCUCCGCACUCCGUGUGUUGCCUGUUGAUCAUCUUCGGCUUCACAUUGAAGGUGUUGAGCCAUAAGCCUAAGUGUGGGGUAAUGCGGAGGAAGGCCUCACAAACGAUGAACUCGAGAUGUGAAGGAAGGAAUCUGGAGCUAGAUUGUGAAAAUCUAUCCCGUAAUAGAACAUGAGCCCUCUAACAAAGGGAUGAAGACCGAAGCCUAGCCCUCGGAGGAAGUGGGAGAUGAAUACGACACUUUCAUUGGGUUUGGGAGUGGGAAUAACCUGCCCUUGAGCAGGAAGCCUGUGAAGGAUUUCGGUGGUCAAAUACCUAGCCUCCCUAAGCUUCUUGAUGUCCUCCUCUGUGACGGAAGAGGCCAUCCACCGGCCUUGAAGGUUGGGUCCGGACAUGGUUGAAGGUCCGGAGCGCUUGGACUGAACCUUGGGUGUUGGAACUCGAGGUGGGAGAAGGGAAGGAUUAGGCGUGGAAAGAAAAGGACAGGUCUUGACCUCUUUAUAAAGAGGAUGAAUGUCAAGCGUCCUCCGCGCGGCCGUUUGGAACUUGCCUAAACCAAGGAGUCAUACUAAUGGCACGGUUGGGUUACCCACGCCCGUAUUGAUGAGAAUCCCGUGAUAAGGAGGACACGAUCUCUGCUUCGACAAGACGUGCCAAUAAAACCGCCUCGCAAGACGUGUAGUGGCAGGUUGGAAAAACGGUUUGAAUAAUAACCGGGCCGCGGCGUGAUGUCAUGCUAGGGGAAAGUUGUCGGCAGAUUAGACUCGUGGAAUAUUGUGCUCUCUAUGGUGGUAUGUGGAAUUUGUUUUGCAGAGCCGGACACGAUUUUUGUGUUCAAGAUGUACUUUGGAGUAUUCGGAGAAUGAACCCGCCUUGCAAUGCCGAAGACAAUCAGCGUGCCGGACUCAUCGUCAUUGAAGCCUGGUUCAGGGGCUACUGAGGGAGUCCUGGAUUAGGGGGUCCUCGCAUAGCCGAACUAUAUGCUUAUGCCGGACUGUUGGACUAUGAAGAUACAAGAUUGAAGACUUCGUCCCGUGUCUGGUUGGGACUCUCCUUUGCAUGGAAGGCAAGCUUGGCGAUUCAGAUAUGUAGAUUCCCUUCCCAGUAACCGACUCUGUGUAACCCUUGCCCCCUCCGGUGUCUAUAUAAACCGGAGGGUUUAGUCUGUAGGAUAACAACAAUCAUAAUCAUAGGCUAGCUUCUAGUGUUUAGCCUCUACGAUCUCGUGGUAGAUCAACUCUUGUAAUACUCAUAUCAUCAAGAUCAAUCAAGCAGGAAGUAGGGCAUUACCUCCAUAGAGAGGGCCCGAACCUGGGUAAACAUCGUGUCCCCCGCCUCCUAUUACCAUUAGCAUUAGACGCACAGUUCGGGAACCCCUACCCGAGAUCCGCCGGUUUUGACAAUGACAGAGGGGGCGCGGGCUUGUGUACAGCAUAGGAAGCAAAGUAAUAUUUCUAUCCUUAUGAACAAGAGUAUACUAAUUGUUUCUACCAUGGUGUACAGAAUUUUUAUCAAAUUGCCAUGGUCUAUCAAGUAAUAAGGAACAUGCUUGCAUAGAUACCACAUCACAAUCAACAUAAUCAACAUAUGUAGAGAUACUAAAAUGCACACAAACAAUACAUGUUACCUUAACCUUGCCGCUGUUGUUGAACCAUUGGAUGUAGUAAGGAUGUGGAUGUGGUCUUGUGAUGAGAGAUAGCCUCUGCACCAUCUUCAUGCUAGCCAAGUCGUUGCAGCUCCCUCCAUCUAUGAUGAUGCGAACAGAAUGUUCCUUCACAACUCCCUUUGUAUGGAACAAAUUAUGCCUCUGGUUUUGCUCAGCUUGUGUGACCUGCACACUCAAAAUACAUUGAGCAACUAAACAUUCAUACCUGUCAACAUCUUCAUUAGCCAUGUAUUGUGUCUCAUGAUCAGAAUCAUCUCCACCGUGUUCUUCACUUGUAAUAAGAGCCAAAGUCUCCUCUUCAUAGUCACUAGCAGACUCAUACCCACCAUCCUAAGUAGCAAUCAUCACAUGCUUAGAUGGGCAUUCUCUCGCAUAGUGACCUCCACCCUUGCAAUGACGACAAAUAAUAUCAUGUGUUUGCCCUAUUGAUGCCAUGGAUGAAGAAGAGCUCUGUGCAGGCCCAGAAGGUGUGCUCUUGGCGGACGGCGGUGGUGCCUGUUUUCUUGUAUCUCAAAUGGAGUUGGAGGUGGAAGUAGGCAGUGUUGCAACAUGACAGGUGGAAGGAGAAGAUGUACGUGGCGUCCAUGAUGAAGAUCGUCCUGCAGAAAAAUUAGUUCGUGCCAAUGCCUGUCGUUCCCGCACUUCACGUUCAGCUUUGCAAACAAGAUGAAAUAAACGAGUGAUAUUAUUAUACUUCUUAUACUCGAGAAUAGUCUGAGUCUCUUUAUUUAAUCCACCCAUAAAACGUGCAAGCAUAGCCUCAUUAUCCUCAACAAUACCACAUCUAAUAAUGCCGGUUUGUAAUUCCUGAUAAUACACCUCUAUGGAAUUUUUUCCUUGUCUCAAACGCUACAGUUUUUGAAGUAAUUCAUGUUGAUAAUAAUGUGGAACCCAACAAGUACGCAUAGCAGUUUUCAAAGAAGCCCAAUUAGCUGGAAUAGGAUAUCAGAUUGGCGUGAUGGUGACCUGAUGGAUGUAUAUGACUCAGAUUGGUAGCAGAUAUGCGGUGGAUGUAUAUGGACUCGGAUUGGCAGCGGAUAUUUGGUGAUGGUAUAUGGCGGUGGCGAUGAUGAUGGUGUGGCGGCGACAUGAAAACCUGUGACCAGAACUCGAAACUCUAAGGUAACUAGACGCUCAGACCAGCAACUCGACAUGAUGAUGCAACCGCAAAUUCAACAAAGCAAAACACUAAAAAGAUUAUGCAAAGUCUCAGAUUGGUUCAGAUAUGAUGAACUAACCCUAAUUUUUUUGGCUUUUUCGUGGACUGUAGGUAUGAAGAACAGACUCUAUCUAAACUAUGAAAAACUAGAAAAUCUCAUCGACCAACCUGGAAAUCGAAUACCACUUGAUAGAGGCAAAGGUGUCCCGUCUUUCGAUGAGAUGGUGAUUGUCGUUUCGGAGGAGUAGACUUUGACGAUCCGACUACGUACGUGCGAGGACGUUGCACCUUAGCAAUCGCUAAACCAACUCCGAGAGGUUAUUGACCAUGUCGGAGUACGAUCAACCUGACCACGAAGGUCUAUUUCCUACAAGCAAACAAAGAACAAGCAAGAAACUAAGACUGCAAUCUGGAUAGUGCGAAUAUAAGAUGAAAGCUUUAUUAAUCAAGGUGGGGUUCUAUGACCUCUUUGUCUGGUCCUUGAACACAAGCGAAGUAUGCGAAGUUGCAGCUAUGACGAACUUUCAAUCUAAAAAAACCCCAAAGUCUAAACGAUGCCCUAAGGGUUGUAUAUAUGUAGGAAGAGGGGGGAAUUUUGUGUCCCUUGGUGGAGGGGCCGAAACCAACCCUGUCGUGGAAUUGUCAUGGCAGAUGACCUAGUGUGAGGACUUAGUCGUGAGGCCAACGCAUCUAUGUGGUAGCUUGAGAGGGGUUGAGCAGAAUCGAGAGACGCAACAUGCAAGACAAAGAUUUAGACAGCUUCGGGCCCCGGGAAUCAUCAUCCGGUAACAACCCUACAUGCUGUUUGUGGCUAGGUCUUGUUAUCAUCACGAGGGAGUCGCCGUAAACCGGCUCUCCCAGUUAUGUCUAACCCUUAAGAUUAUCUCCCCCCCUUGGGGUGCCCUGCCCCUCCUUAUAUAAGUUGAAGGGGCGGGUUACAUGUAGAGUCCAUCUCGGACUAAGACUUAAACUAUUCUAAUUUCUCUUCAUGGGCUUCUUAACAUCUUGGGCUUCUUAAUGUCUCGGGCUUGUUAACCCCAAGCGACUCUGUCUGCCGGGUUAUGACUGUCUGCCGGGUUAUGAUUGUCUGUCGGUUUAUGAUUGUCUGCUGGUUUAUGAUUGUCUGCCAGUUUAUGAUUGUCUGUCGAGUUAUCAUCUGACUUAACACCUGCCUGGUUAUCAUCUGACUUAACACUGCCGUGUUAUCAUCUGAAUUAACACCUGUUGGGUUAUCAUCUGACUUAACACCUGCCAGGUUAUCAUCGGACUUAUCACCUGUCUUAACUGUCAGCCGGUUUAUCACCUGCCAGUUUACCAAGUCCCAGCCGGGUUAUAACUCCAGCCGGGUCAUACCGCGGGGUAUAUCCCCGACAUUAGCCCCCAGUUUAAUUUGGAUUUAUCCAUGUUAAACUGAUACUGAUUAUCCUUAAGUCCUUGUCAUUACCUUCUUCUAGAAAAUCCGGGUCAAUAGACCAGCUUCAUAAUCAAUUUACUGACAUUGGUUUAUCAUAGAGAAAAAUUAAGAAGAAUAAUUUAUUUGACUCAGCUCCCAAUGCUUAACAAAAAUAUUGGUCCUUGCAAUACUCAUUUGAUCUUCAGCCAGCUUAAGGAUGUAGAACUUGCCGGUUUAUCAGUUGCCAAAAUUGUCGGUUUAUAAAUAUUGAUGGCACCGGGUCAUAAUUGUAGUUAACAUCAAGCUGGAAAAUAUACCUCUUAUAUGCCUAUCACUUGUAGCCCCCAAGUCUUAAGAAGGUAGCGUAGCAACAGCUUAAGACUUGCUUCAAUAUAAAUGUCACAACCUUGAAAACAUAUGAUUUGUUCAUCUCAGUCACGAGUCAUAAACUGAGUAUUCCACAUAUGUAGCCCCCAAGUGUCAGGUUGUCAUGCUUGCAGCGACUUGGGACUUGAAAUUGCCUUAUGCUCAUAAAAACUUCAACCAGUGUAGCCCCCAAGGGCUGGGUCACUAUGCAAUAAUGAGGAGGGACUUCAUAAAUAUAAUCAUGUAGAUUUGAGCAGUGAUGUGUAGCCCCCAAGGGCCGGCUCAGUAAGAUAAUAUUGAGCUGGGACUUUAUAUAUACUUCUUUGAAAAGAACAUCAUAUGAUGUAACCCCCAUCAUGGGGCUUGAACCCACAUCCACAAGGUUAAGAGCUUUUGUGCUUUACCAACUAAGCAGUGGACCCUUAAAUAUAAUGGAAUAAAACUUGUGUACCUUGAAUUGUUGAUAGGAGCAAUUGGUAGCCCCCAAGGGCCAGCUCAUUAUGAUGUGAUGAGUCGGGUCUUCAAUAAGGCCAGUAAAAUGACUUUGCAUUAGCCCCCAAGUGUCAUGGUGCAUGCUUGCAGCGACAUGAGACUUGCAUAUUUGAUGUAAUCUCAACUUGAAUAAUGUAGCCCCCAAGUGCCGGGUCGUAAGCCUACAGCGACUCGGGACUAUUCCUUCC
rnacentral:lncRNA from 1 species